UAAGUUCCCAUUUUUUUAUUGGAAGUCUUUACAGAUUCUUUCAUUGAAACUUUAAAAGUCAUAAAAAAAAAUUACAUCAAUACCAUAUGUAUUCUAAGAGAUUCACAUCAAUGUUGUUGUUGAGUAGUUAGCUUCAGCACAUGUGUAAUGUUGAGUUAUAUGAAGACAGAAUAGAGAAUGCUCUACAAAAGAGUUAAACCAUUUCUAGUGUCAUAUUUUGUUUCAUGUUUUUUUUCCCUUUUUGGCCACAACAACAAAUUAAUCUUAAUAGUCAAAAUUGAAAGUGCUUAUCCUAGAUUAGUAAUUCCACUUAAUGUUCACAAUUCAUGAUAACUGUAGGGCCUAAAACGUGCUCAUGCAAUCAUUUCAUUUUACUAUAAUUCGUUCUGCUUGCAUUUUUUAUUUCCUUGCAUUGUGUUAUUGGGGACAUUUGUGCGGGUCAUCAUAUUACUUUUCACCACAAAUUCAUAAACUAUCUAGCAAAAAUACACUAUGCUUUUAAUUUCUUGUUUUCUUUUGGAAAGAAUAUUCAUAAUGCUUCAAGUGGCAAUCUAUUUAUUUGCGUCUAAUUAUACAUUGUGCUAGAGUUUCAGAAGUUAAUAUUGUAGAGUCUAAAGCCCCCGAUUGUUACAGAUUCUAAAAAACAAUGAUGAUUUUAGAUAUUUAUAAUAUAGAUAUACCUUUUAGAUAUUUCAAAUACUAUAUUCAUUCAGAUCUUCACACUUCAUCAUAGGAUGAAACCUUUUAACUAAUUCUUUACAUUGAAACUUCUUUUUCCACCAAGAUAAAAAAUUCAAAGGUCAUUUAAUAGUUUUAAAUUAUGGUUGUGUUUUCAUUUUCAUUGUCUGAGAAUUUUUAUACUUUGAAGAAUAUUUUGAUAUUUAGUACUACUAUUUUUAUCCUUUUUUUAUAUUUUUUAAAUUUUCUCAUAAUUGAUGACAUGCUUGUACUGUUUCAGGUACAUGAGAAAGCUUCUCAAUUUCAAAAGAAAGGAUGUGACCAUUAUAAGUUAUUGGAAAUCCUAUUCAACAAAAAUAAUGCUACUGGAGUACUUCACCAUUCAUCUACACAAGACCCGCCAAAUACUGAUGAAGAAAAUUAGCUUGAUAAUCAAUACCUUAACAUUGGAAGUGCAAGUCAUGUACGUGUUGAUGAAGAUGAUGAAGUAACAAUGUCGAUUUACAAGAAAGGGGGGUUUGAAUUGUAAAUAUGCCUUUUAAAAAAUUCCUGUUAAAACUUAAGAAAAUAACUCAAGAAUGAUCUUGGUUAUGAAACAGAAAACGGAGAACGUUCUUGGUUUAUGUUAUAAAACAGAGAACGUUCUUUAAUUAGCAGAAAAUCAGUUUAUAUUUUAUCUCAAAUGAUUAAUGCAGUAUAAUAAAGAAGGAGAAAGGAAAGAGAAUACCACACAAAGAUUUAUCCUGGUUCACCCAACGUGGGUUACGUCCAGUCCUCACACUGUGAGAUUUUCCACUAAGUGUUUAAAAUGAAGAACCUUCUUAAUCUUACAACACCUAGAAUAAAUCAACCUUGAUCUAUUUCUUUCUUAAUUACUUUCCACCCAGAAAGCAAUCACAACACCUAUCUAACCUUGAUAGGAAGCAAUCUUAAACAAACUAUAAAGAAACUCUUAUAGUUUGAGUUUUUACAAAUGAUUGAAUUUGACAGAAUCUGAUAUUGCUCAACUCUUGUUUGAGAAUAGAUUCUUUACAGAGUAUCUAAUGACAAUUUCGCAGCUGAUAUGUGAAUGUGCAGCAGUGGCUGUUUCGCGAAUUGCAGAAAAUGAUGUUGCCUCUGUUUUGCAGAAUUUCAAGCUUAAGUGUGAUUGUAUAUUGUUGAUUACUUAGCACUUGAAUUUCUUACUUAGAACUGAGAUAAUGGUCUUCUAUUUAUAGGCUGGAGAUGUACGAAAUAGCUAUUGGAGAGGUCAUGCUUUUUUGACUAAAACAUUAUUUUUAGAAUAAAAAUAAUGUUGCUUUGAAAACAGCUUUUUGACUUUUGAUGUUUUAGCAUUGAAAGCAUUUCUGUCCUUUCUUUGACAUUUCUUCAUUGAUCUUUGAUGGUACAUUAUCUGUCUUGAGUCUUGAGUGUAGCUAGAGGAGGUUGGAGAAGAUUUGAGGCGAAUUGCAGACUGAAACAGAGAGGAUGCAAGGCUGCUGUUGAUGUGCAGAAAACGGAGAAUGAUUAACGUUCUUGGUUUUAUCAGUUUGAACGUUCUUGAGCUUCAAUAAUCAUUCUGGAGUUCCCGUUUUGAAUGUUCUGUAUUUCCUUUAUUCUUGUCUUGUCAUAUACCCAGUUUGAUCAAGUUUUCUUGACAUUUGAAUUUUGGAGUUCUUAAGCCUUCAUGACUUUUGUCCAUGUUUAAACUCUUUGAUCUUUGCGAUCAAAUAUCCUUUUUGAGUCUGGAUUAUUUGUACUUGUUCCUUGCCAUGUACUUGUUAGAUAUGAAUGAUUUCCAGAGCAGAUUCUUUGUUAACGAUGUAGAUAAACUUUGAACAACAUGCUGUGAUAGAUAGUUCGGUGAAGCUGAAGAUCAUUCUCUGUUUAUGAUGCUGAAUGAUCUUGUUGUCUUUUCUUGUAUUUGCUUGAUUCUGCUCUUAAUUAAAACCACUCAAGAACACAAGUUAAAUUAACAUAACAUUUAGAAUCAUAAUUAACAUUCUUAAUUAACCUUUGUUUAUUUUCAUCAAAACUUUUAAAAUAGAGAGUUUGUCUCAACAGAUGAUUCAGACGAUGAUAUACAAGCAACGGAGCGCGUCUCACGAAGUGGAAAACAAAAAGUACAACUAAUAUCCAAAAAAGAGUCAACAUCACAACAAAUGGGACACGCGCUUGCAGCAUGGGCUCAAGCAUCUUUGGCGAGAUCAGAGAAGUAUAGCAGAGAUAAGAGUAAGGAUAAGAGUAGGGAUAGGAGUGUGGAGGCUACCUCACGUGUAACAUUUGAUUGUUCGCUAACUAAGUGUGUGGCUGCUCUUGAAGAGAUUGAAGGCAUUCCAGAUGACAUCUGUGGAAAAACCCUGAAAAAGUUUAAGGAUGGUGAUUGGAGGGAAAUGUUUAUGGCAAUGUCUAAAGAGAGGAAACGUGGAUGGGUACUUAGACUCUAAGGAUAACACGUUACUUGAAUAUGUGGUGAUAGUGAUUGGAUAUAUGCUUCUCUUAGUACUUUGUUUAUGAUCUUUAUGGUUGCGUACUUAUUUCUAUUUUCUGAACAAUUGUAUGCAUUUUUUUUUUAUGAGUUGUUUUGAAUUGUUUUGUUAUGUUUUGAAAUUGUAUGACAGGUUGUAACCAGAUUUGAUGUUGAUACAAGUGAUGAUUCUACUUCUGAUGAAAGCGAUGAUGAUUUUGUAGAAUUUCUUAUUAGUAAUGUGAUCUAUGACUAUCAUCAUAAAUUCUUUAAUAAAGGAAAGGUUCUAACAUCAUCAUUAUCUGGUCGUGAAUUUGUUGCUGAAGUAUUAAAUGGAUCUGAAACAAGUUGUUUUGAUUUAUUUCGGAUGAAGAAGGAAUGUUUUCUUAAUUUUUGUAAUGAAUUAAGAUGGAAGAACUAUCUAAGUGACUCAAGAGAUGUACUUGUCGAAGAGAAGGUUGCCACUUUUUUAUUCAUAAUUGGGCAUAAUGUUCGUCAUAGAGUCGCUUCAAACCGCUUUCAACAUUCCACAGAAACAAUCUCACGCAAUUUCAAGGAAGUAUUAAGGGCAGUGUGUCGAUUGGGAAAAGAACUCAUAAAACAAGAGUCCAUAGAGUUGCCUGAAAGAAUUAAGAAUAAUUUAAAAUACUAUUCUUGGUUCAAGGUAUGCACAUCGUAUUAUCAAAAUUAUUUGAGUUCGGUUCAAUUAUCUUUAUUAUUUUGUUCUGAUUCUAUUUAAUUGUGUUAUGCUUUAUAGAAUUGCAUAGGUGCAAUAGAUGGUACACAUAUAAGUACAUGGGUUCCUGUAGAGAAACAAAUUUCAUAUAGAGGUAGAAAGACAACAAUCACGCAAAAUGUCAUGUGUGCUUGUGAUUUCAACAUGAUGUUUACAUAUGUAUAUUCUGGGUGGGAAGGAAGUGCACAUGAUUCAAAAGUUUUUUUGGAUGCAAUUUCAAAUCCAAAUGCAGGAUUUCCUUGGCCACCUAGAGGUAAAUCGUAAUAUUAUAAUAAAAUUACAAUAUAUCGAUGAGUUAAUGAAUUCAACUAGUAGAGCUAACAUAUUUUUUUUAUGAAGGUUCAUUUUAUCUCGUUGAUUCUGGGUAUUCAUGUACUAGAGGUUUGCUUCCUCCUUAUAGGGGUGAAAGAUAUCAUGCCCAAGAAUAUAGAGGCCAAGGUAGACAACCUAGGAGUCCCGAAGAGUUAUUUAACUACAAACACUCAUCUCUACGGAUGACAAUUGAACGUUGUUUUGGGGUGUUGAAAAAUAGAUUUCCUAUUUUGAAGUUGAUGUCUCCUUAUAAACCUUCCAGACAAAGACUUAUAGCGAUAACUUGUUGUACUAUUCAUAACUACAUACGUAAGUGGAAUUUACCAGAUGAAUUAUUCAACAUAUGGGAAGCAAUGGAUCCUAUGGAACUUGAGAGGGUGAAUGAAAGUUCAGGCAUAGAAGGAACAAGCUCCAACGAUAACUUAACUAGAUUAUCUGAUGAAGGUGCGGUUGAAAUGACAAUGAGUAGGAAUCGUAUUAGAGAUAGGAUGUGGGUACACCAUCACAAUUAGUUGGACAAAUUACUAUCUUUUAGAUUUCAUUAUAUACAAUGUUGGUGGAUAUUUCUUAAAUACUUGUGUUGUUUCGGCUUAAUUUUUAUGUUCUUGGUGGAUAAUAUCUAUACUAAAUUUUUAUAUACUUUUUUCUUCAAUUGAAUUUUAAAAAUAGUGAUCAAAUAAUAUAUUUUUAUAUUACAAUUAAAUUUGAAACUCUAAUCACUUGAAAUUAAUCUUAUUUUAUAAAAAAUUAAGGAAAUGAACAAUAAUGGACAAGUGUUUAUUAAACUAUUUUAAUAAAAAUAUAUUUAUUAAUUAUACUAAAAUAUAUUACUUGUAUUUAAAUGUUAUUAGUUGAUUUUUUCUAUCUUUUUAGUUUUAUUAUUUAAUAUAAGAAAAACAGAUGUUGAAAAUUAUAUUAUCAAAUAGUUUUUUUAAUUCUCUAUUUAAAAUCUAUUUUAAAAAAUUAGAUUAUCAAAUAGGUUUUUUUCUUUUUCUCAUCUCUUAAACUGUUUUUAAAAACAAGUAUCUCAAACAAGUUUUUUUCUUUAAUUCUAUUCUUUAAAACAAUUUUUAAAAUUAAAUUUAUACAACAAUUUUUAAAAAUUAAAAUGUAAAAAUGUUUCAAACAGGCCCUUAAUGUUUAAGAUUUUUGGAAUUUGGUUUUUGAUUGUUAAUUCUUAUCAUUACUCAGAAACAUCAAAUGGUUUCGUGGUGUAGUUGGUUAUCACGUCAGUCUAACACACUGAAGGUCUCCGGUUCGAGUCCGGGCGAAGCCAACUGUUUGCAUUUAUAUUUUUAAACAUUUUUCAAAAUCAUCAAAACGUCGUCGUAUGCAGAAUUUCGUGGAUGUCGUUAUACUCCGAUAUCAAAGGCGCGGAAUUAGAAACUCAAUCCAAUCCUUACAAUUGAAAAAUUUCCUUUUUACACGCGCCUCUGUUUCCACGAAUUUCCACCAAUCAUAUUCCUUCUUAAAUCACUUCCUCCAUUGUAAUUGGUCCACGUCAUCACACCAGAACCUUCCGCACCAAAAUAUUUACGUUCGUUCCAAUUAUUUUUCCAAACCAACUUCAUUCAUUCAAUUACAAUUCCAAUUCGCUUGGUAACAUCUUUAUCACAAUGAAAUCGCUUAUUGGCUUUGGAAUCGCUUUUCUCCUUCUUCAUUAUUCCCUCGCUUCCGACGCCAAUCCUCCAUACCCCAAGGCUUUUUCUGUAAAUACCACAUUCAUUUUAAUUUCCCUUUAUUUUUAAUUAGUUAAUGGUUUUUGUGAAAUCAAACUUUUAAUUUUGUUUAUUCACAGGACUUGAAGGAAUCGAUUGUGAAAGGGUUAGGGUUUACGGCUGAAGAUGAUACCAAGAUUACAGGGUUUGAUCUGAGAGAGGCUAAGGUUGGACAUUCCGUAGAAUACCAAUUCGAUAUUGAAAUUGAUGAUAAGGUUGUUCCAUUCAAGCUUCUUGAGGAUGCUAACCGAUGGGACUAUGUUGAUCUUCCAAUUUUCCGCGUCGAGGAUCAAAACGGGUUGGUUCAUAAACGGGUUUCGGGUAAUGGUUUACCUGUUUUGGCUCCGUUUCAGCUCGCUGGACCCAUGGAGCUUUGGAUUCAGGAUGCUAAGGAUAUGAGAAUCUCUCUCCCAGUAAGUUUUUUCCUAAUCUUUCUUCAAUUUAUUGUACAUUGUAAUUGCAACCCCAAUAAUCCCAUCUUUUUAAUUAUUUAAUUGACAUUUGAGAACCAAAUUAGUAUUGUUUUUUAUAUAUUUAUUUUUAAGUUCAUUAAUCAAUAAUAGAGUCUGAUAACGUGAAGAGAUUGUCAUAAUCAUAAUACAGAUUGGGUGUGUUAUUAGUUGAAUCCUAGAAAUUGUAGGAUGUUGUCUACUUGGUACUUAAACUAACGAAAUUUUAUGAUGAUUUAUGAAUUUGGAAAUUCUGUCAAAUUAGUAGUUGCCAAACAAUUUUUAGAAACUAAAUUAACGGGUGAAUAUAACACUAAUAUGGUUGAAAAUUUUCAAUUUCAUUGACUAUUUUGAUAUUGAAAUAUGAAUACUUUCAGAGACUAAAUUGGCAAUGCCUAUAAUAUCUUUGUUUAAUUUGGUUAUUCAUUUUUAUAGAUUACAUAUACAGAAAUAAAUGAUAUUGUAAUGAUUGAAAAAAAUAAAUGAAACUUCAAUUAUACAUUAAUUGUGUUCACCAAAAAAGUUAUACAGCAUGCGACAGUGUGGCUCUUAAAUUUCAUUCCCUAAAUAUAUGAUUUUACAAAAAUUGUUUUGGUGAAAUGGUGAAGAUUGAGGGAUGUAUAUUGAAUAGAGUAAGGUGUGCUUGAAUGUGGAUAAUGUGAAAUUGAUUUGAUGUUUGAUUUGGUUUUUGCAGCAUGAUGUGGAUGCUGGGGUGUUGAAGAAAGUGGUUUUGGCUGAUGGUGCAGUGGUUACUGUGAAAGGUGCAAGAUCAGUGAGUCUUCGCCAUCCGCUUGAUUUACCUCUGCCCUUAAACCAAACACAGAGUGGAUUUGCUGCCGGGCUUCUCACCUUGGCCGAGCAUCUCCGGCAUGCUUCUCUUGGCCAGAGUGCUCCCCUACUCUCACUCCGCAUCGUUGGUCCUACUUCACUUGAAGCCCCUCCCUCUGCAUCAACCUCUUCCAAUAGCAGGUUGAAGCUCAAGCGCCUUGCGCCUGGUCUUGUGGAGUUAUCGUCUCAAUCAAAACCCAAAUUAAUCGAUGCCCUAUCAACCAUUGAUCUCCAGGAGGAAGCCCCAACUCUCCUUACUCCUACCAAGUUUUCUGCAUUGUGGCCUCUUGCUUCCCUUAAUGGAUCAAAUGCCAACUUGUUGGGUUUUGAGAAACUGUUAUCUUCUGUGCUGGGUCCGAAGGCUAAUGGGAAGGGUUCCUUCAGGUUGUUGAAGGCUGAUGUUUCUGCUCAGACUUUUGUAAAAAUAGGCUUUCAAGCUGAGAAGAAGCUGAAGGAAGGAGAUGGAAUUAGUUUGGAGGGUUUCCCUGAAUGGAGGACUAAACCUGAUACUGUAAGAUUGCAUUUUGAGGUGCUUGCUAAAGUUGAUGGUGAUAAAGUCAUACCUGAGAGAGUCAUGCAAGUUAACCCUGUUGUUAUGGAGGACAGUGUGGCGUUAAAUGUGAUGACUAACAAUGAGACAAUGUCAAAGAUGCCGAUUGUUCACCCUCCCCCCAUCCCCUUUGCCUUGUAAUUCGUUGGAAGGGUUUGAUUUUUGUAUAUUUUAACCCAGAGGAAUUGUAGAGAAGAUUCUUGUUUUGCCUUUGAUGCAUAUAUGUUAGUUAAGAUACUUGUAAAAAUGAUGAGUAACGAGAAAGUUGUUUUAUUUUCCCAGUUGCUUCUGGUUGUGAUAAUUGUAACAUUUCUCAGAACUAUUCAAAGUAACUACUUUGAUCAAACAAUUAUUAACUUAAAAUGUAGGAUUUCAUCUUAGUUAUAGCUCCAAGCCUGCAAGAAUUUAAUUAAAUUCUUAGCAUAUUAUCAAUCUUCUUGCUUCCAUUAUCAUCUUUCUGGAAAUUGCAGCAAUAGAAUUUAUUGCAUUCACAAAUAAAUGAAGUUGGCAAGUGUAUUUGGAGCAGCACAUUAACAAAAGGUCUUCACAAAAUUCACUCUAUUAUUUUGCAUUUAGUUUAACAUAUCGUCCCUUGUCAUUACAAGCUUACUUGCCUCACCGAACUGUGACAGUUGCUGCCCCAAAAUUCCACACAUUUAGAAACCCAAAAGAUCUCACAAUAUGAACACGUGAAGUAGCAAAGUAAAGUCAUGUUCCAUCAUCAAUUCUCAGUUUAACAAAAUUAAGAAAAAUGUCUAAAUAAUUUAACAAAUUCUAGAUUCUCUUAAUGCAACCUCAAUCAAUGCCACCUCUUAGACCAUAGUUAGGUACAUUACAACAACGAUAAAUUAGUUUACUGUAUGAUCUGCAUAGAAUUCAAUAAAGAUUGUUUCUUGCCGAACAUUUGAUGUAUAAUUUUCACAUAUGACGUGUAAAAUAUAAGAAAAAAUUGUCAAAAAUUGAAAAUUCAUAAAUCUUGUUGAAAAAAAAAAGUACAUUAUUUGAUUUUUCACUUUUUAGUGACAGAUGAUGAAAGGAUGAUGAUAAUUAUAAUUGCUCUUGGUCUAUUAAUGUAAUACAUGAGUAUAACUUUCGUGUGCCAUUGUAACUUUCCUUCGCUCUUUUUAGUCCUUUUUACUUGAUCUUUUAAGGUACACAAUAAAAAAAUCAAUACUUGUCAAAAAUGAAUUAACGUGGCUACAGUUGCUUGCUUGUUACUGUAGUCAAACACAUGCUUCAAAUGUGGAGCAUAUGACUAAAGGAAGACAGGGCAACAUCAUUACUUGGCUAGUCAAUGAAUAGUUUAUGUUAGAUAUACGUAUCAUUCAUGGUUUUCCACUUUCUUCUGCAAUAAUUACAUUCAUCUAACCGGAGCUGGCCAAUUUUGCAAUCAAAUAGUAUAUUCUAUAACAUAUUUUUGCAGACCAUGAUAACAAGAGUUAAGUUUUUCUUUUUGUGUGAAGAAGUAUUGUUUUUUUAUUAUAUUUUUUUUAUAAGUAAAAUUUACAUAUAUAAUUGUAAAAUUUCAGACGAAAAUGUUCAAUUUAUUAAUAUCAAUAUUAGUCAAUUGAGAUUAUGAUAAAUGUUAUUACUCUACUUUUUCUCAUACUUCCUCGAUCUUAUAUCAGUGUUUCAUUUACGAUUUACUUGUCUCAAAUUACAUGUGUUUUUAUAUUGUCAAUGAAGUAUUACUUACUUUUUUCUGCUAAUAUAUUACUCACUUGUUUCAAAAUAAUUGACUCAUCAAUAUAUUUUAAGAAUUGUGUACGAUUCAAAUUAAACAUUUUUAGUGAGACAAAUGGCGUAUCAACAACAAAUAAAUCACCUAAUUUUUUAUAAUUUUUGUUAUGAAAUUAUCUAUAUAGCAAAAUAUUAUAAAAUGUAAAAGAGUAGAGAUAAAAAAAAGUAUUAUAUAUAUAAUUUGAUAGAACCAAGAGAAUAUUAAAUUAUACUCUUCAAUAUGUGUAACUUAAGGAUGGUACAUGACUCAUUUAUAGGUUACAAAUAUCGUAAGUUACAUUAAUAUUAAUCAUAAUAUAAUAUGCCACUAGCAUAAUAUAAAUAAAAAUAUAAUUAAAAAGUCUAUGUAUUUAAUUCUAAUUUUUAAUUAAAUAUAUUAAUAUUUUAAUUAUUAAUAUUUUUGUUUAUUUUUAUUUGAAAAAGAAGGUGAAUGAAUAUAAAUGAUUUAAUCAUAGAAGUUUAGGAAGAUUAGUGGAAUAUCAUAUCCACGCCAAAUAUUGAUAAUAAUAUUUAUUUUCUCUUCUAUUUUCUUAUCUUCACUUUCUAUCCCCCAAAUCUAAAUCCUCCAUAAAAUGAUUUCGGCCAUAAAAUAAUGAAUGAACCAAUCAAUGAUAAAUUGAGUGAUCUAAUGAAUGGGACCCAAAUGAGUAGCAGACACCAGUUGUAUUUAGCAGCAGCAGUGGAAACAAGGGCACAACUUAGUCAACUUCGACGGCCACAGCCCCCAAAGCUGAAAUCAAGACAUAUUAUAUAUACUNNNNNNNNNNNNNNNNNNNNNNNNNNNNNNNNNNNNNNNNNNNNNNNNNNNNNNNNNNNNNNNNNNNNNNNNNNNNNNNNNNNNNNNNNNNNNNNNNNNNNNNNNNNNNNNNNNNNNNNNNNNNNNNNNNNNNNNNNNNNNNNNNNNNNNNNNNNNNNNNNNNNNNNNNNNNNNNNNNNNNNNNNNNNNNNNNNNNNNNNNNNNNNNNNNNNNNNNNNNNNNNNNNNNNNNNNNNNNNNNNNNNNNNNNNNNNNNNNNNNNCCUAAACAAAUAUAUAAUUAAAAAAUAGAUAUAUAUUAUAUUAAAGUCUUAACUGGACUUAUCAAAUUUUUUAUUAUUAAUUUUAUUCAUAUUUCAUUUUAAAUGAAAUAAUGUAUAUCUCAUCUUACAUAUUUUUUAUUUUAUUUUUCUUUUGAAAUGUUUUUUAUGCACGUCAGAGUGCUUAAACAGUUAACCAAACUCAAGUUUUAAUUAUUCAGUCCAGAACAAAACACGAGUAUGACAAAAAGUUGGGCCUUUAUUUCUUUCUUUUGGUUUAUGGGGUAAAUAGAAAAUUAGCUAAAAGACCUUUCUUAGUACAUAUAAUUGGUUCAUCAUUCCAAUCAGGUCUAUAGCUAAAAGACUGCAUAAUUUGCUAUGCUUGAUUCUUGGAAGUUACUUUGCAAUAGUUUUUACUCAAAAACAAAAUUUGUCUAUAAAUAAAUAUCAUUUUCAAUAUAAAUUUUUUAAUAAUAUUUUUAAUAAUUAUUAUAUACAAUUUUAAAAAUAUUAUUAUAUUUUGUAUUAAUAAUUAUAGAAAACACAUUAAUAAUUAAAAUAAAUAAUUUAAUAAAAUAUUUUUUAUUUGUAUUUUUUAAUAUAUAUAAAUAAAAUUUAAACACAUUUAUUGAGAGACGGAAUGAAUACUUGUUGCGUUAUGGUAUAUUAUGUACCAUUAGUCCAUUACUUUAUCUAUUAAAAUAACAAUGGAGAAUCAUAUACAAAUCCACUCACAAGAUAUAUUCAUGCUCCCAACAACCAAUCAGUCCCAUACAUAAAAUAAUCAGGCCCAUGCUCGAGUACAUUUGUCAUAUAAUAAAAAUUUUAAGAUAGGUUGAAACAGUAACAAAGUUUAAGUCAAAAUAAAGUUUGAGUUUAUAUUGACUCAUUGUACAAAAUUGCAGUUAAGAUAUUUUAUUUUAACCUUUUCACUCUAGUAUUUUUUUUUGUCAAAUGAAUCAUUCAUGUUUCUAAACAUUUACACAAUUGGAUCUAAUCUCGUAUUCAAAGAUCAGUUAAAUUACAAAAUUUCAAAUGUAAUUAUUGAAGAAUUUGGAUUAUUAUCAUCAUAAAAACUCUCAAACAACUUUUAAAUAAAUGGUUUAAUACGACCUAAUUUAAGUGAGACAUUUUAUAAUUAUUAAAAUUAAAUAUAAAUAUUUUUUAUUUUAAUUCAUAAAAACACAUAAAAAUUUAUAAUAUUAUUUUUGACAUGUGAAAUAAUGAUUUCCAUAACAAAAUUUAAAAAAUCAUUGACAAAAAAUGAUUGAAAGUGAGACCCAAGAAACCUAUAUGAGUAAACAUUUAAAAAUAAAUAUAAAGGACAAAUUUAUCAAUAAAAAACGACUAAAGUAUAAAAAUAAAUUAAAAUUUUGAAGUACACAAAAAUUUUUAUCUUUAAAUUUGUAGUAUAUUUAAAUUUAUCAAAAUUAUAUAAACAUUUUUUAUUUUUUAAAAGACAAUCUAUUUAUUUUGUUUGUUAGUUUAAAUUACAAAUAUAUUUUCAUUAAAUUAUAAGAUAUUUUUAUAAAUUAUUCAACAAUUUCAAAAAAUUUAACUCAUGCUUAUUGUGUUACUGCGUGUCAAAUUAUAAUUCAUUUUUUUUAUAUAAUAUCAAUUAUAUUUUUUAAUUUGUGUAAAAUUAUUGAAAUCAAAUAUAAACUAGACAAAACAACACCGUCCAAUGCCCACGUUGAAUCCUUUGACUCCGACACACUAUUGAUGUUUCCGUGUUUGUCAUUUUUGCAUGCAUGUGAUUCAUUCAAUACUUUUCAACUUUCAUCACUCUUAUACUAACCCAAUAUUCUAGUAACCUUCGCCGCCGGCAUGCUCGCCGGAGUACUUAUCCGACAUGGGUCACCGCCACCCAUUUUCCUCACUACUCUGUUUUUUCUCUGUCUUUUCACUUUCUCUUACUCAAAUGAACUUCAAUCUCUUAUCAACUUUAAAUCCUCUAUUCAAACUUCUCACACAAACCUUUUCACUUCAUGGAAUCAAUCAAAUUCUCCCUGUAACUUCACCGGAAUUCUCUGCAAUUCCAACGGUUUCGUUUCACAAAUCAAUCUUCCAAACAGAACUCUAAUGGGCACCCUUCCUUUUCAUUCAAUUUGCAACCUUCAAUUUCUUGAGAAAAUCUCUUUAGAAUCAAACUUUUUGCAUGGAAGCAUCACUGAGGAUUUGAAGAAUUGCACAAACUUGAAGUACUUGGAUUUGGGUGGAAAUUUAUUCACAGGAACAUUUCCUGAGUUUUCAUCUUUGAAUAAAUUAAAGUACUUGAAUCUAAAUGCAAGUGGAAUUUCUGGGAACUUUCCAUGGAAAUCAUUGGAAAAUCUAACAACUCUCACUUUCUUAAGCCUUGGUGAUAAUCUCUUGGAAAAAAGCAAUUUUCCUUUGGAGAUUUUAAAGCUUGAAAAAUUGUAUUGGCUUUAUCUAACUAAUUGCAGCAUUUUUGGAAAUAUUCCAAUUGGUAUUGGAAAUCUAACUCAGCUUCAAAAUCUUGAACUUUCUGACAACAAUUUAUCAGGUGAAAUUCCAGCUGAUAUUGGAAAGCUUCAAAAUUUAAGGCAACUUGAGAUAUAUGAUAAUUACUUGAGUGGAAAAAUUCCAAUUGGAUUUGGAAACCUUACAAAUCUUGCUCAAUUUGAUGCUUCUAAUAAUCACCUUGAAGGUGAUCUUUCUGAGCUAAGGUCCUUAAAAAAUAUUGAAUCUUUGCAGCUUUUUCAGAACAAAUUCUCAGGUGAGAUUCCACAAGAGUUUGGUGAUUUUAAGAAUCUUACAGAACUUUCUCUUUAUGAUAACAAACUCAGUGGUGUUCUUCCACAAAAGCUUGGUUCCUGGAUAGGAAUGGAAUUCAUAGAUGUUUCAGAUAAUUCACUUUCUGGUCCUAUACCGCCUGAUAUGUGCAAGAACAAUCAAAUAACUGAGAUAGCAAUGUUGAAUAACAGUUUCACAGGAAGUAUACCAGAAAAUUAUGCAAAUUGCACAGCUUUGGUUCGUUUUAGAUUAACAAAGAAUUCACUUUCAGGUGUUGUUCCUUCAGGUAUAUGGGGUCUUCCAAAUUUGGAGCUUUUUGAUCUUGGAAGGAACCAAUUUGAAGGUUCAAUUUCAUCUGAUAUUGGAAAAGCUAAAUCUUUAGCUCAAUUGUUUUUAUCUGAGAAUCAGUUUUCAGGUGAGUUACCAAUGAAAAUCUCAGAAGCUUCUUCUUUGGUAUCGAUUCAGUUAAGUUCGAAUCAAAUUUCGGGUCAAAUACCAGAAACUAUUGGAAAAUUGAAGAAACUAACUAAUCUUAGUUUGAAUAAGAACAAUCUUUCUGGUGUUUUACCAGAUUCUAUUGGUUCUUGUGUUUCUCUUACUGAAAUUAACCUUGCUGAUAACUCUAUUUCUGGUGUGAUUCCAACUAGUAUUGGUUCUUUGCCUACCCUUAAUUCAUUGAACUUUUCUUCAAACAAUUUUUCUGGUGAGAUUCCAUCAAGUUUAUCAUCUCUUAGACUUAGCCUUCUUGAUUUAUCAAACAACCAGUUAUUUGGUUCCAUACCAGAAUCACUAGCUAUAUCAGCUUUCAAAGAUGGUUUCAUUGGAAAUCCUGGUUUAUGCAGCCAGAUUUUGAAAGAAUUUCAACCAUGUUCCUUGGAAUAUCACGGCUCGAGGCGUAUUCGAAACCUUAUAUUACUUCUCAUUGCUGGUUUAAUGGUACUUCUGAUUGUUUCAUCAGCAUAUUUCCUCUUCGUGAGACUGAAACAGAAGAACAAGUUUGAGAAGCCGGUAUUGAAGACAAAUUCUUGGAAUUUCAAGCAAUACCAUGUACUAAACAUCAAUGAGAAUGAAAUUAUUGAAGGGAUUAAAGCUGAGAAUUUGAUUGGAAAAGGAGGGUCAGGGAAUGUUUACAAGGUUGUUCUUAAAAGUGGUGAAAUAUUUGCUGUCAAACACAUUUGGACUUCAAAUCAAAGUGAUUACAGAAGCAGUUCAGCUAUGCUGAAAAGGAGUUCAAGAUCACCUGAGUAUGAUGCUGAGGUGGCAACAUUGAGUUCUAUAAGGCAUGUGAAUGUGGUGAAACUUUAUUGUAGCAUCACAAGUGAAGAUAGUAGUUUGCUAGUUUAUGAGUUUUUACCAAAUGGGAGUUUGUGGGAGAGGUUGCAUACAUGUAAGAAGACUCAAAUGAUGUGGGAGGUUAGGUAUGAGAUUGCAUUAGGUGCUGCUAGAGGAUUGGAGUAUUUGCAUCAUGGUUGUGAUAGAGCUGUUAUGCAUAGAGAUGUUAAAUCAAGUAAUAUAUUGCUUGAUGAGGAAUGGAAGCCAAGGAUUGCUGAUUUUGGACUUGCUAAGAUUGUGCAGGGUGGAGGUGGCAAUUGGUCUCAUGGCAUUGCUGGAACACUUGGCUACAUGGCUCCUGGUAAGCAUGAAUUCUUCUUAUAUUUGGAUAAACUUUGUAAGCGUUAAGUUAAAAUAAUUAUGAGCCCUUUAGAACAUUCAUAUUCAACUUGCUGAUAAGCAUCUAUCAACUUAUUAAUAACUUUAUCAUAUGCAAAGCAAUGUUUUAAAAACUGAACUAGAGAACGAUUUGGUAAGACCUCUGAGUCAUGGUUCAAUUGGUUAAACUAUAAUUGAACUUGAUGACUAGUUCUGGGAGGCUGAAAAUGCCACGGUUGAACCAACCAGCAAACCGACCAUUUCUCAAACUGGUUGAACCGGACAGUCGUGUUCCAAAAGCAUUGAUGCUAAGAGUUAUAAACUCAUUUGAAGCUAUUAUGAACUGCAAGUUGAUAUAUACUAGGCCUCAAACAACCUUAUUUUAAAUUAAAAAAAACAUGUCAUGUUAGCUUCCAGUAAUAAACUUUUUGGGGUAACACAAAAUAAAGAACAUAAAAACUAACUAGUCCAUUAUAAUUGUAUAGGAAAAAGUGUUAGAGGAGUUUUAAAUUUUUGGCUAUUAUACUUGAAAAUUGAUCAUGUUGAUUUUUACUAUGACAGAAUAUGCCUACACAUGUAAGGUGACAGAAAAGAGUGAUGUUUACAGCUUUGGAGUAGUACUGAUGGAGUUGGUAACAGGGAAGAGACCUGUGGAACCAGAGUUUGGAGAGAAUAAGGAUAUUGUAGGUUGGGUAUGCAGUAAUAUUAGGAGCAAAGAAAGUGCUUUUGAAUUAGUGGAUUCUACCAUUUCAAAAAAAUUCAAAGAAGAUGCCAUUAAGGUGUUGAGAAUCGCGGUGUUGUGCACGACGAAAACUCCAUCUUCUAGACCAUCAAUGAGAAUGUUGGUUCAAAUGCUGGAAGAGGCAGAACCAUGUGCUCCAACAAAAGUGACUGUCACCAUUGAUGGUUAAACAUGUUACAAGUUUUCUGUCAGCUGCAGUGCACACAUUUUUCCUCCAUGUUGAGCUAAGAAACACAUAAAGUGAGGCAGUGAAAGAAUGAUAAAAUAGUAAAUACUAGUAAGUGAAUGAACCAUGACACUCUAUAGUUUGUAGUAUGGUGUAACAGUUGUAGGGACUUAGAUUUAAAGAGAGAUAGUUUCUCUCUAACAGUUCCUAUAACUACUACAUAUUACAACACAAUUUCGUAAAUGUAUAUGUAGUAGCAUCUUAGAGACUUUAGUCCUAUGUGGUAAACUUAUUUGGCAUUAAGACAUGAUCUUGUGGAAAUUUAUCAUUUUAUUUGGUAAAAUUUUCCAAAUGUCUUUCUCAUUGAGCAAGCUCUAUCUUAACACUUUCCAUGUUUAGAAUUAUCUAUAAUACAGUCAAAGAAGAAAACAGAUUUAGAAUGAUCGUGAUCACUAACAAAUGUUCGAAAACAUUGCAUACAAUUUGAAAUAACACACUGGAGGUGCCAAAUUUUUGAAUAACUCAGAUUUUUUUGACACAAGUGUACAUUGCUAUACAAGCUUUUAAUAUCAUGUAUAAAUAAGGAUUUAAUUAAUCAUAACCAUUGAAUUUUCUCAUCUUCAAAAUCAUUUGACUUAAAUCAUAAUUAUCUUAUAAGUCAUACAAAAAAUAUUUAUAAUUGAUUGAUAUGAUAAAAAGUUUUUACACAAACAAUGCAUCAAAUAACAAUUCCGUAUGCUUAGAUAAUAUCAAAUAGAUGAAGAAAAAUUAUGUAUCAUGCCAAAGAACAACAAAAUUAAGUGAUUCACUAAAAAAAAAUACUUAAUGGAUAUGUCACAUGUAAAUAAACCAACUUCCUCCCUAAAAUUCUACAGGGACCAUCAUCUUUGUCAAUAGUAAAAUAAGAUUGUCCGUAAAAUAAUUUUUUUUAGAUAAGAUUAAAUAAAAUAGAAAAUGGACAUAGAAGCUUUUUGUAAAAAUAAUAAUUUAUGGAUGUUCUCUAUGUCCAAUACAAUGUUAUCUAUCAGGCACUCUCAAAAUUGAUUGCAUUGCAAUUAUGUUGUUACAAGGACCAUGUUUUGGAUCAAUUUUGUAAGUUGUAAUACAAAUCUUUUGAAUCUUAAUUGAGCAAUUAGAUUUAUUUUCUUGUCAAAUAGAAAAACUUAAUAAUUUUGAUAUCAAAGAAUUCAAGCCAGUAUCCAAACUGCUUUGUUUAAUAAGGUGAUUGCUCAAGUAGUUUACACUACCGAGAACUAGAAUAUGAUAAAAAACCAAAAAUAUAAGUAAAUUUGAAGUUGAAUGAGCCAUCAGAGUUUAAUAAAAGGUUUUUGUUACCCCAAAGGCCCAAACUAAUGCAACACGGAAGCCCAAUGGUGCACCCACUUUGAGAGGUUGAUCAUGCACCCCACACCUAAAUCUGUCACCCCUAAUCAACAUAAAAAUACAAUUUUACCAUUUUAAAUUUUUUAUUUUUUCAUAAUUUUAAGGUUUAUGGUUUCGAAUUUUUUCAUAUUUAAAAACUUAUCAUAUUUAAAAACUUUCGAAACAUUUUAAAUUUUCGAAAUAAGAAUUACAUAUAUUUACUUUAAAACAAUUUGCGUGGUUAGAAUAUGAAUUUCUAAAGACAUCGAGGUGGAGGUUUGAAGAGUGACAGUGGAAUAAUAUCCACUUUAUUAUUUUCUGGUAGAUAGAUGUUCGAUGGAAGGGUGCGACCAUAAAGAAAUGUAAAUAAUUAUUGAUAAAAAAAUUUAUUUUGAAUUUUAAAGAAAUCAUGGAUGGAUGGACGUUUCUUUUUUCAUUUUUUUUGUCUAGUAAAAACAAUCAUUUUUCUGUGUUGAUAUCCAUUGAUAUGAAUCAGAAUAAUUAAUAAUAUAUAUAUAUAUAUAUAAUAUAAAUAUAAAAUAUAUUUAUUAUAAUGAAUAUUAUAAAAUAAUAAUAAUUAGAACAUAAUAAAAUAAUAUUUUUAUUGAAAAGAAAUUAAAAUUUAUAAUAUAUAAAAAAUAUAAAAAUAAAAUAAAAUAAAAUAUAUAAAAAUAACAAUAUAUUUUUACUAAUAGGAUAGGCUCUAGUGAGUAUCAGCCCCUCGUUCCUUUCCCUAAUUUUAAAUCAAAGAAGAAAACUCAUAUCCACACCGCAUUUAUAUUCGGUAAAAAAAAACGUAUCAGUCUAAGUCAACGUAAGUUAUUAAAUCAUAUAUUUGCAACAUUAAGUUACAUUUCCAUACUUAAUAAGUACGAAUAAAUUAUGCAUUAUUUCUUUGACUAAGAUUCGACUAAAAUAAAAAUAUGAUUGAUAAUUAUUAUUUAUGUGUUAUUAAAUGUUAACAAGUGUAGUAUUUAUUUUUUACUCAAUUUUUGUAUUUGUUAAUGAUUCAAAUAUUGAAAUAUAAUAUUAAAAAAACAUAAAUUUUUUUAUUUUUUGAUUCAUUAAUUAUUGUAUCCUUAUAACAUCUAUAUUAGAGCUCUCUCAAUCUCUUUAUUCAACACCUAAAUUUUUUUUACUAAAUAGAUAUCACAAAUAAUUCUAUAUAUGAUCAUAUUUUAAAAACAUUAAUUUAUUUUAAUAUAAUAGGUGUAUUAUUAGAAACUUCCCAAAUGUGGAUAGGUUUGAAGUGACUUUUAACAAUGGCUAUAGACAUUUUCCCAAAAAAAAACAAGAAGAAAGUAUAAGUCUAGAAAUGGUAAAAAGACGAAAUUGGAACAAAGUGGUCUACAAAUAUGUAAUAUUUACAUAUAUUGCCACUAGCCAAUCGAAAACCGAAAACCCAGUAGAUGAUCUCAAAGAAUGAAGUUGGGUUUGGGUCCAUUCUCAACAACUACUACUAAUACUGCAUUCUCAUAUUCUUCCCUAAUUUUCAUCCCUCCUAUCUCAAUUCCAUUUUCUCACCCCCAAAUAACUUCUUCAGGUCACUCUCUGCCUUUCUUUACGUUAAUUCUUUUUAUGAUGUUUUAUUACUUUCCAAAAAUAUUUGUGCCUUUUAAAGAUAAUAAUACCUAAUUCAUGUUCUUCUAAUUUACCAUUUUUGUUGAUUGAAUUGAAUCUCUUUCAUUUAAUGCGUCUCUGCUAUGUGAUAUUUUGCAGGAGGGAGAAAAAGCUUUAUUUUUCGUGUGCAAAACAUUGAUCAUAAUAAAAUUGAGUCAAUACCUAGUACUACUUCUUUCAUGGCUUCACAACAGGGAAUUCCACAGGUUAACAGAAAUUUUUACCCACAUAUUGAACCCUAUAGUACUGGUUUUUUGAAUGUUUCAGAUCUUCAUACUAUCUACUGGGAGCAAUCAGGAAAUCCAAGUGGCCAUGUGAGUAACAAUUGUCCUAACUAACUUAAAUUUGCAAUUUUUUUUUUAGAUUUAAUUUUCUAUUUAGUCAUGAAAAUAUAGUGUCACACAAUUUGGUUAUUUGAAAUUGAAAACCGUCCAUCACAUUAGUGCUUAUAGGAUAAUUUCAAGGAUUAAAUUGACGGACUCAUAAGAAAUAAUGUGAUUGAAGUUUAUAAAAUUAGGAAUCUAUUUGAAAAUUUCCUAUAUAUUAGGGAUUAGAUUGUUUGAUCCCUACAAACAACUUCGGAGAGUAAAUUGGCGAUGAACUACUCAUGUUUUUAAUAACAAAGUUUUAAACUUUUCUUAGUUUUUAUUUAAAAGUAGGCUCAUGUGUUUAUAUUGGUUGGUGAAGACUGGAAUGUGAGCCACUAUUAUUAAGUGAUUCUAUGUGGAUUGUUUAUUGAUGCUACUGAGUAAACUGUAAUGUUGGACUGUUCCAUUAAGUCUCGUGUAGAAUUGAAGAUAGUCAUUUCCUUGACCGUUUUUGUUGGAAAUGAUAUAUGUAGUUCAUCUGUGGCAGCUCAUGUUUUUAUGAAAACUGAAUUGAAAAACUGAAAUAUUGCAUUCUUUAUCUAGUCCGCCCUCAUUUAAAUAGCUAGUUUCUAUGUAUUGAAACUGUGAUAAGUUUUCAAUUAAUUUAACUUUGCUAAGGCCUAAGAGUGGAAAAAAAUAUUGUUUCAUCAUUUUGCAAGUAUUUUUUUGUUUCUGGCAGCCAGUUAUCUUCCUUCACGGAGGUCCUGGAGGGGGAACUUCCCCAAGUAAUAGAAGAUUUUUUGAUCCUGAAUUUUACCGAAUCAUACUUUUUGAUCAGGUUAGUUUCCAAAUUUAGUGUGUGAUAAUUCACUCCAGCUCUUGUGAAAUUACUAUUUUUCUCUUAAUCAGCGAGGUGCGGGGAAAAGCACACCCCAUGCUAACUUAGAGCAUAACACCACAUGGGACCUCAUUGACGAUAUUGAAAAAUUAAGAGAACAUUUGGAGAUUCCAGAAUGGCAGGUCAUCUCUCACCUCUAGUUUUUUACCAGUAUACAUUUUGUGAUUCUUAUGUAAUGGUAUAUGAUUUUAUGAUCUAUAUAAUAUACAGGUAUUUGGUGGGUCAUGGGGAAGCACACUUGCCCUUGCAUACAGCCAAUCUCACCCGGACAAGGUAUUGUUUUGGUUUUCAUUGCCUUCUUUUAUAUUACAUACAAAAGGUGUCUGACUUUUAUAAGUUGUUGUAAUAUCAUUGAAGAUUGUGUUAUCUAUAAUUAAGGGUUUUUUCCUUGCUAUGCUGCACAGUUUUUAAAAUAUUUUAUUAGUAUUAUUAUUAUUAUUAUUAUUAUUAUUAUUAUUAUUAUUAUUAUUAUUAUUAUUUUUGUGGCAAGGUUACUGGCAUGGUCCUCAGGGGAAUCUUCCUUUUAAGGAAGAAAGAAAUAGACUGGUUUUAUGAGGGUGGUGCUUCUGCAAUAUUCCCUGACGGUAUUAAACUAUUUUUUUUAUUUGUUUGCUCAUUGAAUUAUGUUUGAGCAUUUGUCAUGCAUAAUAAGCCUUCCUUUUAAAACAUAAAGUUGUUUUUGACUUGUUUGAUGUAUAGAAUAAGCCUGGAACUUUUAGGUCAUAUCAGUUUCUUUGCACGUGAGAACUAAAAUUAUUUUCAAUUAGGAAUAUGAAAAGAGAAGCACUGUUUAGUGUUUACCAUAACUUUACUGCUCUUUUUAUUUUAAUUGUAGCUUUGCAUAAUUUCAUAUAUGAUUUUGUGAUCUAUGGCUUUUCUACUCAUUAAAAAAGUCAUAACAUUAAGUGGUUGAUUGUUUGUGCAUUUUGUAAUGUCAGCUUGGGAGUCAUUCAGAGAUCUUAUUCCAGAAAAUGAAAGAGGAUGCUUCAUUGAUGCGUAUAAGAAGAGAUUAAACUCUGAUGAUAUUGAAACUCAGGUAAUUGUCUGUCUGGUUUAUGAGCUUGCCUUCUACCGUUUCCUCCCAUAAUCAUAAUACUUAUUUUUCUUUAUAUGUUAUUUUGGUUUCAAGGCAAUUGUUCCCAUCUUUCGGCCUGAACUCUUAUAAGAACAUAGUACAUAGAGUUCAAGAUAAUUGAAGUAGUUUAAACUAAAAGUCUAUCCUUAAUAAUACCAAUACGUAUCUGAAAUGACUAAUGACUAAUAGCAAGCUUGUGUAUGACUUUACCUUACUGAAUUAUUAGAGUGCUUUUCUUGUGUAUAUUGACAAGUCGAGAGUCAUUUUUUUACAUGUCGGAUUUUCUAUUUGAUUAAGGGGUUCAGGGACAGGUCCUGAAUUGUUCCUUUUGUUUCAAGUGUCUAAAUCCUGUCAAAAGAUUUUUAGUUUACUUACCUAUAUCUUCAUUCUUAGUAUGCAGCCGCUAGAGCAUGGACCAAAUGGGAAAUGAUGACUGCUCAUCUUCUUCCAAAUGAAGAUAACAUCAAAAGGGGAGACGAUGAUUACUUUUCACUGGUAAGCUCAUCAAGUGAAGAAUAACAAAGAUUUUCACUGAUAAAGAAGCUGUUAUAGAUCAUUCUUAAAAUUGUCACAAAAAUCUUCUCUAUUUCUAUCGGUUUCCCUUUGUGCAGUCUUGAGAUUGGUAUAGUGUUUCUUGUAAAAAAAAUCAGUUUGAAUGCAAUUCUUAUAAAAUGAUAAUAUCACUGAUAUCUUAAUCUUUCUGCGUUCUUGAUUUAUGCCAUGUUUGCGGAAAACCUUUUCUCCCCUAUAAAGUUAGUCAAACAAACUUAUAAGCUAGUCAAAAUCAAAUAAGCUAUGAGCUAGUUUAUUGCCCUAGCCAAACAUAGGCACAAUAUAAUUUGAAGAAUAGGAGCCUUUAUUUUCUUCCUUUUUAAAAACUAAAGUCUACAAUUUUUCCACCUUCAUAAUUUACGAUUAAUUUAUGAUUGUCUAUUGUUUUUUGAGUCAAUGAUUGUCUAUUGUUGUUGCCUACGAUUGGGAUUCUUUAACUUGCAUAAUGACUUUUGAUGAUGUCAAAUGAUUUUUUUUUCUAUCAGGCAUUUGCAAGGAUCGAAAACCACUAUUUUGUUAACAAGGGUUUCUUUCCAUCCGAUUCAUUCUUGCUAGAUGGAGUUGAUAAAAUAAGGCAUAUCAACACCACCAUUGUGCAGGUAAAUCACUUUUUGUUGCAUCCUUCAAAAUUCAGAUUCUUAUGAUCUCAACUCUUGACUUAUAGGGAAGAUACGAUUGUUGCUGUCCUAUGAUGUCAGCCUGGGAUCUUCAUAGAGCUUGGCCAGAGGCAGACUUUAGGGUAAGGAAGAGAGUGUUGCUUUUGGUCUUUUCUCGCAUACUUUCACAAUGAAAAUUGUAUAUGAAGUUUCAUGAUAGAGAUUUUAAAAUCACAUUAUACAGUGAAACAUGACUUCUUUCUAAAGGAUGAUUUUGCUGAAUGUCAUACUAUAUGAACACAGGUGGUUCCAGAUGCAGGACAUUCAGCCAAUGAACCCAGCAUAGCUGCUGAACUUGUGGCUGCAAAUGAGAAAUUAAAAAACAUAAUCAAGAAUAAAGGGGAGUAACGCUGGAGACUAAUCAGAUUCACAAGUGCUGUUCGUAUUGCAGAAGUUGCCUUGAUAUGUGCACCAGAACUUUAAUGCUUGUGAUCGUCGAUUUGUGCUGGUGAUUUGGAACAUUUAGUUUUAAAUUAUUGAGUUUAAAGCUUUAUCAAAAUCAACAAAGCUAAAAAAACUGCAUAUUUACAGAUCUUAUUAUCAAUUACACAAAUAAAGUAUGAAUCAGAUCAAUCUCACACAUUUCUAAACUAAAACCAAUAAAGGCUUGCAUUACAAAAGAUUCAUCUAUCUCACACAAGAAAUUUAAUGCUUGUGAUCCUUGAUUUGUGCUGUGAUUUGGAACAUUUAGUUUUAAAUGAUUGAAUUUUAAAGCUUUAUCAAAAUCAACAAAACUAAAAAAACUGCACAUUUACAGAUCUUAUUAUCAUUACAACAAAUCUUGUAUAUGAAUCAAAUCAAUCUCACACACAUCUAAACUAAAGCCAAAAUAAAGGCUUGCAUUACAAAAGAUUCAUCUAUCUCUCUCAUAGGUUACAACAACAAAUGCAUCUUUUUUUCUUCAAUUUACCAAAGCAACUCAACAAAAUUCAACGAUGAUAUUGAACAACACCCUCCCUUCACCAAUAUAUGAGCCCCUAACUUGGUUUCCUGGUAGUGCAGCUCUUGGGCACAUGGAGACUCUGAAACUUUGGUUCCUUGGGAACAGUUAAAGCUCUUCUUCCUUGUGAACAAGAUGCAUCAUGUUUACGGAGCGUUGCCGUUUCAUUUGGUUUUACAGUCUCUGAAGGCUUUUCAAUAAUGACAUUAAGUUUACAAGCUGUUGCAAGAACUGCUUUAUCUUUCUUCCUGGACAAAACACUGCACGACACACUUUUAUUAUUAAAUAUACAAUUCCAUAGAUUGAGAUUAAGGCUUUAUUCGUAAAUUUCCAAACUGAUUUAUUACUUACCUUAGAGGCGUCACAAUAUUACAUUGCAUCAUUUUGGAUUUUCUUUUGAAAUUUUCAUCAAGAUCAACAUGUUUCUGAAGUUUAGGACCAGGAUUUCUUUGAGAUGUUUUGGCAGAUAAUUUAAGUUGCACUUUGGUGUUGGAGUUGUUGUCACUAUGAAUGUUUCCNNNNNNNNNNNNNNNNNNNNNNNNNNNNNNNNNNNNNNNNNNNNNNNNNNNNNNNNNNNNNNNNNNNNNNNNNNNNNNNNNNNNNNNNNNNNNNNNNNNNNNNNNNNNNNNNNNNNNNNNNNNNNNNNNNNNNNNNNNNNNNNNNNNNNNNNNNUUCCCUACAUAAAGUUGAGGAUGUUUCAGCCAUCUUCUCUAAAAACACACAUUUAAGCAGUAAUUAAGUUGCUAUCAGUAAGCAGGAACUUACUGUUUGGUUUUGUUGCAUUGUUUGGUGUGAUUUCUCGUCGCAGCUGCUAUAAUUGUCUUGAUGACUUUGAGCUAGACAAGUUUCAUUUUUCUGAAAGGAAGAGAAAGGAAAAAGGAAAAUUUAGAUAUACAAGGAAAAUAUAAUGUGAGGUACAGAUUGAGGUUCACAAUGAGACUAAAUCAGUUUACAUUCUUAUGUUUCCUUAUUGCCUUGCCAUCUUUAGCAGUGGUUUCUUUCAAGGGCGAGGUGAUUCUUUUCUCUAAGUUUGCUUCUUUCAGAAUUCCCCUUUCCUGCAGCAUAAAAAAAAAAUAGCAUAAAUCACACACUAGAUUAUUGUAACUUAACUUUAAACUAAAUAAACCAACAAGAACAGAAGCCCACUUUAAACUAAGUAAACCAACAAGAACAGAAGCCCUUACUUACAUCAGUUCUGAACUUGAAAGGCUUAGGAUUGGUAGGCUUUAAUUUUCUGUAUUUUACAACUUGAGAGCCAGUUGUAGUAGAUGUAGAUUUCUGUUUCAAGGUCUUAGUAAAAAUUAAAAUCAAAUCAUUGCAGUAGGUGGGACUGAACUGAAAAUAACAUCAAUGAGAUUCUAAACUUAGACCAUACCUUGUGCGUUUUUCUAUCUUCCUGCUUGCUUCCAAGAAUGGCCUUCUUAGAACCAUCAUUGUUGGUACUCAUUGCUCUGCUCCCACAAAAAAUUAAAUGUUUACUUUGAUGUUUAAGAAACACAAAAGAGCCAGAAUAAAACACAUUUUGAGACAAAUCAAAAUACUUACAUAUUCUCACUAGGGGCCGAAGAGUUUUCCUUGUCAUCAUCCUCAGUAAGUUCAAUCUCAUUUUCUUUAUCAUCAGAAGCCAUUGAUUUUUUAUCAGCCUUUCUCUUUUUGGCUUCAGGAGUUUUUCCCUUGUCUGAGACUGUCAUCCUUUUCUCUUCAUUUUCACUCUCUUCAAUAGUUUUCUUCUCAUCUUCGAUCGAGCUUGACAGUGAGGUAGUAUCAUCUCUUGAACUCUCUUCUCUUUCUAGAGAGUCACUCCUUGAUUUUUCUUCAAUCUCCAUGUCACUAGUGUCACUAUGUUGCUGCUCAGGAACCUGGUGUUUCUGCAUGGCUUUCACUUUCUUCUCUUUAGGACAUCUAACAUUGCUAGUUUCUGGUCCCUUUCGAUUACUAGAAUACAAUGAAUCGAACACACGACUUUUAACCUCUCGCCCCUUGAAUUGCUUCUUUCUAGAGGAAUCCACUGGCAAUGAGUUGUUACAUCCUUCUCCAUUCUUCUUCACUCCAUUGAAUUCAAGCUUCUUCAUUGCAGAACACAAUGCUUUCAUGGAUGUUUUCAAUUCUACAGAACUUUUGGUAUCAAUCAUCUUCUUUGGUGAGUUAAAAACUAAGGCUUUGGCCACUACUCUACUCUUAGCCUUAGGCACAGCAACAGUCACUGCUUUCUUGUUCUGAACACUCCUAAACUGUUCCAAAUUAGAAACCUUCUUUGGAUUCCGUGGAGUGGUCAAAGCCUUUGUCAAAGAGGGUGAUUGCUUCACCUUGGCAUUUGGGGUUGCAGAAACCUUAGAAAGAGGUUUAACAACUUUCACAUUAUUCUCAGUCACCUUGUGUGACAAGGAAGAUAUGAAAGCCAUUCUUGACAUCCUUGGCUUUGCAGGAGCUGUAAGGGGACACUUUAAAUUUCCACUGAAAAUCAAUAACAUUAAGAAAUUGCGUUACUUUAAAAGCUCUAACAGUACUACACUAGAUUCUAAGUUGUGACCAUGCCGCAAUUUCUUGAUAUUGUGAAGAAUUGUGGUCACAUGCACCAUUGAGGUUACAUAGACCAUAAAUAAAAACCUUCAUGUUUAUGACUAAUACUAUGUUGGAUAUUUGGAUUUGAAAACGGUCAAUUUAGAUUGGCUCAUUUGAGAACCAUUUUUCAGUUUAUUUCCAUAAUUUCUCUAAAAUAGUUUAACAAAACAUGGGCUUAUAAAAUAAAUAGCUUUUACAUAAAACACUUUUAUAGCAAGUACUUAUCCUAUAAUAGCUUAAAUAAGCGAUUUAUCCAAUAGAAAUUAAGUUAAAAAGAAAGUGUUGAGUAAAGAAGAGUAUUAUUGGCUAGCUACCUUGCUUCUCUUUCUCUUCUAUUCAAUGCUUUUCUGAGCCUAACAUUGGGACUUCUAGCUGCCAUAACCUGAAAAUCCAACACACAUUUGAAAUAAAAUCAGUAUACCUUAUUGAUUACUCCUUUUUUAUUGAAAGCAAAAUCAAUCAAUAAAAAAAAAACUAGAACAAACCCGAAGAACAAAAUCAUUGUAAAUUGCUUCAGAAUCCAAUUCUUCCUCAUGCUUUUGGUCACAACCUGAGAAUAGAGUUUCAAUUUAGCAAAUUAAGUUAAAAAUGAAAUCGAAAAUAAACAAAAUAAUUAUAAAGAUAGAAAUAAAAUUGAAAAUUACCGAAGCGUAAGCAGAACCAGUGGCGGUCAUAAUCGGGAGGGCGUUUAUCAGGUGCGGUGAGGUCUACGAACUUAGGUGCUUCAAUCUUCUCGUAGAAAUCGUCGUCUAUUUCUAUUUCCUCUUCUUCAAUUACUGGUAAGCAACGAUUUUCUGCCAUUACUAUUAAUUCGUUGUUAUUAGUUAAAUCAAAACUAAAAAGAGAAGAAUAGCGUCACAGCAAGUAACGUUGGAGUUACUAGUAAGUAAUGUUUGGGAUUUCUCGCAUCAACAUUUUUAAAUUCCCGAGUAACUAGCCGUUGUGAUUCCGACAGCCUGGUAAGACAGAAAAAUAAAACGGUAUGAAAGGGGUCUUUUCGUCAUUUUCUACUUUCAAUUGGAUACAUGCUCAAAGCCCAUUAUCCCAGUCUAGCCCGGUUUGUUUAAUUUUCUCAUUGGGUCUUCUGCAUUUUCUUGUUCAUGAACCCAAAUGUUUUUUUUAAGGGGAUGAAAACCUAUGUAAAUUACAUGUCAUUAUAAUAAUAAAUAAAAGGUUUAAUUGCAGUUUUAGUCCCCUAUUUUAGCUGAAUCGCGAAAGUAGUCCCUCCAUUUUAUUUCUUUCCAGUUUUGGUUCUUCAAACAUAAUUUUGGUCCAAAACUUGAUGAAAUUUCAUUUUUAUUGCAUUUAUUUAAGUCGCAUCAUGCCCCAAGAUCUCAUUUGCAACAAUUGUAUUUGAAAUCUAUUAUCAUAAAUGGUAUAGUACGACUUUAAAAAAUAAAAUUUCAUCAAGUUUUGGACCAAAAUUCUGUUUGAGGACCAAAACUGGGGAGAAACAAAAUGGAGAGACUACUUUCGCGAUUCAGCUAAAAUAUAGGGACCAAAACUGCAAUUAAGCUUAAAUAAAAUAAACAAAUAUUAAACAAAACCUAUGUAAAUUAUAUGUCAUUAUUAUAACUAUUAUUUAUACCAUAUUCAUUGUUAUCCCUCCACUAGUAUCACUUCUCCUCAACCAACAUUUAGGAGUGUAUGCAAAACAAAUAGCAUGAUCACAAAUUGUCAUUGCCACAAAUAAAUCUAAACACGCGGGCCUUGAUAAAGAAAUGAAACCGCAAUAAUUAAAAAAGAAAUAUAAAUUAUCGGUGUAAAAUUGGUGGGGUACUUAAAUUAAAUGUUCAACUGAUUUCAAGUAUAUAAUAUAAGAACUAAGAAAUUAGAAGACAUAUAGUCCUGAUUUUUAGUUGCACAAACAUAACACGUCAAAGGUCACAGCCUCACACAUAUUAUUACUAGGAGAAAAACUUGCAAUAAAUCAGGUCAUCAACUUUUCAUUGUUAAAUCUUUAUUAUUUCCUUUAAUUUACUUGUCAAAUUUCAGUUUCACUAAUUUGUUGGAGAUGGUUUAUCAGUAUAUUCUAGCAGGGAUUAUAGCUUAUUAUAGUUUGGUGUUUGUGUUUGUUUUGUACAGUUCUGCAUCAAAGAAAAAGGCUAAAGUUUCAGAAAUCAAUAAUGGUUGUUUUAAUAAUAAUAAUAUUAGUGAAUCAGAAAUAGGAAAAAAUAUAUGCCCUCAAGAAACCUCAGAAAAUAUAGACAUCAUAAUUGUGGGAGCCGGUGUUGCUGGUGCAGCCCUUGCUUACACACUUGGGAAGGUAUCAAAUCAAAGCCUUUUCUUUGUGAUAGGGUUUUCUUGAGCUUCAACAUUCUAGUAACUACUUUUAAAAUGCUUAUAUUUUGGAUAUCCAUAACAAAAAUUCGAUGUUGGAGUCAACUAAAAGUCUAUAUUUAUAAUUUUAUCUUUUUUUAUCAAUUAAAUAUUUUUAUAAAAUUUUGUAACUUCUACUAUUUUUAUUAAGAAAAGCCAACAGGUUGAUACAUUAGUGUUUAUAUGUAUGUUAGUAAUAAUAGUAAUGUUUACUUACAAAAGAAGUUUUAAGAAAAAAACUGUCUAUUUCGAGUGAGAUUUUGAAUGACCGCACAGAAAUAUCUAAAAGAUAUAUAUUUUUUAUUAUUUAAAUAUAUCUUCCUUAUUAUGAGAGUAUAGUCAAAAGCAUGAAACAUGUGAAAUUACUAUUUGUUCCUUUCUAUAACACAAAUAUAAAAUCAACAAUUUAAUUGUUUCUUGUAUCAGGAUGGAAGACAAGUGCAUGUUAUUGAGAGAGAUCUGAGUGAACCUGACAGGAUUGUAGGUGAAUUGCUACAACCAGGAGGUUAUUUGAAAUUAAUUGAAUUAGAUCUUGAAGGUAAUUAAUUAAUUAAGCAAGAAACAUAUGUCAAAUGUGACACAUUAACAUUCUUGUAUGAAAUUAGAAAUUAGAUACAUAAAAAAUAGUGUAACAAUAGAGUAAUCAAUUAAUAGAUGAAUGUUGUGAGCUAUUAUACAGAUUGUGUGGACGAAAUAGAUGCUCAAAAAGUGUUUGGCUAUGCUCUUUACAAAGAUGGAAAAAAUACCAAACUUUCUUAUCCCUUGAAAAAAUUUAAUGUUGAUGUUUCUGGAAGAAGCUUUCACAAUGGACGUUUCAUACAGAGAAUGAGAGACAAGGCUUCAUCUCUUCAAAAGUACUUCAUUUUUAACUAACUUUUCAAUUUUGAAAAAAAUGUUUAUUUAUGGAACUCAACUUAUAUAGUGUAAUGAUAAUUUUAUGCAGUGUGAAAUUAGAACAAGGAACUGUUACCUCUCUAAUUGAAGAAAAUGGAAUCAUCAAAGGAGUAUACUACAAAACCAAGAAUGGACAAGAGCUCACAACAAAGGCUCCUCUUACCAUAGUUUGUGAUGGUUGUUUUUCCAACUUAAGACGUUCUCUUUGCAACUCAAAGGUAGUGACUAAUAUACUACUAUUUGCUUUUUAGUUAUCACUAAUCAAUAUAAUAUAAUAAUAAUAUGGGAAAUAUUAAUAGAUUAAUAGAUAUUUAAAUAUUUGCACAGGUUGAAGUACCAUCUCAUUUUGUUGGUUUGGUACUAGAGAAUUGCAAUCUUCCAUAUGCAAAUCAUGGACAUGUUAUCUUAGGUGAUCCUUCUCUAAUUUUAUUUUAUCCGAUUAGUAGCACUGAGAUUCGAUGUUUAGUUGAUGUGUCUGGCCAAAAAUUACCCUCCCUUGGAAAUGGUGACAUGACACAUUAUCUCAAAACAGUUGUAGUUCCUCAGGUACAAAUAAUACUCAAUUUUUCCAAUCAACAAACAUUAAUUCUUAAUUACAUGUUCCAAACAGGUCUUGGUUAUUUUAAUUGACUAGUUUAUGUCAAACUAAUAAUUCAGGUUCCAGAGGAGCUUCAAUGUUCUUUUGUAGAAGCAAUUGAUAAAGGAAACAUAAGAAGUAUGCCAAAUAGAAGCAUGGCAGCAUGUCCUUAUCCCAAACCAGGGGCACUUCUAAUGGGAGAUGCUUUCAAUAUGAGACACCCUUUAACUGGAGGUGGAAUGACUGUGGCUUUAUCUGAUAUUGUUUUACUAAGAGAUCUUCUUAGACCUCUACAUCACUUACAUCAUGCUUCUGCUCUUUGUAAAUAUCUUGAAUCAUUUUACACACUGCGCAAGGUAAAUUUUAUACAAAUAAUUAAGUAAAUAAACACAAUUUAUAUAUUUUCAUCUAAUUCCAUAACCUCUUUAUUUUAACUAAGUGUAAAUAUAUUUUUAAUCUCCGUAAAUAUAUCGUUUUUUUAGUCACAGUGUAUAAUAAAAGUCUAACAUCACUGAUGACUGAUAUGAAUUAAAUUUAAUAAUUGGUGUAUGAUAUUUUUGUAUGCAGCCAGUAGCAUCUACAAUAAACACAUUAGCUGGGGCAUUGUACAAGGUAUUUUGUGCAUCUUCUGAUCCAGAUAAUAAGGAAAUGAGACAAGCAUGUUUUGAUUAUUUGAGUCUUGGAGGAGUUUUCUCAGAUGGACCAAUGGCUUUACUCUCAGGUCUUAAUCCUCGUCCAUUAAUCUUGCUUCUACAUUUUUUCGCCGUCGCUAUAUAUGGUGUUGGUCGCUUACUCGUGCCAUUUCCUUCUCCCAAACGCAUGUUGAUUGGAGCUAGAUUGAUUUCGGUGAGAAUGAAUGUUUAGUACUAUUACAUGUUUAGAUUGACGGUAAAUUUAAUAGAAUCACGAGACCAACGUGAUUUUACUAAAUUUAACGUGAAUUCAACUAUAUUUUAAAUUAAUUAUAUUUGUUGCUUUGGUUAAAUAGAUAAGAGUACUGGUAUGUCUUAUAAUAAAUAAUGUCAACAACCUCAUUAAGUUAAGUACCACAUUUAUUGGUGAAUUUUAUUUUUUUGACAAAUUGUUGGUCAAUUAAGAAGUGUAAUUUUGAAGAAUAUUUUGUUUUUGUUGACAUUUCAGGGUGCAUCAGGUAUCAUUUUCCCCAUUGUCAAGGCUGAAGGAGUUAGACAAAUGUUCUUUCCCUUAACUGUGCCAGCAUGCUACAGAACACCUCCUGCACAAUUUACAUAAUUAAAUAUACACAUACAUCUAAGUAUGAAAUGUUGGAAUAUGUUAUGAUUUUAUUAUGUUCAAAUAUUUUUAUGUGAGCAAAUAUUUCUAUAAUAACUAUAUUAGACAAUAUUUGUGUUGUAUAUCAAAUAAAAGAAAGACAAAUAAUAAUGAGAAUAGACUCUAGUGUAAGAAGAUAUAUUGUUGUUGUGUGAUAAGUGAAGAGAUCAUGAUGUCUAAAAAUUGGAAGUUCAAAGAUAGUGGUCGGAAAUAUUAGUAUAAUCGACAUGAAAUUACAAAAUGUAAAAAUUUCUUAUUUGAAGCAGAGAAAAACAGCAUGGAGAUGUAUGUAAUAUAUGAAAUGAGAGAAUUUUUAUAAUGAGAGAAAAAUGUAUCUUAUCUAUAGUUCAUACUAACCUACAAUUAACCAAUUACAAUUUUUCUUACAAUUUUUUAUCAAAGAAUUAUAUUAGCAACACUUUCACUAAUACUAUAUUCUCAACACACUUUAAUUGAUUCAAAUUCAAACCACUCUCUUACUAAUAAGCAUCAAACCACUAUCAUUAAAUUUAUGUAUAUAAUUUUAUUAAAUUAUGUCACAUUUAUGCGUUUACAUAAAAAUCAUUAAAUAAAGCUUUUCAGUAUCACGACCGGACUUGCAUUUGGAUAUAAAAUUGAUUAAUGAUAUAUGAAUUCAUACAUAUUAAAUUUAUGUGAGUCAGAAUAUAUUUGAAUUUCAACAAAUUAGAAUACAUGUGUCGACAAAUAUAAGAUUUUGUAUUGAUAUUAUUAUAACAAACCUUAUAUUUUGGCUAAUCAACCUAUUAAAAAUAUAUAUAUUGUCCUAGUUAAUUUAUCCAACAAUUUCUUUGAUCCAAUGACAACCAAUUUUUAUCUUUUUUUUUUAUAAAAGAAUUUUUUCAGGAAGGAUGAACAAUAUCCAAAUUUAAAAUAAUUUUUUUAAAAUGUUAUCUACAUCUAAUAACAUUAAAGAGGCUUGACUUCCCAAUAUCCAAAAAUGUACAUAAUAACUAGAGCGAUAUUGGGAAAAAAAAAAAGAGAGAUCAAUAUUUUUUAUUAUUUUAAAAGAAAAUCUUUAUUUGAAACAUUUUUUGAUAAGUUAAUUAAUAUUGAGUUUGAUGAAAAAUAUUAAAUUUUAAAUUAUAAAAAUCAAAAUUUGAAUCCUAAUGGGAAGAUGUAUCUAUAUUAAGUGUAUAAUGAACUUCGAAUAAAAAUAUCUUAAACAAAUAAAAAAAGAUUGAAGUUAAAAACCAACAAUAAAGUUGAAUGUUUUGGCUAUAUUAAAACCAAAAAUACAAAAAAAAAAAAAAAAAAAAAAACCAAAAACAUUUUUUGAUAAGUUAAUUAAUAUUGAGUUUGAUGAAAAAUAUUAAAUUUUAAAUUAUAAAAAUCAAAAUUUGAAUCCUAAUGGGAAGAUGUAUCUAUAUUAAGUGUAUAAUGAACUUCGAAUAAAAAUAUCUUAAACAAAUAAAAAAAGAUUGAAGUUAAAAACCAACAAUAAAGUUGAAUGUUUUGGCUAUAUUAAAACCAAAAAUACAAAAAAAAAAAAAAAAAAAAAAAUCCAAUAUUUACUUAACUUUUUAUUUGUUUAUUAUUGAGUAUACAUAUUGAAAAGGUAAAAAAGAGGAAAAAUCAACGAGCGUCGAAGACGACAAUAGAGAUCCUUCCACCGCAAACAGAGACGAGGUACGUUUAUUUCCGACGCAUAUUAUUAUUUCCCAAUUUUCAAUUUUUUUAUGGAUUUCGACUUUGAUGCUCUAUUUCGCCUUUCAUUCUUCUAUCUGCAAAACUUUUUAAAUCAGUUCGUGUCAUGUUGGAAUUCUAGGGUUUUAGGAAAUCUCUUAUAUCUCACUAAAUUAUACAAUUUUUUAUUUUUAUUUUUUUUACUUUUUCUUUGGUUUGAAACCCAAUGUGUUGGAGGAUAAAAAUGAUCGGAAUUCAUCAUGUAGAUGAUCAUGCUUUACCUUUCUCGUUGUGCAGUUAUUGUGGUUCCUCAAUAUGUUGAGCCCUUUCUUUUUUGUGAACCUGAAGAUCCAACCUUAAUCAAUAAUAAUAAUAAUAAAUUCUGUGCUACAUUUUGUUAUACCCUAAAACCUCUUUGGUAUUGGGAUACAAUUUUCAAAUGGAGAAAAAAAUACUUAAUAACGGUAAUGGUAUUUGUAGUAGUAAUUAUUACCCACAAGAAUUUAGGAUCUUUGACUAUUUUUUGCAUAAAGAACUCCAGGAAUGUCAGUAAUUUUGGGAAUGUCGGAAGAUUUUAGUUGCCUAGUUUUUGUUUAUGUUAUUUAUAAUAUCAAAUUAUCAAAAAAAUCUCAAUUUAGAGUUUCUUUAUUUUGUUUAGAUGGAUCUGGAGACUGAAAAUAGAUUAGCUGCUAUGCUUAUGAAGGAAGCAGCUGAGUUGCGGCGGCAGUCUGAAAAGGAAGGUGUUCUAGCUUAUCUUCAAAAGCCUAAUGUACGGAAUCGCCCAAAUUCACGUUUCCUCACUGCUACCGUACUUGGGGUACAACAAGGUUCUUUCUUAGUCACUAAUUUUGGAUAGAGUUUGGUUAUUAUUGCUCUAUAUUGUCCUACUAUGUUUUAUGAGUGUGCUUUAGAGAAAGGUUUAUCAUUGUAUGGCAAUUUUAAAUAUAUCUAUAGAUUUAAUUUAUAUGUUUCUUUGUUGUUCUUCUGUGAAUGUUUUAUACCUGUCUUUUGAUCUGUUUGGUGAAUGCUGGGUUUGCCCUUUGAGUUUCUAACAGUUCCUACUCAACUUUAUAUUAAUGUGUGGUUUGAGUUUUCAUUGGUAUCCUUUAUGACUACUUUCCAUUCUAGAUAUACAUUCAGUGCAUUCCUGGAGUACUUUAGGUACUUUCUUACAAAGUUUAUGGGACUUGGAUCCAUUAAAAUGAGAGGUGCAAUUUAUAUAGAUAAGUGGGGUUACAAUCAUUGAUAAGGAAAUCAGCGGUUGAGAUUAUAAUUAGAUACAUACACAUACGCGUGGUAAAGUAGGAAGCCGUUCAAAUUCACUCCCUUAAAUAUUCAAUUUAUGGUUAUAAUUUGACUUUUCAUACUAACUUACUAAGUGCUCCCCCUCAUACAAGUAUUUGGGUCAUAGGACGAGAGGGGAAUAGCACUCUUCUUGUUUGCUUUGCAAGGGGGGAGAGGAAGGAAAAUUAAACUAAUUCAUUAUUAUACCUUUUUUUAAUAAUUAAUAUUUUAUGAUAAGACAUUUUAGUCAAUAUAUUUUAAAAAAUUAAAGGGAAACCGAAAUUCAGAGAGUAUGGGAUUUGGCCCCCUCCCCUCCUGUCAAUUUCCCCCCAACCAAACACUAUAUUAAAGGAGGAAUCAAAUCAUUGUUAAUCUAUGGCUAAUGCCACACGUUAAGAAACAUUUAUUACUCACUCUGUCUCAUUUGUCAUUUUUCUCCGUUUCAAAUUAUUUGCCAUUUUACAAUACCAAUACAAUAUUAAUUAUUUUUUUCCACUAAUAUACCUUUAUUUAUUGUAUCUCAACUCAUCAAACUUCUCAACUAAUUGCAAUUAAUAAGGGUAUUUGAGUAAAUAAAAUUCAUUUUAUCAUUAAAAUCAACAAAACUAAUCAUUUUCUUAAGAACCACAUAAUUAAAAUGAGACAGAGGGACUAGUAUAUUAAUUUGUAUCUAAUUACUUGAAGACAAAAGUAUUAAAUGACUUUUGGAUUUUCAAGCAAAUUUUCAUUUAAUAGGUUUUAUUUUUAUAUUCAAAUUUAUCUAAAGGUCACAAGUUAACAAAACUUUCUUUAAAAGUAUUGCAUAUGAUAUUUCAAUAUGGCUUAGAUACUAUCGCAAUAAGCCAAUAGUAUGACUUAAGUACAAGCAGUCCUGUAAAACACGAAUUGUCACUAAUGAUUAAUUUAGAUGCAGAGAGAAAAUGGGAAGAUAGAAAUUGGGUAGCAAGAAAAUUAUUAUAAGAGAAGGCAGAUAGAAAAUGAGAUAUUAUAUAAGUUAUUACUUCCUCCAUCUCUGAUUAUAAGCUCCCAUUACAUUUUCCACAUAUAUUGAGACAAGUAGGUAGUGAAUUUAAUAUGUCAAUUUUAUAUGUUAUGAUCUUAUUCACGUCCUCUGUUCCACAUCCAUAUAUGGUCUUCUUUCUUCUUCAGGUUGUUCCCUUUCCCUUCCAUCUGUUAUGUGACCUCUGUUUUCUUGCCCUUUUUAUUUUGUUCUUUCAGACUAUCUUGUCCUCUCAAUCUGUUUUGUGUUUAGAUUUCUUAUUGAUCUUAAACUUGUGCGUUUAUUUAAAAGUUUAUUACUUUUGAUUAUAAUACUGAAUUUAUCUUCAAUUUUGAAUGUGUAAUAUAAUUUUUCAGUGUAACUGGCAUCCCAUCAUCUGCUAUUUUCAUAGAGCAGUUUUGGGUUUGGGAUUAUUAACGACAAAUAUUAUACUAUAUAUAUAUAAUUAGGACCGAGAGAAAAAGGAAAGAAAAUUAUGAAGACAUCUCUUAUUUGGUUAGAUGGAAGAUUGAAAAGAAAAGAAAAUUUAUUUAUUGUGAUUUUUGGAAUGACUUCUCUAUUAGUAUUUUAAAGUAAUAGUAGGAGCUUAAAUGUGUAAAAUUGUCAUUUCAGACACUGUAAUUGUAGCACCCCAACUAGUUCAUCCAUGUCGAAUAUCAAAUAUGAAACUUCUUUCCUUGAAUGACAUGUAAAUAACCAUCCACGUCUAUAUGUUGAGCUGAUAGUUUAUCUAUAUUAAUGAAACUGAAUUUCGUUUGGUGCUUUCUACCAGCAAAUCGAACUGUGGAAGUAAAUGAAAUGUGGCGAGCGCGGGAGAAAGAAAUGGAGCUAGAUAAAAGGGUUGCAGGCACAUCAAUAGAUAAAAGCAGUGGUGACAAAAGGCAUAGGGAUCAUAGCUCAUCAAGAAGCACUAGUGCCUCUGCUUCAUGCUCAACUAAAAAAGAAUAUGAGCAUACUCCAGAAGGUUUAAAUGACGAAGAGCUUGAGGAGUUUCUACACUCAAGGUAUUACUUUUCUCUUAUGCUUUCUGAUGUUGUUGUUUUAUAAGCAUGUAUGCAUGCAUGUCUCUCUUUAGUUACUUUAGAACUGAAGAAACUCCAUUUUGGUGCAGGAUGAAGCGAGGCAGAGGUGCUAUUGGUCCAAGGAUGGACGAGACAGGGCCUUACCUUCCUCCUAAUCCUGAUGAAGAGCCUUGUACCAGUCUGGAUUUAAGGGAACGUCGUGCUAUUUAUGGUCCGCAGAGGCCUCCAUCGUUGCAAUCAGACGAGUCUGAGGAGGAGCUUCAUGAAGAAAAGCGGAAAAAGAGUAAAAAGUCGCAUAAAAGCCACUCGGACAAGGGACAUUCUAAGAAGCACAGAUCCAAAGAUAAAUCUAAACAUAAGAAAAAGAAAAGGGAGGAGAAAAGAAGUAAACAUCAUCGCUAGCUAAGGCUAUUAUGUAAUAUGAUGUUCUCAGAAGUGGUUAAUACCUGCUUAAACUGUCAAUUAGGAUAGAACUAAUUAUUUGUACUUCUGUAACAUCAAAUGCAAUUCCUGCUAGAGAUAUUAAUUCUCCUUUUUUUUAUUGGAAAUACCUCAUAUAUUACGAAACCCCAAAAAGGGGAUUACAAACAGCAACAAGGUUUGGAAAACACCCUUACCAAGUUCUGUAAACCAACAAUCUUUGCUACUUGAACUAAAUCACGAGCCUCGAUAUUUUGAGCCGUUUUAACAUACACAAUAGAAACUUCAACAAAAUCUUUAGAGAGAAAUACAAUAAUGGACAAUAAGAUCGAUGCCUUUAACUACUAUGAUGGCAUCCGUUGCAAUAGUGACAUGUAGAAGCUCGAGGUCACUGGCUACCUGGAAGGCCCAACGAAACCCCAAAGCUUCGGCCUGUGCAGGCUGGUCUGCACCCUAGAGUUGAUGUCUACAUUGGGGGGCGUGAAGUUCAAGAGGCUAUGACCAAGUGUGCUUGACAAGAGAACAAAGCAUAAAUAGGUGUUCGUAAUCUUCAACCUCCGGAAAACACAGAGGUCCACAUUCAACCCUUUCUUAGAUCCGAAUUCUCAUGGCUAUAGUAUCAGGCGAUUAUUACCGACGUAUGGCGUGGAAUGUACCUCAGAAACCCCACCUACAUUUAUCCAGCUAAGUAUAGAAAAACCUUUGUGUGUUUUUUUUUACAGGACAAAAGAUAGUAAGUGAAUUGUUAUGUUAGUUUUCAAGUUUGAACCUACGAUCAUUUGAUCUCAUUCUUUCGAAUAAAAAUUAAACAUGUUAUUAGUUAGUUAUUUAAGGUCUGAAUACAUUGCAAAAAUAUUUUUUAUUUUCUUUUUUUAAAAUGCGUUAAUCUGAAUUUGCUAAUAAAAAGAUACGAGACUUUUAAAGUGAACUACUAUAAUAGAGAUGAUGUAUUUAAAAAAAAAAAAACUCUGUUUGACUUUUUUAUUGUGAUAUUCUGGAACUAGAAAACUUGAGAUGUUCUGCAAUUAAGAAAAUCACAUAAUCCAAGUCCAAGCCCAAACCCAUUAUAACACCGACACUUUUAAUUAGAGCUGUAAAAAAAGCCACCAACUCCUAAGCUCCUUAAUUUUUUUUUUAAACUUAUUAGGCCACCUAUCAAAAUAAUUUGAGAAAUGUACGAUGCACCCCUCACUUUAACUUCUCACCUCCCCAUUUCAAAUGAAAAUACCAUUUUGUCCAUUAAAAAAUUAACCACUCAAUUUUUUGAAACUUCUAAAAUUUUCAAACUUUCGAAAUAUAAAAAAGUGAAUUUUUUUGACAUUUUCGAAACUUUUGAUAAACACGAAAGUUUCGAAACGUAAUUUUUCAGAAUAUUUUGAUAUUUUCGAAACUUUUGAUAAACACGAAAGUUUCGAAACGUAAUUUUUCAGAAUAUUUUGAUAUUUUCGAAACUUUUGAUAAACACGAAAGUUUCGAAACGUAAUUUUUCAGAAUAUUUUGAUAUUUUCGAAACUUUUGAUAAACACGAAAGUUUCGAAACGUAAUUUUUCAGAAUAUUUUGAUAUUUUCGAAACUUUUGAUAAACACGAAAGUUUCGAAACGUAAUUUUUCAGAAUAUUUUGAUAUUUUCGAAACUUUUGAUAAACACGAAAGUUUCGAAACGUAAUUUUUCAGAAUAUUUUGAUAUUUUCGAAACUUUUGAUAAACACGAAAGUUUCGAAACGUAAUUUUUCAGAAUAUUUUGAUAUUUUCGAAACUUUUGAUAAAUCUAAAACUUUCGAAAUGUAUUUUUUCAGAAUCGAUAAAAAAUUUCGAAACUUUUGAUUAAUUUGAAAGUUCCGAAAAUUUUGAAAUAGAGAAAAUUUCAAAAUUUUCGAACACUUCAAAACUUUCGAAAAUUUCAAGAUUUGAAAACUUUCAAAAUGUAAUCAUUAUUUCAAAAAUUUGAAACUUCCGAAAAAGAUCAAAAAAUUUAGAGUUUUCUAUUUCGAAAGUUUUAAAUAUUUUGAAAGUUUCGAAAAUUCUGAAAAUUGCCAUUUCGAAUUUGUUAAAACUUUUGAAUAUUUUAAAAUUUUGUUUAGUUAAAAGAGUAAAAUUGUAUUUCUAUAAAAAUGGGGAGUGGGAAGUUAAAGUGGGGGGUGCAUGGUACAUUCUCAAAUAAUUUUUUUUAAAUCUUGGCCCAUUAUUUUAUGGGGCUUAAGAGAGGGGGUUCGGGGACCCCCAAUAUUAUGUUAAUUUUGAGAUUUUUUCUUGAAAAAUUAUCGAAAUAUAUUUUUUUUGAAAAAAUCUCAAAAAAAAUUAAAAAAAUAUAUUUUUUUCUCUCGAAAACUUGUGAGAAAAAUAAAUAAAAAAAUUUCGAAAAAAAUCAAAUUUUUUUCUCGAAUAAAAAAAAUUAAAAAAGAAAUUGUAAAUAAUUUUUUAUCAAAAAAAAGUCAAUUUUUUUUUAAAACAUAGGCUAUAGACCCACUAAGCCCACAAAAUUUUAGAGGCUUUUAAUGUUGGGUCAAAUUGACAGGGCUACUUCUAAUUAAAAACAUAUCUCGUAUCUAAUAUGUGUUCGUGGCAAACACCAACACUUUAGUUAUGUUCAAUUAGUUUAUUUUCUCAAAUUAUUGAUAAUAUUGAUAUCUGGGUAUCAAUGUCCAGAUGGAUCUCGUCGCUUCAUAGCAACCACAUUCCAACAACAUGUAGUGUAUGUUUUAGGGAAUAUAUUCUGCAUAUACUUUUUGUAAUUCCCUAUUGUCAUCAAAUACUACCAUUAUUAAUUAUACUAACAGAAAGACAGAUACUGACAUACAUCUGUUUGUUUUUUCUCCACCUCGCAUUUAUUUUAUUUUCUGAACAAAAUAAAUCAAGGGGUGACUUCAUCAAAUAUUUUCUGAACAAAAUAAAUCAAGGGGUGAUUGCAUCAAGACACUAAUGUAGUUUGGGAUGACUCAACAAAGCCCCCACCAUCUAUACAUUAGUCAUAUCAAAGUCAACAUAACCAUGUUUGUCAAUUAGUAUCAUGGAUUAUGUUCCCAAAUGUAUUAUGUAUCAAUAUCAAUAUCAAAAUUGUAUUAUCAUAUAAUACAACUUUCUUGCAGUCUUGUUGCCGCCACUAAAAAAACUGAUAUUGAUGUACUACCCAAAACAGAAAAUAAUUUGAUGCAAACAUGUUAUAACAAUAACAAUACCUAACUUUUCCCAUCACUCACUCACUACUACUACUACUUUUCACAUGGAUUAAUGGUUUAGCUAGUCAUAUUUCCAAUCACACACCAAAUAACCUAACAGGAAAUGAUUAUCUAAUUCAAUUAAUUAUAUAUAAAUCUAGAAACAUAGAAAAAUAUGAUAAGUAGUGAGGUACAGGAAAGUCCAUAGAUCAAUCUAUACUACUAAUAUUUUCAUCUCUCCCUGAACACAUAUUAACUACUAACUUUCUUAUAUAAAAAAAUAAUAUGCCAAUCAAAGGAGCAAUGGACAGAUUAUUGUUAUGAAUCUUCAAAAUGAUGAUCUGUUUCAUCAAAGAUCUCCUCCUACAUAAAAUUGAAUAAUGAUAUCAAUUAAUAAUUAAAUUUCUUCAACUUUUCAAGUGUUAAAUAAAAUAAAAUUGUUCAUAACAAUUAAUUAAUUACCUGCAAAAGCUCUUCAAUGACAUCUUCCAUCGUAAUUAUUCCAAGAGCUUCUUCUUUUUCAGGGAGUUUUGGAAUUGAAUUUCCAUCAAUUUCCAAAAUAUCUGAAUAUAUAUUUUGUGACCAUUUUUUGCUCUUAGAACCACUGCUCCUAUACGAAUUACUUGCAUUUGGUAUGCUUUUCUUCUUAUGAAGUUGCAUCUUGUUUUUCAACAUUUUCUCUUGAGGAGGUUUUUCCACAUCAAUAUUCACCUUCACAUCUCUUACUGAAUCUAUUUCACAUACAUAAAAUGAAAGAAAUUAAUUCCUAGUGCAAAGAAAAUCUAAAUUCAAUGUUAGCAAAUAUAAUGUAAAUUAACUUGAUUAUAUAGCAUGUGCUUAAUUACCACUGAAAUUAACAUUGUUGGAAGAUUGUUGCCCUGUCUUGUCAAAUUGUCUCACAACAACAGCCAUGUGGCUAUGUCCCUUCUGGAAUUCAUUCAAUAUAUCAUAAAGUGGCAUUGUUUCUGGAACCCUGCAAUAUAUGAAAUUUUUAAAUAAAGAUUUUUGGUUAAUAACUUAGUAGUUUAAUUUGACCACAUAGAUAUUUUUGAGAAAGUGUUUUAGGAAAUAACAUAAUAAAGUAACUUUUUUUUACAUUGAAUGAACUUCUACACAAAUUAAAUCCUAAUAACUUACUAUAUGAUGAUAUUUAUUUUAGUACAAAAUAAAAUACCUUGGUAUUUUGCGCAUGGUCACACUUUUCACGGGUACUUCUUCUUCUGGGUCAGUAGUUAACAAAUUCUUGAUCUAAAAUUAAAAAGCUAACAUGAUUAAAAUAAAGGUAAUGAACAAUGAUAAGAAAUGAAAAGAGAGUGAACUAAACAAAUGAAAUGUAGAAUGAGAAGUAGAAAAAUGUGUAGAGCAAAGGCAAAGGAAACAAAAAAUACAAAAGCAUAUCAAUCUCAUCAUACAUAUUUUACAAUUUUAAUCUUAUUGAGACACCUCACCUAUCUAGUAGUGAAUUAAUAUCAAUAGAAAAUGUUUGAGUAAUAGGAGUCAUGGCAUCACCAGCUAUCUUCUCAGUGAGUUCAAGUGCACCAGCAAUGAUAGUUGUUUCAUCAUGUGUUAGUUCACCACCUUUCCCAGCCUAAUACAAAUAAUUAAGGAAAUAUAAGUGUCCAAAGUAAAGUCUAGAAAAAUCAAAUGUUGUGAAUUUGAAAUUUUGGUCUUUGAAAUUGACAAAGUUCCUUAAUAAUUCUAGAAAUUAAAAAUCUUCGAUCAUAUUAGUCUUUUUUUUAUUAACAAAUUUAGUCUUUGAAAUUGUCUCGAAAAAAUUAAUUUGAUGGAUGAUUUUCAAAGAUCAAUAUAUCAUUACAAUUUUAUUAACUAAAUUGGAGAUUCCCUCAUUUUUUAUUUAUCAUUAAAAAAAAAAGACAGAGAACUGCAGCAUACAGAUAAAUAAUAAAUAAUAAUAAUAAGAUCACAGAAAACUAGUCUUGUUAAACUUCAAGAGUAAAAAUGAAUGAAUAUUUAUAAACUAAAAAUACAUUUCUUAAAACAAAAAGUAACAAUUCACGUAUUUAUUUAAAUCUAUCAAAUCUAAAACAUGUAGAUAAUGAAACAUACCUCAUUACCAUGCAAAUUUACAAGUGUUUUCAACUCAGCUCUGCGGAAAAGGGCUUCAUGUCUAUGCCCCAGCAAAAAAUCCAACAGCUGGAGAUUAAUACAACACAUUGAAAUUAGGAAAUAAAAAUCAAAUUUAAUCCAAAGGUUAAUUUAUUCAAUUAAAAAAAUGCUUAAUAUAUGUCACCUUGCUAAUUGGAUAAGUAACAGGAAAACAUAUCCAUACAAGAACACGAACAAUUGGAGCCACUUUUGCACCAAUUGCUAAACCAUGCCGAGAACAAACUGAUUGAGGAAUAAUCUUCAAAUAAAUAAACCAAUGUCAGAUAAUUUUUUCACAUAUUAAUUCAAAAUUUAUGAAAAACAAAAUCAUUAAUAUUCUCACCUCACCAAAGAGAAGAAUUAAUGUAACUGAAAUCAGGACAGCACCCCAAGCAACAACAAGACUAUCAAGAAAAAUUGGAAGUGCCUGAAAAAAUCAUCAUCCUUAUUCUUAACCAAUUAUAUUUUAGCUUUAAUUGAAUACAUUAAUUACAUACUAAUUAAUUAACACAUUAAUUUAGAUUUACCUCCAUGGCUGCAGCAUUGCAUAUUAGAAGGGUACAAAGCAAUAGAUGUUGAUUUCUUACAACAGGCAAUAUUUUCUCUGUAAUUACAAAAUACACAAAACAUAUAUUUUUUUGGUCAAUCAAAUUAUACACAAAACAUAAAGUUCAAAUAUGUUUGGCUGUGAUUUUGUCAAUAAAGUUUACAUAAAGAAGAGUUGAUGAAUUUAUGAAUAGAACAGUAAAUACCAGCAUGUUUUCGAUCCUGAGGGGUACCAGACUUAGCAAGAACCUCAAGAUCAACAAGGCUCAAAGACAUAAGACCUAAGGUGAGCCCUGACAUCAAUCCAGCAAACACAACAAGCAACACAAUUAUCACAAUUCUUAUGAAAAACUCUGUUUCACAACACUUAUACUCAACCGCCAUUGAAAAUAUUAACCACUUUGUUGUUACUGUUUCUAAAUCCUUGAGUUAGAGAAAGCAGUGGCACCAGAGUUUCAUUGCCAUUAAAGGGUAUCCGAAUUAUGGUAGAAAGAUUCUUUUUUUAUCGAGUGGAAUGUGAUAGAAGCAUGAUGAAGAGUGUUCAGUUUGAUAGAGAGUGUUUUUUUUUUCCUUCCCUAAUGAGACAGUGUUGUUUAACGUUGUACUGUGUUUGCAUUCUGUUUUGUAAUGCUUUCUUAUUUUCUUUGGUCGGCGAGGAAGGGAUCAUUGAUAAUGAAGCCACCAUGGGGCCCACCACCACCACCACCAUUAAUGUAAACGAACUUGGUGAAUGACACUUUUAUAAAACUACUACACCAUGUCAUUUUGCUUUUGUUCCUUUUAUUCUCAUCUUAUGUAAAUACUAUAGAAGUGAAUUGUUCUCUUCUGAUUCUUAUUCUAUACCUUUUGGUUGAAUACUAUGUAUUGAUGAGAUAUUAAUUGUGAAUAAGGGUCACUUAUUUUAUGUAAAAGUGAUAUUGGUGAGAGAUAUUUCGUAUACUUACCUGUCUUAAUAUUUUGAACGAAAAUGUGAUGGUAGUUAAAAGAUAAUAUCUUAAGAUAAAUGACUAACUUUAUUUCUGCUACAUUAAAAAUAUAAUGGAAACUUAUGUAUUUAUGUAAUAGAAUGAGUGAAAAGGGUAGCUAUAUAUACGUAAUAUGAUUGAACGACGCAAUUGCAAUUGUAUUAUGUACGUCUCUCGCUAACCAUAAGAUAACUUUUGUCCAAAUACAAGUUAUUAAAAUACUAAGAUAACUUUUUACUUUCAAUUAAAAAAAAACUCUCCCCCGCAACCCAUAUCUCUCUCGUCUUAUUUUAUUCUAUCUUAUUUGUGUUGUCUAUUAUUUAUCAAAAUAGGACAAGAUAAAAAAAUUGUUCCCUAGCUAGGUUAAAGGGUUUUCCAUGUACUCUUUUGUCUAGUGGUUACCCUUUUGCAAAUCAAAUGGAUCAAAAUGAUCUAUUUAAGACCAAAAAAAUUAAAGGAUAUAUAAUUAAAAAUUUAAGGGACUGCAACUUAUAUCUUGUUUAAUUUUUAAAAGAAAAAACUUCAUUCAAAAUUGUCAUAUAUUAUCUUCUAUCGAUAGAGAUUUAUGACGUGAUCGGAAUAUGUCACAUUACAUAUCAGAUUUCACGUAAAUGUAAGUUUAAUAUUUACUAAUUUGUGUAUAAAAUUUAAAUCCUUUCAUAAACAAUUUUUUUAAUAAUUACAAUUGUGUGAGAACUAAUUACUAACAAAUUAAGAGUUUAUUUAAUUCAAUUGAGGGAAACCAAAGUGAGUAAUAUUCAUGGAAAGAAAGAAGGAAAAAAUAAAGUAAAUUCAUGUUUGAUUCUAAGAGAGAAAAAAUAUUUUGUAAAUGGUUUAUAAGUGUUUCUAAUUACCUCUUAUCCUCAACAAAUCUCCCUAAUUUAAGAAAAACAAAAAGGAGACUUAAAAGAUCAUAUAAAGACCUAAAUUUCUUUUCAAAUACACAACCAAAAAAUCAUAAAAGACUUAAAUUUCAUAGAGAAAUUAAUCUUUCUAAUUUAGUUAUAAUAAUGUGAAAUCAAUAUAAAUAUAAAUAAGUAGUAUAUUUUUUUCUAAUCAAUGAAGAGUUGUAUAUUCAUUUAACAAAUCAAUCAUAACCUCUAACAACAUUAAAAAAAAAUUUAAAUAACAUUUUAUAAUUUUAAAGAUUUUUUUAACUAAUUCACACAAUUUUAGACUAUUUUGACUCAUACUUAAAUUUGUCAAUUUUUCUUUUUUAAUGAUGUUUUUUGGUUUGAAAUAAGAUGCGGUGUAGGUGCGUGACAACCUCAUCGGGUACAAUUCCAACUCAACGAACUCAAUAUGCAGUUGCACCAUAAUCUAGUAAUUUUGCUUCAACUCAAUAUAAAAAUGCAAUAAGCAUCACAGAAAGCGUGUGAAAGAGAGUGUGUGUGUGUGUAAUGUGCAUAACAUAGCAUAUAAUAACACAAAUUAUCAUAAAAAAUAAAUAAAAUAAAAUAAAAAUAUCUGUGCUUAAAUUCAAAUACACCGCUUUCAGAGUCUCUCUCAGUCACCGACCGCUCAGAGUAAGAUCAGAUCUGAAGGAAUCUAUACCUUCUCUGAUCAAUUUCUUAUCAGGUAACCGUUUUUCACUUUACCCAUUUUGCUUCUUCUCAUGCUCCUGCAUUCUAUGCAUUCAAGAUUACAUUUUUUUCUUAUAAAGUUUUAUCAUUUAUGUUUCUCUACUUCUUUUAAUACCAUACCAAUUGCUUAAUGGAUCUGUUUCAACUUUAUACUUCAUUUUAACUAAACCCCUUUUCUGGCUUUUGUUCCUUCUGAUCAAUUUGCUUAAUUCUAUUUGAUUUUUUAUGUUUUGAAACAGAUCUUGUGCAUUUUUUGCUUGUGCUUAGUAGGAUUAAAUGAGUGAUUUUUUUUUUUGUAAUGUAAUUGUAUUGUGUUUACAUAACUGGUAAUAGAUUGAACAAUUUGUUAGGUAAUGUGUUUGAUGCAAAGUGAUAUGAAAACUUAAUUAAAAUUCUGUAUUUUGUUCCAUGAAUUUUAUUUUGUAUCUUAGCUGUUAAUCAUGGCUUUAAUAGGAAACUAUGGAGACAUCAUUUGUUGCCUUUGUUUACUUUAUUUUCCAUAGAGAUGACAUGGGAUUUUGAAUUUUUUUAGUUAAUAACCGAUUGUGUUAUGAGUUGUGCAGCCAUUUAGCAUUAAUUAUGCAUUUCAUAUUAAUUAUGUCUCAACUACUAUUGUAUUGGUGGCAAUGGCUUUAAGAGAAAUUUAUCUACAAUUAAAAGGAGAAACAAUUUUUUUUCUUCUUUUUGAAAUACCACAAUUGAACUUGUUGCUAAAAUUUGUGCUAGGUCUGAAGCCUCAUUGCUGUAAUCAUGUCAAGGAGGCCGGUAAACCCUUCACGUCGGUUAGGUGAUGGUGGAAGUAUACCAUUUGUGGCCUCUAUCCAGUCUAAAUCUCACAACUCUCCCCUGCUAUCUAUUGGGCUUGUUAUUGUGGUAUACUUUUUUUUUUUUUGAAAAAGUGAAUAUCAAUACAGAAAUAGUCUGAUAUUAAAAUAUUUAAUUUGAAAUAUUUCUAAGCAUCAUUUGUAUUUACUUCUAGCAUUUUAUUUGGUAUAUACUUCCCUGCUUGCUAUCAACCCACAGCACAAUUAAAGUGAUUAUUGCAAAAUUUUCAGGGUGCAAUUCUUCUGAUUGGUUAUUGUUACAGCAGUUCAGGUUUGUAAUUAAUCUGUUGUCCUUAAAUCAUAUUGUGACUGGAAGUUAUGUGUUAAUAAGAAACCAAAGAAAUACAAUUUACAUCAUCAUGUAGAUCAGUAGAUCUUGCACCAUCCUCAUAGAACCUAGCUCAUACUGUCAUGAUUGUUCAGCCAUUCUCAUAUUGUUAACAUAUCUAUGUAAAAUGAAAAGAAAAAAGUAGCACAAAUCACUGCAUAAUUUAACAAUGAACAUGUUCUGUUUCAUUAAUUGGCAUUUGCUUUAAAAUUCUAAUGAUGCUGAUGUUGACUUUGAUUUGUUUGAUCAUGUGGCAGGUGGAGCUAGUAAUGAUAUUAAGGAUUUAAGCAAACUUGAAGGUAAAAUAAACUAUCAAUUUUGUUAUUUACAAUCUUAUCUUACAGAAUAUUUCCCACAGAAGAAAGCUUGGGUGAGUGUUUAUGGGAAACUGUGGUUGGAAUUGUUUAAUAAAUUUUGGUUAUGUUUUCUCUGCAACCAGCUUGCACAUUGAGGUUAUUUUUUUGAACUUGUAAUAUCACCUCAUGACUUGAUGUUACUGUCAUAACCUGUAAUUAUUAACGUCUUGUUAUUAUGAUCAGUUGGUACAAAUUUAUUGUCAUUUAUUGUAGAACUGUUAAUUUCAAAUUGUGAAUAUAGAAAAAUUUGUUGCAAUUAACGCAGCUCUGGUGUGUGUUUGCAGGGGGUUCAUCAUGUACAUUAGAAGUACUACAAGCAUUGCCCAUUUUGAAGAAAGCAUAUGGAGACAGUAUGCAUAAGGUUUUGCAUGUCGGCCCCGAUUCUUGUUCUUUGGUAUCUAGUUUGUUAGCAGAAGAGGAUGUUGAGGCUUGGGGGAUAGAACCAUACGAAUUAGAUGAUGUUGGUGCAAAGUGUAAAAGUCUUGUACGCAAGGGCAUUGUGCGUGUGGCUGACAUAAAGUUUCCUCUACCUUACCGUGCAAAGUCAUUUUCUCUUGUCAUUGUGUCGGAUGCAUUGGAUUACUUAUCUCCAAAAUACCUUAAUAAAACCCUGCCAGAGUUGGUGAGGGUAUCUGCUGAUAGUGUUGUUAUCUUUUCAGGUACUUCACCGCCAGAAUCUUCUUAUCUUCUAGUUUAUGCUUUUGUAUGCUUUUGUCGUGAUUUCUCAUUUUCCUGGAUAGGUUAUCCUGGUCAACCUAGAGCUAGAGGCGGAGAAGUGGCCAAAUUUGGUCGUCCGGUGAGUGACUAUUAUUAUUUAUUAAGUUUGAUAUCUUUUUGUCAAUACAUGCAUGUAGGCUACUUGCAGAUUUGAUGUUAGAAACUUAAUGACUCUACCGAUAAGUUGCUAGCAAUGCACUCUCUAACACUUACUCUCGAACACUCUCCCCAUGAUUGAGUGAAAUUCACAUUGAUCCCACUGAUUCAUCCCACUAAAUCAGUGAGUUAUGUUACCUAUUUAAUGGGACUCAUUUGAACGUAGUGAGACCUACAUGGAUUUUAGCCAAUUAUUCAAUGAGUGUUGAAAAGAGUGUCUUAGUAACACUUCUCAACUAAGCAUAGUGCAUAUUUCAUGAAAAUGAUGGGAAGAUUAAGAAGUCGUUAACUAUUACCUGGAUUGAUGUCAAUUAAACUAUUCUUUAUUCUGCUUUUCUCCUUUGGGAUUUGAUAUUGUCUAUAUGAAGGCCAAAUUACGGAGCUCGACUUGGUGGAUAAGGUUUUUUCUUCAGACAAAAUUAGAAGAAAAUGAAAGUGCUGGAAAGAAGUUUGAACAGGCUUCGGCCAAGAAGGCGUACAAACCAGCUUGUCAAGUUUUCCACCUUAAAUCAUACCCAUGAGGUUUUUACUGCCUUGUUUUAAACUCGACUUUACAGUAAGAAACCAUACUGAUGAGGCAGGCAAAGGCACCUUAAGCACCCGAAGGGUAAAAGCUCCAUACAUUAUGUUGAAAUUAUAGUCUUCUUUGAUCUAUCUUGACAAUAUAUUAGAUUAAAUUAUGUACUUUAUUGUCAUUACCUUUGUAAUUUAUUUUGCCUUGAUAUGUUUUUCACAGCAGCUCUCUGUUUCUAUAGUAUUCACUAGUUUAGGAUAUUUACUAUUUUUGACACUUUUUAUGACUUCUACAAUUCAUUGCUACUCUAUUUGAGGCACCUUAUAUUAUCAAAAAGCAGUAUGUUUUGUUGCUUUUAAAUGUAGAACAAUAACAAUAAUCAAAGCAUUAUUCUAUUUGAUGAGUUCAGGUAUCUAGAUCAAUAAUGUCAUAGUAUGUUGUCAUACUCAUGAGCAAUAUGAUUUAUAUCUCUUUUUGGUCUUAAGCUACCUGUUAUAAUAAGAUAGAAGGAAUUCUAAUUAUCUAAUGUUCAUAUAUAAUGUUAUUAUGUCUUGUACUAUUUUAUCUUUGCAACACGAAUUAUAUAUUAUAUAAGUUGAAGUGAUAUUCAAAUCAUGAAUUCAACUCUCCUACAUACAAAAUAACAAAUAACAUUUUUUAUUUUUAUAAAGUAAAUUGAGUGUAAAACAACUAGAUUUGAAACUUUAUUUCUAAACAACUAAUUGUAGAUUCUACAAUUUGGGUUAAUAUUUGAAAGUAUACAAAUGAUUAGGGAUAUUUUUGGAAGUUAGAAAUAUUCUACAUGGAGUGUAUCAGGUGUAAAUAGCAUUGACCAAUGUUGUUAUGUAAGAUAAGUAAGAAAAAUAAGGAUUUUAAAAGUAGAUUUUAAUUAAAGAAAUUAAAAAUUUUAAACAUUCAAUGACUUGUUACACAAAUUCUAAGAUAAAAUUUUUAUAUUAGAUAUUUAAAGUAUAAGUUUGAAUGAAGAUGAUUAUAUACUAACAAUAUAAGAAGGUUUAAUGCAUUUUAAAUUUAUCUUUUCUUGUAGUAUCUUUUUGGUACGAUAGGAUUUAUUGUAGUAUUUUAUUUUAUUUUAUAUAAUUGUUUGGGUAGCUAUUUGAAAAGAAAUUUUAAGAAUUAAGAUGAUAAAAUCACAUUAUAAAGAUAUUUUAAGAAUUAAUAUGAUAAAAUCACAUUAUAAUGAGAUACAAUUGAAUUAUGGCUAAAACUAUUUUGGAGCAUUUUCACAUUUUAAAACAACUAUCUUGGCAAAUCGGAUGCAAGCUUACAAGUUAUAACUCAAACUUAAAAUAUUAUUAAAAAUAAAAAUAAGAGAGAUAAAGUUACUUCAUGAGUAAUUUUAAAUGGAAUUACUUUGUUUAAUAAAUUAUUAUAGAUAUUAAAUUCCAAUAAUUCAAUUAUAGAUUAUUUUCAUAGUAUAAUAAUCAAACACACAUAGUUUUGUAAAAAUAUAAAAUUUUAAACAAUGUAAUUCAAUAGUCGAUAUGCUAUAAUUUUUUUUAAAUUAUUGUACAUUUAUUUAAAAUUAUUUAAUUAAAUAUCAAAUAAUACAUCUGAAAAUUUUAUCAUAAUAUUUAUUUAAUAAAAAAUUUCGAUAUGACUGUAGAAUCUGUAUAUUUCAAUAUUUAUGAUGAAUUAUUAAAUAAAAUAAUUCAACUCAAAAUUAAUCUUAAGUAAUUUAAUCCAAACUAAAAAAAUAUUAAUAUUAUCUCACUUUUUGUCUCUUGUCGUUUCACUAGCUUUGGCUCAUUAAUCUUGUGACUAUCCAGUCAAUCAUUGCGGCAAAAAUUCAUCCGUCAAUAUCGGUUAAAUCAUUCCACCCAACGGGCAGAUUCAUUUCUUAGCUAAUGGGGGUUUUGUCUGCACAAUUUCUUUAUUUAUUUACUUUUAUUAGUAUCAAAUUUAUUUUUUAAGUUUAAUAUUUUUAAAUAUUUUAUUUCUUUAACACAAUAGAUGUUGUCUCUGCAACUCUUUUCCUAAUUUUCUUUCAUCUCAAUUUCAAGUAUCAUUGUAUUAAUAUCUUACAUCUUUGCGUAUUUUAUCUAUUUUUGUUUUAUAUUAUAGGUAAAAUAUUUUUUAUGUAAGAAUGUUAUCGAUAUUUUUACUCACUUCUUAUAAAACCUUAUACUAUUAUAGAUUAAUGACUUUUUAAUUUUCAUGAUUAAUUAAAUCUUUAUAUUUUUCUUAAUUAAGAACAAUUUAAUCCUUUAUUUUAUAUUUUUCUUAUAUAAAAAUAUUAUACUUAUUUUUUACUCCCAAUAAAUAAUAUAUUUGAAUUGCUACUUUCACUUCAAUUUAGCUUGUAAUGUUUUAACUUUCAAAAUAAUAUUUUCACCAAAAACUUUAAAAUAUUAAUUAUAUAAAUUAGUAUCUAAUGUUUAUAUUUAGACUAAAUAGCAUUUGUGGCCCCUUAAUUUAAUUUUAGUUAAUAUUUUAGUUUUUUAUUUUUUUUCUCCGAUUUGAUCUUUUAUUUUAAUUUUAAUUUUAAGUGAUUGAUCUUUUAUGUUUUAAAAUGUAACAAUGUUUUUUUUUUUGUUGCAAAAAUUCAUAAAAAAUUUCAAACAAAAUCCAUAAAAUUAAUUAUCAUCCUCAAUAUAAUGUAAAUUUCAUUAAAUUCAUAACUAAAUCUUUAAAUAAACUCAUAUUUUCAUCUCUAACAACAUCGAAUAAAGAAUGAAAAUAUGAGUUUAUAUGAAGAUUUUGGUUACAAAUUUGAUGAAAUUUGUAUUAUAUUGAAGAAUAUAAUUUAUUUAAUGGGUUUUGUUUAAAUUUUUUAAUGAAUUUUGUAAUAAGAAAGAUAACAUUGUUGAUAUUUUAAAACAUAAAAGAUUUAAUUAUCACUUAAAAUUAAAAUAAAUGAUCAAAUCGAAAAAAAAAAAAAAAUGACUAAAAUGUUAACGGAAAUUAAGUUAAGGGACCACAUGGUAAUAUUUAACCUUAUAUUUAUUAGGGAGUCCAACGAUACAAUAGUCGAGAAGCACAACACACUAAAGACUCCAAGAUCAAAAACAACUUUAAUAGUAUAUCUCUAUUCAAAAUUGUAAGACAUGAAAUAUAUAAAUCACAUCUUAUAUACUUAUAGUAAAUAAGAGAGUAAUAUCCAAUUAUCUCUUACUUAGUGUCAAUCCAUUUAUUUAUCUAGCUAUGUUCUCCCUUUAGUUUGGUUGAAAUUGAAUAAUUAAUCUUAAAAAUAUAUAUCACUUUGCUUUGUAUUAUAAAGAAUUAUGUUAUCUGCUACACACGACGUAGAUAUUGAAAAUGAAAUUAUGUGUCAAGAAAAUUUGAUUUGGUGUUAGUUGAACUUAAUGGUUAAUCCUAGAUAAAAAAUCAGGAUUAAUUUCAUGAAUCAACAAUAUACCCAUUUUGCUGCUUUAGAAAAUGCUUCCAAAAUUUGUGGGCAGAAGUCACUAGAAACCCAUGUGAAAUAUUGGAUGUCUCUACGCACAAUUGCUAGAUUCAUCUCAUACGCAUGCAUUAUUAGCUAUGUACAAUCAUGCUUUCAAUAGUAAAUAUAAGAAAGUGACUAGUCACAUGACUUUACUAUUAACUAGACGUAGACUCUAUUAAUUAAUUACAAGUGCAAACAAACUACUGCUAUAUAUUAUGAAGGGAAAAAAAGGAACUCAUCGAAUAUAUUGAAAUUGAACCCAAAGUUUGUUCAAUUUAACAAUAUUUAAUCUUAAAGCAUUCAUCAUUAUUAUUAUUUUUUUAAAACGGAAGAUAUUCAUCUAAAUUACAGAAUGAAUUGUGAAAAGAAAAAACAUACAUGCUGCACACCGGACACAUGCAUCACAUCACAUAUAUAGAAAAGAUAGUGCAAUAUGAUUUAGGUGUUAUAUUUCCUAUGUGUGCAAUUACUCUCAAAUUUUAAGCUUAAUUGGAUCAGUCAUAUUGCAAAAUUUGUCAGAUUUUAUGGAUCUUAAUCGAUAAAUAAAAUGUAAUUAUUAACUAUUAAAUUCUAAUUAAUAAUAAAAUAUUUAAUUAUAAAUAAAUGAAUUAUUUAUUUUGGAUUUUAUUAUUUGAAUUAUUCGUAAUAGGUUAAGUCGUUUUUUAAUUUGUUUGUUGAAAUUUCUCUAUAUAAAUUCUAACUAUCUUAUUAGGUCGAUUUAAUCUUAAUCACUCAUUCAUCUGUAUUAGAGAAGACAUCUUUUUAUAUUCUUUUAAAUUCAAAGACACAACUAUAAAUUUAUAUUUUAUUAAUUUAUAUGCUAUAUUUUGUAUCUAUAUUUUUGGAUAAUCUCUUAGAAUUUUCAACAGAUCAGUUAACAGAAUAUUUUUCAUAAUAAUCCUAUAAAAAAAAAAGACAGAAAUCCAAAGUCUAAUGGGAGGUGCACCUUCAAAUAGUACCAAUUUGCAAUAUUCUUAUUGUUUAGAAGAUCUUUAACUUCAUCGUUUUUCCCAACCCAAAAUCCUAUCCUUUCAAUCGUAGCUUGUGGUAACAAAACAAGCUUGUUGAUCUAUUGAAAACAAAACCCAAUUCCCAUGUUUGAAAAGAGUUUAUAAAUAAUUUAUCUUAAAAUUUGAUUUUAUAUAAGAUCAUUUAGACCUAUUCAAAAACAUAAUGUUAUCAAAGUCUUUUUUAUCGGAUCACUCACCAUAUGACACAUUAAACUAUAGAGUGUUAACUAUGAAAGGAUGUAAUGAAAAAACUUAUCUCUACAUUCAAAAUAAAGAAAGUCCAUAAAAGAGUUUGUUUAUAAAUUAAAAAAGAUACAUCGAUAUCUCAACUAAAUUUUAUAAGCAUGAGUUAAUACUUAAUUCAAAAAUUUAGCUCUAAUACAAAAGAGGAGAAUUUAGAAUGUGAGGUUAUUAGAGCAUCUCCAAUGAUAAAAAUUAAUGGGAUUUCACUUUAUUUUUAAAUGGAUCAACUAAAAUUUACCAUAUAUAUUUAUUCAACUUUUAUUGACCUACAAGAGAUUUCACCAUUAAGUUGUUUUACAAUCUUCAAUAUUUCAUAUUCUCAAAUUUACACUUUCAAAUACAUAAGAGUUAAAAAAAUUUAAUUAAAGACAAAUAAUUCAAAAAAAACUCAAAUUCUGAUUAGAAUAAUUAUUAAUUAUAUUUUACUUACUUUCAAUCCAACUAGAAAUUGUUAUAACUCCAUUUUUUUUAAAACGAGAGAGUUAAAACUAAAAAAAAUAUUUACUAAUAUAUUUAUUUACCUGUCUAAUAAAGUGAUCACGUUCCACUCUAUUUUUACUUUUAAAAAAGUGGCAAAUAUAAGAGUAAUUAAGGCUAUACCCACUACUACUAGAAACUUGAUUAGAAAUUAUUUAAUAUAUUUUCUUCGGUUUCUACGGCUUGAUUAGAAACUUGAUGUUGCUCUAUAAGUAUACAGCCUCCCAUACAUACAUUCCUUCACUAACCAAACAACAAUCAAAUAUAAAAAAAAAUAAAAAUAAUGAUGAGGUCACAUAUGAUCUUAGCCAUUUUCUUCUUAUUCAUGUGUUCAAACCUUUGUUGCAUAGCACAAAACUCCCCUCAAGACUUCGUUGAUGUGCAUAAUGAAGCUCGAGAAGUUGUUGGUGUUGGUCCACUCUAUUGGAACCAUACACUUGAAGCCUAUGCACAAAAUUAUGCAAACAAAAGAAUAAAAGAUUGUGAACUCGAACACUCAAUGGGUCCAUUUGGUGAAAACCUUGCUGAGGGUUACGGUGAAAUGAAUGGUUCGGACGCUGUGAAGUUUUGGCUAACUGAAAAGCCAUACUAUGAUUAUAACUCUAACUCUUGUGUUCAUGAUGAGUGUUUGCAUUAUACUCAAAUUAUUUGGAGUGAUUCGGUUCAUCUUGGUUGUGCUAAGUCCAAAUGUCAAAAUGGGUGGGUGUUUGUUAUUUGUAGCUAUUCACCACCUGGCAAUGUUGAAGGUCAACGACCUUAUUGAUUUUCUUUAUAUAUAUAACUAUAUUGUAAAAGUAAAUUAAUUAGUAUUGGUUGUUUCUAUUAUAUUGUAUAUUUUAAAUUUUAAAAAAAUUUGUGUUCUCAUAAAUAAAUUUGUAUACAAAAUAUCUGACCAAAAUUGAUGGUUAUGUUAUGGUACGGACAAUAAGAAAUUAUGAUUAAUGUGUGUACCAAUCAUUGAUUAAUAAGAACAGAAAAAUAUAACUAAUAUAGGCUGGUUCAAUUGAUAAAAAUUCAGCUUAAAUUCCGCAAGGAUCGAUUCAAGUCACCUAAGUUUUUUCAUAUAAUAAUAAAUUAAAAAUAAAAAAGACAUAUAUUUUUAUUUAUAAAUAGAUACCAAAAGACUAAUUAAAUGAAAGAGGAGCAACACUCAGACUAUGCAAUAUAUAUCCUCUAACUAAAUGUCUAUUUGGUAUAAGAGAGUUUGCAAAAAGAGAAACAAAAGAGAAAGAGAAAGAGAAGAGAAAAAUAUAACUUUUUUCUAUUUGAUUGAACAUAGAAGGAGAGGAGAGUUAAAAAAUAUGGUGGACCCAUCUACUUUUUUUUUUCUCUUCCUAAAAGAAGUGUCAGAAGUGCAUGUUUUUUCUUAAUUUUUUACUUUUACUCUCCUUUUUGUGAUGAUCCUCAUUUUUUUAUAUACAUGACAUCUAUAAAUUAUUAUAAUGUAAAAAAAAUUAUUUUGUUCAAACUUAUGAGGUGAAGGAUAUGUGAUUAUUUUAAAAUAAAGUAUAACUUAAUUGUUUAGGUACCGAUAAAAUAUUUUAAUUUUUUUUUUUUAUAAUUAGCUUAAAUAAUAUAAAUAAAUUAUAUAUAAAUAAAGUAAUAUAAAUCAAUUAAAUUAAAUGAUUGAUAAUUAAUUUAAUGUUAUGAUUUUUAAGGAAAUUUAAUGUUAUAAAUUAAAAUUUCAGGAAAAAAACUUAUUUAAAUAAUUAAUUUAAUAGAAUUUAUAUCAAAAUUAAAUUAAAUUAAAUUUGAUGAUAAUUUUUUAAUUAUUUUUUAAUUAAAGAGUGUUUUAAUACUUUUAAAAUUAAUCAACAUUUCUCUCUCUUAUAUUUCUUCUCUUUUUUCUCUUGUUCCAAACAAUAUAUUAAAAUCAACUCAAUUUCUCACUUUUUUCUCUCAACCCUAUUUCUCCUCACAAUCAAACACGUUAUAACUGAUACAUAAUUCAAAGUUCACAAAUCCGAGGGGUAUAAAUCACAAAGAUUGUGGGCGGUGUCCUCUAUUAAAGUAACCUUCAUUAUUAACAUAUUGCGCGGUGCAUGUUACUAACAGCUAAAAAUAGGAGUAUGGUGUCAAAAUGUAAAAUAUAGCAUGACUUUUAGUCAUUAUUCUCUUUAAAAUAAAAUAUAAGAAAAAUAAUAAUUAAAAAAUUAAUGUAUUUAAAUAUACUAAUUUUUAAUUUUAAAAAAUAAUAGUUAAAAAAUUAAUAUAUUUAAAUAUAUUAAUUUAUCUUUUGAUUAUAUUUCAUUCUUUGGGAAGUAUACAACAAAGUAAUUAUUAUUUUUUCACUAAAAAUUAUCUGCCUUAAAAUGCCAGACUAUAAAGGCCAUAAAAAACCAUUUAAAUCUACUAUAUUAGAUUAUUUGAUUAAAUAUAAAUGAUAUUUUAUUAUUAUUAUUAUUGUUAUUAUUAUUAUUAUUAUUAUAUUAGAUUUUUACUUUGUUCUAAUUAGAAAAUUUUGAUAUAUUUCAAUGAAAUAUCUCAGAAUUAAUUUAAACAGAAUAUUAUCAUAUAGUAAAAUGACAUUUUCUAAAAAUAUCAUGUUAAAUUUAAAAAUAAAAUCUAAUCUGAUUAUCUAUUUCUCCGAUAGUCUACUCAAAGUUAAUUCAUAUUAAAUGCAUUUCCACACGUUUGGGAUAUUCUAGUUGUGUGAUGCCAAAAUGGGUUCACGGAUACUAAAUGCCAAACAAAAUCGAUAAUCUAUUUCUCAUCUAUAUCCUCUAGUUUUUUAUAUCAUCAUUAUUAUAUAGUAUGAGAGACAUAUAUCAAGACAAUGAGUUUAAAUAAUCAAAUUAAUUGUAAUAUGACAAUUUUUUAUUUUCAUUAUUUUUUUACCGUAACAUUUAUUAUUUUCAUUAUUUUUGUGGGAAUCAUGCUAUUAAGAACUCUCCAAGCAAAAAAAUUCGUUUUUAGAGGUACCACCUUGUUCUAAGUGAGAGCAUACAAAGAAGACCUUUCAAUAGUUGCACUAUGGGAUAUAAUAUAGUAAGCACUUUUAACAAAAUACAUGUUAUUAACACAUUUGUAAAUUAGUUAAUCUCUUCAAUCCUCGCCUUUUGUAAAUUAUAUAUAUAAAUGAUCAAUGUAUAGGAUUAAUCUCAAAUAAAUAUAUCCAUUUGCUGCUUUGAAAAAUACUUCCGAUAAUUGUGGCCAGAAGUCUUUAGAUUCAUCUCAUACGUACUCAUUAUUAGUGUAUGUGCUAGUCAUGCUUUCAAUAGUAAAUAAGAAUGUAGCUAGUCAAAUGAGUUUUUUUUUUUGACCAAAAAUUCAAUUAUUGCGCAUCUUUUAAAUAGUUCAACUGGGAACCAAUCAAAUAAUACAAAGUUUUUCUCUUGAGAUUUUGUAAAAUUGCUGAGCAUAAUUAACAACACUUUGAGAAAAAAUACUUACAAAGCCUAACCAAUCAAGAAUAUAUCACUCCAAACCUAAUAAAAAAAUGGACAAGAAAACAAAAAAUGUUGCAAAGUCUCUUCGCCUCCACACUUCGAAACACAUAAAGAGUUAUCUAAAAUUACAAUUCCACGCAUAACCAAAUUAUUUUUUGUAGGAAUCAUGCUAUUAAGAACUCUCUAAGCAAAAAACUUCGUUUUUAGAGGUACCACCUUGUUCUAAGUGAGAGCAUACAAAGAAGGCCUUUCAAUAGUUGCACCAUGGGAUAUAAUAAGCACUUUUGACAAAAUACAUAUUAUUGUGAUUAGCUCUCCAAAUCCACCUGUCCACAAUGUUAUCAUGCAUGCACAAAAAUAUUAUCAAACAAAGCACAAAAUACUCACACACCAAGUUCUACUCCCAAACGAACAAGUGUCUCCUCCACCAUUAACCCCACAGCUUCUCUUAGCCAUGUUUGCAACAAAACUGGUCUUAGAUAGCUGGGAUUCAAGGAUAAAUAUGAUACCUGAAGGAGCCUUGAAGAAGUGGAAAAAGUAGGUAAAAAAAAAAGGCAAAACAACUUUGAGAAGAAGUAUAUUAAUAUUGUAAGAAAAUAUUCAUCAUAUUUUUUGGAAUUUCAAGUUCUAAAACCUUAAACCAAUGAUAUUAGUAUUAAGCUAAAUUAUUUUUGUUCCUAAAUAUUUUGUAUAAUUUAUUUUAGUUUUUAAAAUUGAAUAUUUUUGUAUCUUUAAACUAUACAAAGAUAUUAUUCUUAUAAUUAAAUAUAAAAUUAUAAAACAACUAUAGAUUACAUUAUUUGAUAAUAUUUGAUAAUGUAAAUAAUAUUUUAAAUAGUUAAAAUUAAAUAAAUUUAGAACAUACAAUGUCCUAUAGAUAAGUAAUUGUCAAAUUUUAAAAUACCAUCUCAUCCUUUUUUAUAAACAUCUAUUGUUUUCUUCCUUUUUAUUAAAAAAUGUUGGUAGUAUAAUUACUGCAUUCAUUUUAUGUGUAAAUUUUUCAAAAAUAACUUUUGUAUUUGAAUAUAUUAAAUUUGAUUUUUCAUAUUUUUUUUAAAAAAUCAGUAGUAUUAAUAUGAGGUAUAUAUAUAUAUAUAAAAGUAUAACUAAUAAAUUAUUCUAAAAAAAUCAGUAGUAUUAAUAAGAGGUACAUAUAAAAAGAAUAAUAAAUAUAUCUAAUAAAUUAAAAAGAUAUUGAUAUUUAAGAACAAUUUUUUUUAAAAGAAUACUUAUAAUUAAGUACACAAGUAAUAAUGUAGAAGUUAAAUAAAUAAAUUUUCAUGCGUUUAUAUUAUACAAGAACGUUUGGAUUUUUUUAAAUGCUGAUAACGUUAGGUUGGAUGUCUUAUUUUGAUUUUAAAUUUAGACCUCACAAUUGUGUUAGUUAGUUAUAGUAAAAUUACCAUAUCUUUUAAGAUAAAAAUAAAAAUAAAGUUAAUAAAAUUAAGUAAUUUUUUAUGUAAGACAACAAGUAAAAAAGUUUUAAAUUUAUAAAUGAUAUAACCUUUGUCAUAUUUAAUUAAAAUAUUUUGUAUGUCGUAAAAUAAAAAAUAUAGAAUUUAAAUAAAAUUAUAGUACAAUAUUGUUGUUGGUAUAAAAAAAAAAAUUCUAUUUUGUUUUUCAAAAUCUUAUUUUUGAAUUUACCUAAAGGUAUUGGAUCAUCUCCGACUAUAAAUUUGAAUCCUCUCCGACUAUAAAUUUGAAUCCUCUCCGUCCAAAUAUCUCAUAAUAUCUAAUGUACUCUUUGAUUGAAUUGCCUAUAUUCCUCAAAAUUUUCUACAGGUUAUGCUUCUUCUCUUAUUUUUUUAUUUUUAAAUUCAUUUAUGUUGUGUUGUUAAUUAAAAAGUAGAAAAACAAGGGUUAAAAGACAGUUGUGUUCUCCUUAUUUAGUAAAUUUUCAAUUUUAAUAUUUUAUUUAUUUAUUUUAUUUUGGCCUUCGUCUUUAAAAUUUUAAGGUUUAAUUGCAGUUUUGAUCCCCUUAUUUUAACUGAAUAGAAUUUGUCUAAAAUUUGAUGAUAUUUCAUUUUUUUUUUUUGCGUUUAUUUAAGACACACGAUGCCUCAAGAUUAUGGAUUGAAAUAGGUCAGGCUAGACAGACUUUGAAAGGUCUGACCUACAAUUAACUUUUUAGGCAUAAGUCUGACCUACGACCUAUCAUAGUCUUUUUUUUCGGUCUGGCCUGACCUAGAAGCCUAUUGAAAAGCUUUAUUCAUAUUAAAAUAUUUAAAUGCUCUACUCAUACCACAUGAUACUCUCCACAUAUCAAUAUCAAUGUAUAUAUUUAUAUAUAUUAAACAAAAAAUAAUUUUUCUAAUAAAAUAAUUUUAAAAAACUUAAAACAUAAUUUUUGGUUUCAAAUAAUAAUUUUUUUUCUUCUGAAACAAACGAAUCAAUUAUUACCUCUUAAACAAAUAUCGACUACUGAGUGAUUGACUAAUUGAAUGACUACCAAAUAUGGAACGACUACCGAAUAUGGAAUCACUACUGAGUGAUUACCUAAUUGAUAGAAUUUAAAAUAGGAAAUAAUAUUAUUAAUAUAAUAAUAAAAAAUAACAUUAAUAAAUAAUAAAAUAAAUAUAGGUCGGCAUGUCACGACUAAUAGGCUUUUUUAUAAGUCUGAGCUUGACCUAUUAAAUAAAUAGGCUUUAAAAGUAGUUUGAGUUUAACCUUUUUAUUAGAUAGGUCAGACCAAACCAUAAGUAGGUCAUGCCAUAGGCCUCUAACGGACGGCCUAACCUAUUCCUAUAUCUUAUCAAGAUCUUGUGGUGCAACAAUUAUACAUGAAAUCUAUGAUAUUAAAUGGUGUGGUGUGGCUUAAAAAAAUAACACUUCAUCAAGUUUUGGACUAAAAUUCUAUUUGGAAAACCAAAACUGUCGAAAAAUAUAAUAAGGAGACUACUUUUGUGAUUUAGUUAUAAUUAAGCCAAAUUUUAAAAAAGUUUGACAUUCAUUCUUAUUAAUUUGAACUUGAUGCAGUAAUAACUUAAGUGAUUCAGAAAAUUUUAAACAUAAUGUGAAAUUUUAAUUUAAUUAUAAAUUAUUUAAACGUGGAAUUAUAAUUGUUUCUUAGGAAAAAAAUAGUUAAUCGUAACAUGGAGUAUUAAAUAUUAAAAUAUAUUUGAAUUAAGUAGUAUUUUUUGAAUAAAAGUAUUAAAUAAAGUUGAAUUUGUUGACCUUUAUUUAUAUUUAAAAUAAAAAAAAAAAGUUGUUUAUAAAUAAGACUGUAUAUGUGGUUAAUUUAUAAAAAAUAAUAUGAUUAGGUUGAUUAUCAUAGAAAUUUUCAUUUUUACCCCAAAAAAUUGAACGAAGUACCAAUGUAAGAGAUUUAAGUUCAACAGGUAAAUCAAAACAAUGCUACCGGCAAAAAUCAACAAGAAAAACAGAAAAAGAAAUAAUUUAUUUAAAUAUAUAAAAUAAAAAUAAAUUGGAGACGUAAUUUAAAAUUAAAAGUUAACCGUAAAUUACUCCGGUAUUUAAAAAGUGAGAGACGGCUUGAUUUUUGUUCAUUCGGCGGCUUGAUUAUUUUGACAUAUCAGACAAAGGCUUCACUCUUUGUUUUUUUAUGAGACAUUUCCUUAUUGUUGAAUAGUACUCCAUAACAAACAAAAAAGAGUAAAGUUAAAGUCUCCAUCUGGUACCCUGUAAUAUAAUCCACCGUAACAAUUACGUUAGAAUUAGUGGAGAUGAGCCAAGUUUUUCUGCUCAUCGACGCAAUUUUCAUUUUUGAAAAUUCUAUGAAUUUUUUUUACACCGAUAAGUGCCCUUAAGAAAUUAAAAUAAUUUUGUUUUUUAAAUGUGAAUCUUUAAAACUUUAAAUACAUAAUUUUUAAUAUACUUUUAAUGAUUUUUUUUACAUUUAAACAAACCAUUAGCAUUUCUCUAUAAUUUUUACAAUUGAAAAUUCUAUGUGAUAAAUUUCCAUGAGUAUAACUUCUACAUACUAGUAAUAUAAAAUUCUUUUACAAAUAUAUUCAAUUAAAUCACAUUGUGACAUAACUUUGCAAAGCCAAUUUAUAAAAUUUUAUAAGAUAAUGUAGGAUGAAAUCUGUUGGGUUUUGGGCUCCCUUCCUAUGUGGAGAAAGGCCCAAUAUGUGCAAGUCCAUGUGUCUCACUUAUCCAAGUGGAGAGAGGUCAGAUUAGUGGGCGUGUAAGAGUUGAAUUCAGAGAGAGAGGCAAAGAGAAAAGUGAGAGAGGAAGAGCAAACCCUAUUUUCGCAUAAAACAGAGCAGCUGCACUAGAUUCGCGAUUUCUCCUUCGUUCACCGUCGGAUCGGGCUGAAAUUUGGACAGCAAGUUCGUGACUCGUGGUACUUCAUUCUGACCGUUUGGAUCGUCAAUCAGAGGUCUGAGGUGGGAGCAAUUGAACUCGGACAGCAGCAGUUUUUCUGGUUUUUUUUGCUGAACUUUGUUCUCAAUUUCAUGUUUGUUUUCUCGUUGUGUUGGCUGAUUGUUGUGCUGGUUACCUUGUUGUUUUUGGCUGGUUACUGAGCACAAAUUUGUGCCAUAUUAGAAACUCUCUUGUACCCAUAUUUUGAUCAUAGUGGAGCUCUAUUACUGGCUUGGUCCCGUGGUUGUUUACUUCUCACAUUGAGAAGGUUUUUCCACGUUAAAAAUUAUUGUGUCAUUUGUGAUUGGUGAUUUUAGUUGCUGUGAUUAUUUGUUGAUUGCUCCUCACAGAUUCUUGCAAGUUUGGGAAAUUGAUUAUCCGCUGCAUAUUGCUCUGUUAGAGUUGUUAUUAUAUUUGUUGUUGAAUUUCCCAUCAAAAUCGGGGUAGAGCUCUUUGGUUAAGGGGCUGUUUGACUUGUUUGAAUGAUGGAGGCAAAUACAAAUAGAAUGAUUUGUUUGAAUGGCACUAAUUAUCACUUAUGGAAGGGAAAAAUGAAGGAUCUGUUAUUUGUGAAGAAUUUGCAUCUUCCUGUGUUUGCUACUGAGAAGCCAGAAUCCAAGACUGAUGAGGAUUGGAGCUUUGAACAUCAGCAGGUCUGUGGUUUUAUUCGGCAAUAUGUAGAAGACAAUGUUUAUAAUCACAUUGCUAAUGAGGAACAUGCAAGAUCCUUGUGGAAGAAGAUUGAAUCUUUGUAUGCUUCUAAAUCAGGGAAUAAUAAGUUGUAUUUGUUGAACUCCUUGAUGAAUUUGAGGUACAAGGAGGAGACUUCUAUUUCAGAUCACUUAAAUGAUUUUCAAGGGCUCCUAGAUCAAUUGUCAGGUAUGGGUAUCAAAUUUGAUGAUGAAGUGUUGGGACUAUGGCUACUGAAUACUCUACCAGAUUCUUGGGAAACUUUUCGGGUUUCAAUUACAAACUCAGCUUCUGAUGGUGUUGUCUCUUUGCAAAGUGUAAAGGGAAGUGUUCUUAAUGAGGAGAUGAGAAGGAAGGCACAAGGUACUUCAUCUCAUUCCGAGGUACUUGUCACUGAGAACAGGGGCCGAAGUCAAAGAAAGGAACCGAAAGGGAAUAGACAGAAUAACAGAAGUGCGAGUAGAGAGAACAACAGAAGUAAGUCCAAGUCCAGACACAAGAAUGUGGAGUGCAAUUAUUGUCACAAAAUGGGGCACAUACAGAGGAACUGUUUCAUAUGGAAAAGGGAGAGCAAAAACAAUAACAGUAAGCAGAGAGAUAAGAAUCAUGAUGAUGAUGACCGUGUUACUACUGCUACUUGUGAUGAUCUGAUUAUUCUCCGUGACUAUGACUCAGUCAAUCUUGUAUCAGAUGAGAGCAUGUGGAUUAUUGAUAGUGGUGCUACACUGCAUGUUACACCAAGGAAGGAGUUCUUCACAUCUUACACUUCUGGUGACUUUGGAGUGUUGAAGAUGGGUAAUGAUGGUGUGUCCAAGGUAGUUGGUAUUGGUGAUGUUUGUUUGCAGACCAACAUGGGAGUGCAGUUGUUGCUUAGAGGAGUCAAACAUGCUCCAGAUGUUCGCUUUAAUUUGAUCUCUGUGCAGAUGCUUGAUGAUGGUGGUUAUGAUAAUCACUUUGGUUCAGGAAAAUGGAAACUCACCAGAGGUAACUUAGUUGUGGCCAGAGGGGAGAAAAUUAAUAAACUGUAUUGGACUAAAGCAUUGGUUGCUAAAGACAGUGUGAAUGCCAUGGAUAUGGAGGCUUCUUUGUGGCACCGCAGGCUUAGUCAUAUCAGUGAAAAGGGGCUGAAUUGUUUAGCUAAAAAGGAUGUACUUCCGGGAUUAAAGAGUGCAGAGUUGGAGAAAUGUUCUCAUUGCAUGGCUGGUAAGCAGACUAGAGUAUCCUUCAAGAAACAUCCUUCCUCAAGGAAGUCAGAGUUGCUUGAAUUGGUGCAUUCUGAUGUUUGUGGCCCGUUGAAGGUAAAGUCAAUUAGUGGUGCACUUUACUUUGUUACUUUUAUUGAUGAUUGUUCCAGAAAGCUUUGGGUCUAUGCUUUGAAGACAAAAGACCAAGUUCUGGAGAAAUUCAAAGAGUUCCAUGUUAUGGUGGAGAGACAGUCAGGCAAGAAGUUGAAAUGCAUUCGUACUGACAAUGGUGGUGAGUAUUGUGGACCAUUUGAUGUUUAUUGCAAGCAGCACGGUAUCAGACAUGAAAAGACUCCUCCUAAAACCCCUCAGCUGAAUGGUUUAGCAGAGAGAAUGAACAGGACAUUGAUUGAAAGAGUUAGGUGUAUGCUUUCUGAAGCAAAGUUGCCUAAGCAUUUCUGGGGUGAAGCAUUGUACACGGCAAUGCAUGUUAUUAAUCUGAGUCCUGCAGCUGCUUUGAAUGCUGAGGUGCCAGACAAGAUUUGGUUUGGCAAGAAUGUCAGGUAUGAUCAUUUGCGUGUCUUCGGUUGCAAAGCAUAUGUGCAUGUUCCAAAGGAUGAGAGAUCCAAGUUGGAUGGGAAGACAAGACAGUGCAUCUUUAUCGGUUAUGGUCAGGAUGAAUUUGGCUACAAGCUGUUUGAUCCAGUUGAGAAGAAAGCUGUUAGAAGCCGUGAUGUGAAGUUCAUGGAAGACCAAACCAUUGAAGACAUUGAUAAGAUGGAGAAGACUACACCUGAGAUUGAUAAUGGUUUGUCUGAUGUUGAUCCAGUUCGGAUGCCUACACAUGAUCUGGAUACUGCUGAAAAUAAUGUUCAGAAUGAUGAGCAACAUGGUGAUGUUGGUGAUCAGCAGCUUGGAGAUGAUUUUGAUGUUCCUAAUGAUGAUGCUGAAGAAGAACAUGAGAUGUCACAAGAUGAGGAUCUUGGUGAUGCUCCUGAACCACCUCAAGCUCAAGUUUGGAGGUCUACUAGGCAGAGGAAACCAUCCACCAGGUAUCCUUCUGAUGACUAUGUUACCUUGACUGAUGGAGGCGAACCUGAAUGUUAUGAUGAAGCCAUGGAGAGUGAUGAAAAGAAGAAGUGGUUGGAUGCUAUGCAAGAUGAAAUGAAGUCUUUGCAUGAUAAUCACACUUUUGAUUUGAUCGAAAUCGGAAUCGGAAUCUGUUUAAGAUGAAGAAAUCGAAAUCGAAAUCGGAAUCGGAAUCUGUUUAAGAUGAAGAAAUCGAAAUCGGAAUCGAUUUGGGAGCUUUUGAAUUGGGGCUGUUUGUUGAACGAUGCUUCUGGUUCAAUUUAGGGUUCAUUUUCUUUUAAUUUAAUUAUAACAAAUAAAUUUUAUUUUUAAUAAUAAUUUUUAACAAUUAUAAUAAUGAUUUUAAAAAUAUAAAUUAUAUUUUUUAAUUAGAAAUAAUAUAAUAAUAAUUUUAUUCCACGUAUGUGUCUGCCACGUCAGCUUUUUUUUGACACGUCAUUAAAAAAAUGCCAACUCAUGAUGAUUUGGACUCAAAUUCUGUUUGGGGGACUAAAACUGGGGAGAAACAAAAUGGGGGGACUACUUUCAAUUUUCACCUAUAAUAGGGGGACCAAAAGUGCAAUUGAGCCUUUUUUUUAUAUAAAAAAUUCUUAGAGUGAUGUCUCUUUUUAAUAGUCACAAAGUACAAAGUUAAUAUUAGUUUAUAGUUGUAUUGAGAUAUUAUUUAUAAUUUAAAUAUAAUAGUUUGAAUUUUUUGUGUUUAUUUUUAUUAGGGAGUCCACUUUUAAAGUUAGAAUAAAACAUCUAAAAUGUUUGCGAUGAUCUUAGAUUAAAUAUGAUUAAUAGUUUAUUUGUCAUAUAUUAUUAGUAUAAAUUUUUUUACAAUGUUAACCUACUACAACCAUUUAUAUAAAAAAAUUAUUUUAUUUAUGUAUUAAAAUAUCUAAAAUUAAAAUUCAAAAUAUUUACAUUUUAUUUAUUUACUCAAUAAUUUAAAGAUUGAAAAUAUUUAGAUAAAAUAUUUAAACUUUUUUAUUUUAAAAAUUUAAAAACAUAAAUAAAGGGGUUACAAAGAAGUUCGAGAAGUUGUGAAAAAAACUUCGAUCUCAUAUUGAUAAUAAGUUGGAAACAUAAAUAAAAUAAUAAAAUUAAUUUAAAAAAUAAUAACAUAUAAAUUAUUUAAUCAACAUCACAAAUGUUACAUAAAUAUUACGUCAUUCAUAAAAACUUCACAUAAUAAAAAAAAUAAUAAUAACGAUGAAAAAAUUUCCAAAAAAUAAUUAAUAAAAGGAUAAUAAAUUAAUUUAAAAAAUAAAUGAACUAAAAAAAAUCAUUUUUUAUAAAAUAAAUAGAUUAAAAGUACAUUGAACCUUACAAAUUAAAUAGGAUAACUGUUAUAUAUUACCCUUGCGACUUUUCUUACAAAAGAAUAUUCUCAAUUACAAAUUUUCUAUGCUGAAAGAUCCUUAUAGCAACUACAAAUUUUCCGUGUUGAAAGAUCCUUAUAGCAAUUACAAAUUUUCCAUGUGGAAAAAUCCUUAUAAAUACAUAGCUCCAACAUUUUUCAUCAAACAGCAACACCAUAGCAUUUAGCAUUCAAAAUUAAUAUUAAUAACAAAAAAAUGAGUUCAUUUUCUCUAAUGUGUGUCUUGGGCUUAAUAUUCAUAAUGGGUCACACAGCACAUGCCCAAGACUCACCAACAGAUUAUGUGAACGCACACAACGCAGCAAGAUCCGAGGUUGGUGUUCCAAAUAUUGUUUGGGACAACACUGUUGCUUCUUUUGCACAAAGCUAUGCCAAUCAACGCAAGGAUUGUCAAUUGAUGCACUCGGAUGGUAAUCAUGGCGGUUACGGCGAGAAUAUCGCGUUGAGCUCCGGCGACAUGAGUGGCACAGAAGCGGUGAGUUUGUGGGUGGAUGAGAAAGCAAACUAUGAUUAUAAUAGUAACUCAUGUGUUGGUGGUGAAUGCCUUCAUUAUACUCAAGUUGUUUGGAGAGAUUCACAUCGUGUUGGAUGUGCCAAAGUGAAAUGUGAUAAUGGUGGCACAUUCAUUACUUGCAACUAUUCUCCCCCUGGCAACUAUAUUGGCCAAAAACCAUACUAACUUCAUCAUUCAUUUUGUUUCUAUCAUCACUUAGAUAAUGAUACAAACAAAUUAAAUGAAUCUUAUGUAUGUCAAGAAUAAAUAAUUCCAGGAAACACGUUCCUAGUGAAUUCCUCAUAAUUUUAUAGUACUUAGUUGCAAUAUUUUUAAAUUAUAAAAUAAUGUUUAUCAUGUUCAAUAUUGAUGAUAUAUAUAUUAAUUUCUCUAAAUAGUGGUUGUAAUUUUUUUUAGAAACUAUUAAGCUAAAUAAACUACACAAUUAAAUAUAUAGAUAAAAUUAUAAGUAAAGAUAAUUUGUUUGAUUGAUUUUUAUCUUCAGUUGAACCGUAUAAACGGUUAUCUAAUGUACGUCGCACCCUUACGUUUUGACCUUGAGUUUUCCUUUUAUUUUGCGAUAUUUUCCGACGCUAAAAACACAUGUUUCACUCUUUUAUUAUUUGAUAAAACUCUUAAAUAUCAAUAAAUUAUAGUGAUUCUAAAAUAUACGUACAAAUAUUAAUUUGUGUUGUGAACUUGUAACAUAUUAUAGAUAUAUGUUGAAAACUCUUUUUAUAUAUAUAGUCAUAUUGAAAACUCUGAAACACAAUAACUACAUUUACACGAUAUUUAUUGCAUAUCAUAAUGUAAAAUAAUCCAGAAAAUAUAUUUGUAUAGUAAAAAAUAAAAAAUAUUUAUAUACUAUAUAUUUAUUUCUCAAUACGAAACUUUGUUUCUAAAGAAGAAAAUUAAGAAAUUUGAUAUAUAUAGUAUUAAAUUGUUUACAGUUAUUAUUUUUACAAGUCAAAAACCUUCAAAAGAAAAGUAAUUUUUCUUUGGGUUUUUUAACAAGCCAAAAUUAAUAAUAACAAUAAUAAUAAUAAUAAUGCCUUAAAAAUUUAUUGGAAAUAAUGAUGACAUUUAUGAGAGUUAGUGUUGUUGUAAAUUGAAAAAAUUGAGAAGUCUCACAUUAGAGAGAUACCACACACCAGUAGAGUAUAUAAGGUGAAGAUAAUGAACUUGGAGAGGGCCACAAGAGGCACCCCAAUUUUGUGAAGGAGGGAGAACGCAAGCAAUAUCGGUGUUCUACCGUGCAAUAGAAUUCCGAUUCAGAGUAUCUAGAGGGAUCUAGUCCGCAACUCAACCCUCCCAGUAUGAAAUCAUAAGAAAACCAUUUAGCUUUAACUUUGAGCCACCACCACGAUGCUACCUUAACACGAAGGGUAAAGUAAGUCAUGUUAUAAUGUCUUGUUAAACACUACUUUAUUUGAAGUAUUCCAAAUUAAUGAUCCACACAUUCAAUAAUUUGAAGUCUUUGAUACAAUAUCUUGUCUCAAAAAACAAACUUUCGAACUGUCAUGUGAAAGAGAAUUCAUUAUGAAAACACUUGUAAUCCUAAGUCAAGCUAAAUUUCUCUCGUUACCCUAUCAAAAAUAGGACACUCAAAAAAUAAGGAUUGAACUAUUUGUGUCCUAUUGCAGCUAUCUGAUACACGAAAAUGAAUGUGGCUCAAGCAAUCCACUGAGUAACCAAAAUGUCUUUCAUGGAUAACCUAUUAGUCACAAAUUUUCAUGCAAAAAGAAAUUUUUUUAGAGGAAAUAAUUUAUUUCAAAUAAUAUCACUCAAAGGUUCAUCUGUCUCGCUCGAUGCACCCGCUAAAAUAUGAUAAGUAGAUUUAUUCUAAAUAAUAUCACAAGUAAUUUUUCUUUGAUUUAAAUGUACUUUUUACUCUUCUAUUAUUAUUAUUAUUAUCAAUUCACAAUGUUAGUCCCUAAAUUAUGUUGAAAUUUUAAUCUCUAAUUUGAAAAUUUACAAUUUUAUUAAUCCACUUGUUGACAUUAUAUUUUCUAAUAUUUAAUGAAUAAUUUUGUUGUGGAAAUUAAAUAGUGACGUGUAUAAAGGGAUGAAGUUAAUGAUAUAGUAGAAAAUAAAUUAUGUUUUGUCUGAUAAGAACAUAAAUUGAUAUUAAUUCAAUGUGAAUACAUGCACAUCUUCUGAUAUUAAAUUAUCGAUCUCUAUUCCUUUUUAAUUAUUAUUUUCCAUUUUUAAAUUUUUUAAAGUAAGUUUUAUAUACAUACAUGAUACAUAUAUUGUUUUAUAUCUUAGAAAAAGUACUAAACUCUACCAUAAUGGUUUUUUAGUUUUCUAAAUAAAGUGAAUUCAAGUUUGAAAGAGUCAAAAUUGCAUAAGAGACUUAAACUUUUUUAGUUUUUUAAAUAAAGUGAAUUCAAGUUUGGAAGAGUCAAAAUUGCCUAAGAGACUUAAACUUUUUUAGUUUUCUAAAUAAAGCGACUUCAAGUUUGAAGAGUCAAAAUUGUCUAAGAGACUUAAAAUUGAUUUUGCAUGGUAUAUUAUAUUUGAAGAUCAAUUGAUAAAAAUUAAUUUUCCAUUUAGAAUAUUUUUUUCUUUUGUCUCAAAACUCUUACACUCAAAUUUAUUAUUGUUGACCUCAUCUUUCUGAUAAGGUAUCUAAACAAAUUACUUUACUUUAAAAUUAAUUUUACAAAUUCAAUCUACAAAAAAAUUAAUUUUCUUAAAACCAAAAACACGGUUAAUCUAGUCGAUCAUGAGAAUUAAGUUACAAUUGGCGGACGCAAUUUCCUUUUUAAAAAUUUCUAUAAGCCACGUCGACGCUUGUAUUUCUUACAAUAGCUAUUAAAUAUCAAUUUUUUGGACAAAAAUAAUAACCUUUUCAAUUAAGAAAUAUUCACGUUAUAAAAAAUCCCUAUAAAAUACAUCACAAUAGCAUCAACAUUUUUCAUCAACCAUCAAUUAAUACACUAAGAAAAAAAAUGGGUUCAUUUUCUCUAUUAUGUGUGUUGGGCUUAUCACUAAUUAUAAUAGGUGACAUUGCACAUGCCCAAAACUCACCAUCAGACUACGUUAAAGCACACAACAAAGCAAGAUUCGACGUUGGUGCAUUGAUUCGAAUUCCCAAUGUGGUUUGGGAUGAAAAAGUUGCUUCUUUUGCACGUACCUAUGCCAAUCAACGUAAGGAUUGUCAAUUGAAGCACUCCGGUAAUAACCGUUACGGCGAGAAUAUCGCAAUAAGCACCCGCGACAUUAACGGCACGGAGGCGGUGAAAUUGUGGGUGGAUGAGAAACCAUAUUAUGAAUAUUAUCGUAACAAAUGUGUUGAUGGUGAAUGCCUCCAUUAUACUCAAGUUGUUUGGAAAAAAUCACUACGUAUUGGAUGUGCCAAAGUGAAAUGUAAUAAUGGUGGCACUUUUGUUACUUGCAAUUAUUCUCCCCCUGGCAACCGUCCUGGCGAACUACCAUAUUAAAUCAUUUAUUUAUUUUAUUCUAUCAUCAAUUGGUUAAUUGAUAUAUGAUGGAAUCACGAUAUACUUCUCAAUCUUAAUAAAUUAUAAAAUUAACAAUCUGUUAGUUAUAUAUAACUUUCAAGCUAUUACCUUUAGAUUUUACUUUGAUUUCUUAUGUUCUUUUUCUUCUAUUUGGUUUCUUAAUUUUUGUUGUUCUAUUUGGAUUAUUUAGUUUAUAAAUGCUGAACAAUUUAUCUUUUUGAUUUGUUUUGAUAGAUAUAAACAGAAAACUGAUAUAAAAAAUAUUAAUACAUUUAUAAUCUCUGAGACCAACGUAUAAAGAAAAAUUUUAAAAGGCCAAAGUUUAUAUUUAUAAUUUAAGACAUCAAAAUAGAAAAAAAAUAAUAAUUUAAGAGUCAAAGUGAAAUAUAAAGAUAAUUUAAUAUAUUAAAAAUAUAAUUUCGUUAAAAUUUUAUAAUUUAAUAAUUCAAGAAUAAUACAGCGGAAAGAGAGUUUUUUUAAUGACAAAUGUUAAUAUAGUCCCAUAAUUUAUUUUUUCAGUUAUACCCUUUGAUUAAUACUUAUUGGGACGAAAUAAGAUUAGAUAAGUUUUUAAUCAAAAUUGUUGUGCAAACAUUUAUAUUAUUUGUUGGGACAAAACAUGAUAUAUUUUCCUCUGACUUUUAAAUUUUUUAUAGUAAAAACAAACUUUUAAAGUUUUUAAGGAUUCUUUACAAAUAUUUAGAAUAUUAUAUAUUGAAUAUGAACAUCCGUAUAAGUUAAGAUUUAUAAUUUAAGACAUAAAAAUAGAAAAAAAAAAUUAAAGAGGCAAAGUGAAAUUUAAAGAUAAUUAAACAAACUAAAAAUAUAAUUUUGUCAAAAUUUUAUAAUUUUAUAAUUCAAGGUAUAAUAUAGCAAAAAGAGAGUUUUUUUAAUUACAAAUGUUAGUAUAGUUUUUACUCUCAACUUACUUUAAGUUUUUAAGUCAAUUUUAAUUUAUUUUUUGAAUUAUACCCUAUGAUUAAUACUUAUUGGGACGAAAUAAAAUUAGAUAAGUUUUUAAUCAAAAUUAUCAUGCAAACACUUUUACUAUCGUGUCCUCUAAAUUUUAAAUUUUUUAUGGUAAAAAUAAACUUUUAAAUAUUUUGAGGAUUCUUUACAAAUAUUUGGAAUAUUAUAAAAAACUUGAGACGUAUUGAAUAUGAACUUUUUAAUUAGUAUAAGUUAAGAUAAAAAUAUGGACUAGAAAACAAAUUUUAAACUCCUCUUGUCGAAGAACUUUUUAUAUAAUAUUGUAACGCCUGCGUAAAUAUAUAUAUAUAUAUAUAUAUAUAUAUAUAUAUAUAUAUUAUAAUAAUAAUAAUAAUAAUAAUAAUAAUAAUAUUAAUAUUAAUACUAAUAAUAAUUAAAUAAAACAAAACCCUUGUCNNNNNNNNNNNNNNNNNNNNNNNNNNNNNNNNNNNNNNNNNNNNNNNNNNNNNNNNNNNNNNNNNNNNNNNNNNNNNNNNNNNNNNNNNNNNNNNNNNNNNNNNNNNNNNNNNNNNNNNNNNNNNNNNNNNNNNNNNNNNNNNNNNNNNNNNNNNNNNNNNNNNNNNNNNNNNNNNNNNNNNNNNNNNNNNNNNNNNNNNNNNNNNNNNNNNNNNNNNNNNNNNNNNNNNNNNNNNNNNNNNNNNNNNNNNNNNNNNNNNNNNNNNNNNNNNNNNNNNNNNNNNNNNNNNNNNNNNNNNNNNNNNNNNNNNNNNNNNNNNNNNNNNNNNNNNNNNNNNNNNNNNNNNNNNNNNNNNNNNNNNNNNNNNNNNNNNNNNNNNNNNNNNNNNNNNNNNNNNNNNNNNNNNNNNNNNNNNNNNNNNNNNNNNNNNNNNNNNNNNNNNNNNNNNNNNNNNNNNNNNNNNNNNNNNNNNNNNNNNNNNNNNNNNNNNNNNNNNNNNNNNNNNNNNNNNNNNNNNNNNNNNNNNNNNNNNNNNNNNNNNNNNNNNNNNNNNNNNNNNNNNNNNNNNNNNNNNNNNNNNNNNNNNNNNNNNNNNNNNNNNNNNNNNNNNNNNNNNNNNNNNNNNNNNNNNNNNNNNNNNNNNNNNNNNNNNNNNNNNNNNNNNNNNNNNNNNNNNNNNNNNNNNNNNNNNNNNNNNNNNNNNNNNNNNNNNNNNNNNNNNNNNNNNNNNNNNNNNNNNNNNNNNNNNNNNNNNNNNNNNNNNNNNNNNNNNNNNNNNNNNNNNNNNNNNNNNNNNNNNNNNNNNNNNNNNNNNNNNNNNNNNNNNNNNNNNNNNNNNNNNNNNNNNNNNNNNNNNNNNNNNNNNNNNNNNNNNNNNNNNNNNNNNNNNNNNNNNNNNNNNNNNNNNNNNNNNNNNNNNNNNNNNNNNNNNNNNNNNNNNNNNNNNNNNNNNNNNNNNNNNNNNNNNNNNNNNNNNNNNNNNNNNNNNNNNNNNNNNNNNNNNNNNNNNNNNNNNNNNNNNNNNNNNNNNNNNNNNNNNNNNNNNNNNNNNNNNNNNNNNNNNNNNNNNNNNNNNNNNNNNNNNNNNNNNNNNNNNNNNNNNNNNNNNNNNNNNNNNNNNNNNNNNNNNNNNNNNNNNNNNNNNNNNNNNNNNNNNNNNNNNNNNNNNNNNNNNNNNNNNNNNNNNNNNNNNNNNNNNNNNNNNNNNNNNNNNNNNNNNNNNNNNNNNNNNNNNNNNNNNNNNNNNNNNNNNNNNNNNNNNNNNNNNNNNNNNNNNNNNNNNNNNNNNNNNNNNNNNNNNNNNNNNNNNNNNNNNNNNNNNNNNNNNNNNNNNNNNNNNNNNNNNNNNNNNNNNNNNNNNNNNNNNNNNNNNNNNNNNNNNNNNNNNNNNNNNNNNNNNNNNNNNNNNNNNNNNNNNNNNNNNNNNNNNNNNNNNNNNNNNNNNNNNNNNNNNNNNNNNNNNNNNNNNNNNNNNNNNNNNNNNNNNNNNNNNNNNNNNNNNNNNNNNNNNNNNNNNNNNNNNNNNNNNNNNNNNNNNNNNNNNNNNNNNNNNNNNNNNNNNNNNNNNNNNNNNNNNNNNNNNNNNNNNNNNNNNNNNNNNNNNNNNNNNNNNNNNNNNNNNNNNNNNNNNNNNNNNNNNNNNNNNNNNNNNNNNNNNNNNNNNNNNNNNNNNNNNNNNNNNNNNNNNNNNNNNNNNNNNNNNNNNNNNNNNNNNNNNNNNNNNNNNNNNNNNNNNNNNNNNNNNNNNNNNNNNNNNNNNNNNNNNNNNNNNNNNNNNNNNNNNNNNNNNNNNNNNNNNNNNNNNNNNNNNNNNNNNNNNNNNNNNNNNNNNNNNNNNNNNNNNNNNNNNNNNNNNNNNNNNNNNNNNNNNNNNNNNNNNNNNNNNNNNNNNNNNNNNNNNNNNNNNNNNNNNNNNNNNNNNNNNNNNNNNNNNNNNNNNNNNNNNNNNNNNNNNNNNNNNNNNNNNNNNNNNNNNNNNNNNNNNNNNNNNNNNNNNNNNNNNNNNNNNNNNNNNNNNNNNNNNNNNNNNNNNNNNNNNNNNNNNNNNNNNNNNNNNNNNNNNNNNNNNNNNNNNNNNNNNNNNNNNNNNNNNNNNNNNNNNNNNNNNNNNNNNNNNNNNNNNNNNNNNNNNNNNNNNNNNNNNNNNNNNNNNNNNNNNNNNNNNNNNNNNNNNNNNNNNNNNNNNNNNNNNNNNNNNNNNNNNNNNNNNNNNNNNNNNNNNNNNNNNNNNNNNNNNNNNNNNNNNNNNNNNNNNNNNNNNNNNNNNNNNNNNNNNNNNNNNNNNNNNNNNNNNNNNNNNNNNNNNNNNNNNNNNNNNNNNNNNNNNNNNNNNNNNNNNNNNNNNNNNNNNNNNNNNNNNNNNNNNNNNNNNNNNNNNNNNNNNNNNNNNNNNNNNNNNNNNNNNNNNNNNNNNNNNNNNNNNNNNNNNAGUAGAACUGACAUCAUUUCAGCUAAUAGGCGUGGCACGUGAUUGGUUUGAUAUAGUGUCACAUGGUAGACAAGUGGGGUCACCUCCGUUAGCAUGGAGAGAGUUUUCUCAGUUGUUCAUGGCUCGUUUUCUUCCGGAGAGUGUUAGAGAUGGAUUAGCUCAUGAGUUUGAGCGAUUGGAGCAAACAGAGAGUAUGACAGUUUCAGAGUAUAGUGCUCAUUUUACACAGCUCUCUAGGCAUGCUCUGUAUCCUAUCACUGAGGAGAUGCGUGUUAAGAGGUUCAUUAGAGGAUUGGAGGAUUAUUUAUUUAGAUCUGUGGUUGGGUCGAAUUGUUCUACUUUUGCUGAGGUUUUGAGUUUAGCCCUUUUGAUUGAGCAACGACAGAAGGAAAAGGGAGGCAAUAAACAAGAUUCACAUAAGAAGCAAAGGAUUGAAGGAUCUUACAGUAACUAUUCAAAUCGCGGUGGUGGAUCUAUGUUUGGUUAUCAGGGGCAACAAGGACUCAUGUCUCAAAGGGGUGGUCAUAGUGGGCAGUCUUCUGGGACAGUGCAGAUUCGUAGAUCAGAUUCUGGAGCAGCAUCACAACCCACCUUCCCUCAGAGACAUUCUGGUGUUUCAGCUACACAGUGUUCUACUUGUGGUAGGUUUCACUUCGGGAAUUGUUCUAGAGAUGGCAAUCCUAAGAUGUGGUACCAAUGUGGCCAAAUAGGUCACAUCAUGAGGGAUUGUCCCGUAGACACGACACAUCCACCCUCUAGUUAUGCGUCAGCACCAACAGCUUUGGCAUCUUCUCAGACUCAUUCUGCAUCUGUGCGUCAGAGUGGAAAUUCUUAUGUCAGAGGUUCAGGAACAUUUCAGCAGCAAGGUAGAGGAUUUGGUGGUAGAGGUCAGAUACCAGCAGGAAGAGGUCAGGCUCGAGUGUUUGCUUUGACUUGUCAAGAUGCACAGACAUCCAAUGCAGUAGUUACAGGUAUACUUUCUAUUUGUUCUAGAGAUGCUCAUGUUCUGUUUGAUCCUGGAGCUACACAUUCUUUUGUAUCCUCGUGGUUUGCUACUCAACUUGGUAAAUGUUCAUCUCCUUUAGAAGAGCCAAAUUCAUAGCCAAGAAUCUAGCUAAGGCUUGAUACUCCCUCCUCAUUUUCCAAAUUCUAUUCGUGGAGAAAAAAUACAAUAUUGUUAUUAAUUAAAUUUUUUAUUUUUUUUUAAAUUAGGUAUGAGUAGAGUUGAGGUUUCUGCUUCAAGAACGGUUAUAGAUUCUACAGAAAAAUUCAUCACUGAUCAAGUAUUAUUAUUACUGAUAAUCCAUCACCGAUCAAAUUUUUAUUAUAGCAAUAUAUUUGAUGUUUUAUUUGAAACAUAUUUUGUAGGUAUUUCCAUCUCGAGAAGUUGUAUUUGAAUGGACAAAAACUAUUAGAAGGUAAAAUGGAAUUUUAAUUGUUACCAUUCGAUCAGAUAAAGCAACCGAAAAAAGGGGAAGAAAAGACAAAUUGAUUUUGGAAUGCGAAAGAGGUGGAAGAUAUACUUGAUUUACUUGAUACUGUAAUCAGUCAUUCUUAUUUGGGGCGUUUAAACGAAGAAGAGAGGAAAUUUGUCAAUCACAUGACAAAGUAUAAGCUUGCAUGUUCAAUAUCUCAAUAUACAUAACACAAUCACUAAUCGUCGUACAAGAGGCUUAACUCACUUAAUAUCUCAUGAACUUCAAUAAAUGGAGCUACCAAAUUAAUGGCCAUACAUACAAGCUCAACUACUCUACGGUCUCGUGUCGAUGAUGGACCAACAUGUGCAGAAGAUGAUGGACCAUCAUGUGCAGCAAUAGUAGGUGGACUCGAAGGUGCAACAAUAGAUGGAGGGAUGAUCAGAGGAUGUAAAACACUCAUGUACCAUGCAUAGUAGUCUGUAGUGACAUCUCCAGGAAAAUUUGCAACAGGAUAUAGCCUUCGAAAGGCCAAUAUAAAUGAUUUCUUAGUAGUCUGCCAUGUCUAAUCUAUAUUGUUCGGCAUCGGAGGAACGUUAUACGGAAUGCAUUGAAUACGACCAAACUGUCACAGGCAUCGCUCCGACAAAUAUGGGACUGAGACUCCACCACAUUGAAGAUAUCCAUAGAACAUUGAAAUCGAUACAAACGAAUGAUUAGCUCGAUCAUCAUCAUAUGGUGUAAACACUACAUCCUCGAGCAACAAAGCAUCAAGUCUCUGACGAUAUGUCAUCAAUUCACCUUCAACAACAUGUUUUGCAAUCCACCUACAUGCUCUUGGAAGAUGUGUAGGAACCGCUCCUCUAUCUCCCUGCUUACAGAUCCUAGGGAAGUGCUCGUAAUUCCAGCACUGCAACAUAAGUAACAUCAUAAAGUGAUAGUCAUAUCUCCAAAUAACAAAUGAAAUGAGCUGAUAUCCCUGUGCCAUCUUUCAACAAAUAUGGAUAUCAGACCAGCAUCAGCCAUAGUGAGGUAGGAUGAAGACAGAUGUAGCAGCCCAGAUUCUCGAAUCCAAUGCUCUAUAGGAUCUUAUACAGGAACUUCGGUAAACUUCUUCAGCUUCAAUAUAUGAGUAAUAACUUUUAACGAUCCACAAUCCUGCAAGUAAUCACACAGUAAUUAAUUAAUUAAAUAAAAUUAAAUAAACAAUUAAUUAAAUAAAUUUAAAUAAACAAUUAAUUAAUAAAUUUAAAUAAACAAUUAAUUAAUAAAUUUAAAUAAACAAUUAAUUAAUAAAUUUAAAUAAACAAUUAAUAAAAUAAAAAAACUAAAUAAACUUAAUUAAAUAAACUUAAAUUAAAUAAACAAUUAAUUAAAUAAACUUAAAUUAAAUAAACAAUUAAUUAAAUAUAUUUAAAUAUUAAUUAAAAUAUAUCUCUCCUUCCCAUAGCCUCCAAGCCAUGUGGUGCUCAUACUGUGUCAACAUAUGUGUCACUAUCGAUCCUCUGGGGAAUCCAGUGUGCUAAUCAUGAUCAUCAAUAUCAUCAACAUCAUCAGCAUGUGCAGCAACAUCAUGAAUAUCAUCAGUAUCGACAACAUGUGCAGCAUAUUGUUCCUUAACCUGUUCCAUAUGAGGCUCAGAGACAUCCUCCUCCAUCUGUGAAUGCUCAGUAGGCUCAACGGCAUCAUCAUGGACAUCUUUUCUUCGAUGACGCAGCCUAAUGGGACGAUUUGCUUUGUUUCAUCGUCUGUUUGAUGUUGGUGGUGGAAUUCUCUCUGCACCAUCACCUCUAUCACCUAUCAAGUUGCGAAUAAUUUGGCCAAACACACCUCUAUUUCUAGGAAUUGCAAUAUAUCAUAUUAAAAAAAUGAAAAUAAAACUUAAAAAAAAAAAUCCAUUUCGGAACUUUCAUUUGGCCAAACUUUCGAAACAUGUUUUGGAAGUGUUUUUGAAUGCCAAAGUUCUGAAUCAGCUUCGAAACUUUUCAUGCAUUCCAAAUUUUCGAAUCUUUCCUUGCAUUUCUUACUUUCCAAAGUUUCAAAUUUUCAAACGUUAUUCUUACUUUUCAAUUUCGAAGGUUUCAAACUUUCGAAUAUUUGGCAAUUUCAAAAUCGGAUAUUUUAAACUUUCGAAUGAAAUAGGUGAAAAAAGGAAAGUGAAAUUUUUGGGAGGUUUUUAUAGAUAACACUAGAGGCAAUUUGGUCUUUUUCAUAUGAAUGGAGGGUGGGAGGUAAAAGUGGGAAAUGCACGGUACAAAACUCCUUUAACGCACACAACAUAGCAAGAUUCAAUGUUAUUGGGACGAUUAUCUUGGUCAUUUUGCACGUGUAUAUGCCUAUCAACGCACGGAUUGUAAAUUGAUACUUAUGAGCAACCGCGACAUCAACAGCACAAACUCGGUGAAAUUGUGGGUGGAUGAGAAACGAUAUUAUGAUUGAUCUCGUAACAAAUGUGUUAGUUGUGAAUGUCUCCGGUAGUCAUAAUUCAUAUGAUACAUCUUCAGGCACACUAAUUCCAAGAGAUUGAGAAUCAAUUUUUUCAAUAGUCGUAUAUUUCUUUUACAUAUGUGAACAAGAAUGAUUAAUUUAGUAUCAAUUGUAAAUUAUAAUACUUAGUUUGAAAAUCUAUAAAUCCUCUUCAAAGCUAUAACAAUCAAAAAACUGGAUUGAAAAACAAUUUUAUUACGCAAAUUAAUUAGUUAAUUAUAUAAGUUAACUAUAAUAGUUAGUUAUACUAGUUUUAUAUUAUUUAUUGGCCAAAUAAGUUUUAUGUAUUACUUGAUAUAUUUGAACAAUUCUUUUAUUAUUAUUCAGUAUAUAUUUUUUAUGAUUUUCCUCUCAUUUUAUAAUUUCAAUCUAGAAUUAUAAUAUAAUAUCAGAUGUAUUUAUGUGGUACUGUAAUUUUAUCCAAAGAAUUAAAAAUAAUUUCAAUAAGAAUAAGUAAUAGUAUGUUUAAUAAACAUUUUGCACUAAGUCUAAGUAAUAGUAUGAUAUUAGAUGUAUUUAUGUGGUACUGUAAUUUUAUCCGACAAAUUAAAAAUAAUUUACAAUAUGAACAAGUAAUAAUAUGUUUAAUAAACAUUUUGCACAAUCGUUUUUAGAGGAAAUAAUUUAUUUCAAAUAACGUCACCCAAAAUAUCACAAGUAAUUUUUUUUAAUUUAAAUGUACCUUUUGUUCUUCUAUUAUUAUCAAUUCACAAUAUUAAUCCUUAAAAUUAUAUUGAAAUUUUAAUCUCCAAUUUAAAAAAUUACACAAUUUCAUCCUAUGGUUGACUUUUAAUUUCAUAAUAUUUAAUAAAUAAUUUUGAUAUGGAAAUUAAAUAGUGGCAUGUAUAAAGGGAUGAAGUUAAUGAUAUAAUAGAAAAUAAAUUAUGUUUGUUUGAUAAAAACAUAAAUUGAUAUUAAUUCAAUGUGAAUGUUCAUGCACAUCUUCUGAUAUUAAAUGAUCGGUCUCCAUAAAUUUUUAAUUAUUAUUUUCCAUUUUUAAAUUUUUUAAAUUAAGUUAUAUAUAUAAACACAUUGUUUUUUAUCUCAAAAAAAAAUAGUAAAUUCUAUUGUAAUUUAUUCACACAAUUGCGAAGUCUCAUAUUUGAAAUCCUAAUACGUAAGUUAUAUAUAAUUUUAUAGUAACAAAUUUGAACUGGUACCCAUUUUUUGUUCUUAUGUUCUCUUUUUGUUUUAUUAGCAAAUAUUUUAUAUUUUUUAAAAGAAAAUUUGAAUGCAGUUGUAACAUUACUAUCGUGGUAAGUCAAAAUAAUAAUAAUAAUAAUAAUAAUAAUAAUAAUAAUAAUAAAUAAGUUUUUUAGUUUUCUAAACAAAGUGAAAUCAAGUUUGGAAGAGUCAAAAUUGUCUAAGAGACUUAAAAUUGAUUUUGCAUGGUAUAUUAUAUUUGAAGAUCAAUUGAUUAAAAUUAAUUUUCCAUUUAGAAUAUUUCUUCUUUUGUCUCAAAACUCUUACACUCAAAUUUAUUAUUGUUGACCUCAUUUUUCUGAUAAGGUAUCUAAACAAAUUAAUUUACUUUAAAAUUAAUUUUACAAAUUCAAUUUACCAAAAAAAUUAAUUUUACAAAUUCAAUCUACAAAAAAAUUAAUUUUCUUAAAACCAAAAACACGGUUAAUCUAGUCGAUCAUGAGAAUUACGUUACAAUUGGCGGACGCAAUUUCCUUUUUAAAAUUUUCUAUAACCCACGUCGCUUGUAUUUCUUACAUAAUAAAUAACCUUUGUUUUUUUGACUCAUACAUAAUAAAUAACCUUAAGUAUCUAUUUUUUGGACAAAAAUAUUAACCUUUUCAAUUACCAAAUAUUCACGUUAUAAAAAAUCCCUAUAAAUACAUCACAAUAGCUUCAACAAUUAUCAUCAAACAUCAAUUAAUACUAAGAAAAAAAAAUGGGUUCAUUUUCUCUAUUAUGUGUGUUGGGCUUAUCACUUAUUAUAAUGGGUGACAUUGCACAUGCCCAAAACUCACCAUCAGACUACGUUAAAGCACACAACAUAGCAAGAUUCAACGUUAGUACUUUGAUUCAAAUUCCCGAUGUGGUUUGGGACAAAAAUGUUGCUGCUUUUGCACGUACCUAUGCCAAUCAACGUAAGGAUUGUCAAUUGAAGCACUCCGGUAAUAACCGUUACGGCGAGAAUAUCGCAAUAAGCACCGGCGACAUGAGCGGCAAGGAGGCGGUGAAAUUGUGGGCGGAAGAGAAACCACAUUAUGAUUCAUAUCGUAACAUAUGUUUUGAUGGUGAAUGCAACCAUUAUACUCAAGUUGUUUGGAGAAAAUCACUACGUAUUGGAUGUGCCAAAGUGAAAUGUGAUAAUGGUGGCACUUUUGUUACUUGCAAUUAUUCUCCCCCUGGCAACCGUCCUGGCGAAAUGCCAUAUUAAGUCAUUCAUUCGUUUUAUUAUAUCAUCAAUUGAUUAAUAUAUUAUGUAAUAACGAUGUACUUUUUAAAUUUUAAAAUUAAUAUAAUCUUCAUUAGUUCAUCAUAUAUAACUUUCAAGCUAUUAAUACCAUCAUUUGGUAUUUGAUAAAUGAAAUCCUUUAUAAUUUGAUUUUGACCUUUUCAUCUCUUCAGCUACAUUUAGAUGAGAGAACAACACCCAGAGUUAUUUAUCGAUGCAUACCCAGAGUUAUUUAUCGAUGUAUAGUUUCGAGGACGAAACUAAUUUUAGGGGGUAGGAAUGUGUAUUUUGGAUUUUGGCUCGGAGGCUUUUUAGCCAAAGUUAAUAAUAUUUUGGAGAUAUUUGUUAAAAGUNNNNNNNNNNNNNNNNNNNNNNNNNNNNNNNNNNNNNNNNNNNNNNNNNNNNNNNNNNNNNNNNNNNNNNNNNNNNNNNNNNNNNNNNNNNNNNNNNNNNNNNNNNNNNNNNNNNNNNNNNNNNNNNNNNNNNNNNNNNNNNNNNNNNNNNNNNNNNNNNNNNNNNNNNNNNNNNNNNNNNNNNNNNNNNNNNNNNNNNNNNNNNNNNNNNNNNNNNNNNNNNNNNNNNNNNNNNNNNNNNNNNNNNNNNNNNNNNNNNNNNNNNNNNNNNNNNNNNNNNNNNNNNNNNNNNNNNNNNNNNNNNNNNNNNNNNNNNNNNNNNNNNNNNNNNNNNNNNNNNNNNNNNNNNNNNNNNNNNNNNNNNNNNNNNNNNNNNNNNNNNNNNNNNNNNNNNNNNNNNNNNNNNNNNNNNNNNNNNNNNNNNNNNNNNNNNNNNNNNNNNNNNNNNNNNNNNNNNNNNNNNNNNNNNNNNNNNNNNNNNNNNNNNNNNNNNNNNNNNNNNNNNNNNNNNNNNNNNNNNNNNNNNNNNNNNNNNNNNNNNNNNNNNNNNNNNNNNNAAAUGGGGAAUCUUUUAAUAUCUCGGUUUACCUAAUGUUGUUUUGGAAAAUCGUUGAGUUAAAUGAGCAUUAAGAAUAGGUAAUCUCUUAAUGUCUUGAUUUGCUUAAUGUUUGUUUUGAAAAAUCAGUUAAGUCGAAAGAGUAUUAAGAAUGGGGAAUCUCUUAAUAUGUCUGUUUGCUUAAUGUUUGUCGUGAGAACCGUUUAAGUUAAAUGGAUAUUAAAAAUGGGGAAUCUUUUAAUAUCUGCAUUUGCUUAACGUUUGUUGUGAAUGGAGUCGGUAUAUGUUCAUGCAUUUUCAUCCUUUUUGUAAAUCGUGCAGACCCGUGAUAGGUGGCACCUUGAUAAAUAGUACUUUGGCCUGUGAUAGGCGGUACAUUUAUGAUUUACGUUUUUGAAAACCGUGCAGACCCGUGAUAGUUGGCACCUCGAUAAAUGGUACGGGCCCGUGAUAGGCAGUACAUUUAUGGUUUUCGUUUUUGGGUAAAUUGUGCAGACCCGUGAUAGGUGGCACCUUGGUAGAUAGUACUUUGGCCUGUGAUAGGCGGUACGACUACAAUUUACAUUCUUUUUAGUAAAUCGUGCAGACCCGUGAUAGGUGGCACCUCGGUAAACGAUACGUGCCCGUGAUAGGCAGUACGUUUAUGGUUUACGCUUUUUAGUAAAUCGUGCAGACCCGUGAUAAGUGGCACCUUGGUAGAUAGUACUUUGGCCUGUGAUAGGCGGUACGACUACAAUUUACAUUCUUUUUAGUAAACCGUGCAGACCCGUGAUAGGUGGCACCUCGAUAAACGAUACGGGCCCGUGAUAGGCAGUACGUUUAUGGUUUUCGUUUUUGGGUAAAUUGUGCAGACCCGUGAUAGGUGGCACCUCGAUAAACGAUACGGGCCCGUGAUAGGCAGUACGUUUAUGGUUUUCGUUUUUGGGUAAAUUGUGCAGACCCGUGAUAGGUGGCACCUCGAUAAACGAUACGGGCCCGUGAUAGGCAGUACGUUUAUGGUUUACGCUUUUUAGUAAAUCGUGCAGACCCGUGAUAGGUGGCACCUCGGUAAUUGGUACUUUGGCCUGCGAUGGGCGGUACAAUUAUGAUUUACGGCCCUUCGAGGAGGGUUUUGGUUUGGAAUUCCGAGUCCAUGCAUUUUGGCAUAUACGCAUUGCAUUAGGGUGCUUGGCACGCGAGUCGUGUUUGAUUUGAGUCUAUGAUUGAGUGUUUUGAAUUUGAGUUGUCGUGGUAAUUGUGUUGAAAUUGCUAAGUGUUAUGUAUUGAUUAGCGUGUGUGCGUGCGAUGGAUUGCAAAACUAUUUUUUACGGCCCUUCGAGGAGGGUUUUGGUUUGGAAUUCCGAGUCCAUGCAUUUUGGCAUAUACGCAUUGCAUUAGGGUGCUUGGCACGCGAGUCGUAUUUGAUUUGAGUUUAUGAUUGAGUGAUUUGAAUUUUGAUUUAUCGUGGUAAUUACGUUGAAGGUGCUAAGUGUUAUGUGUUGGUUAUUGGGUGUAAGUAUGAUGGUUAUCGAGAUCCCAAUUGCCGUGGUAAUCGCGUAGGAAUUGCUAAGUGUUCGGUUGUGAACUUGAUUAGAAAUGACUUGAGUUAAUUCAUAAAUUUUUGGAAAAAUGAUCAGGGAAAUCGAUUUCCCAAUCGAUUGGAUGGUAGACAGGGACUUGGCCAAAUGGACAAAAUCGAUUAGCCAAUCGAUUUUGUAAUCAGUUUUCGAAAAUCAUUUACGAAAUCGAUUGCCCAAUCGAUUGGGCCUUAAGUCAGGGACUCAUCCAUAUUCGACCAAAUCGAUUUGGAAAUCGAUUGGCUUAAAACCUGGGGGCUCAGUACUCACUCAAUCGAUUGCCAAAUCGAUUGAUUCAGCCCAGGAUUCUGUUUUCAUUAAAAACCUUCACCCCAAUCGAUUUCCCAAUCGAUUGGCUCAGUGAAAAUCCUCAGUUCGAGUUAGACGAUUGAUUACUCAUUAACUUAUCCAUGUCUUGUUUUGUUAUGUGUUAAUUAGGAGAUUGAGAACCUCAUUUUACUUUCAUUUUAAUUGGCAAGUAUUGUAUGAACCUUUCGCAUAUUGAAAAUCCUGUUAAGGUGCAUGCUUAGUUGAAAAGUUAUUUUGAGCAUUUAAAAACUUAAUUGCUAUGUGUUAACUGUUAUUUUUUUUUGGUUGGUGACCCUUUACAAUUAUUGUGGAAAUCUGGGCUUUGCCAUCAGAUGAGAGUCAGGACGGUCCUACCGGUUCGUACCCUACGGACGGGAAUGGAGAUUGGAACGCUUGACUGCAGUUACGUUAGGAGGAUCUCACGGGGCGCGUGGAGAUCACUCAGGGUGUAUAUCUUUUUGGUAGGAUGAUCAGAUUAGGAUGAUGUAUAGGGACUAGGUGUCCUUCUUUUUGGAUUGAAGUAUUUUUAGUUUGGAAAAUUGUACUUAUACUAAUAUUGUCAGUUUGACAUCUUAUUUGAAUGGGUUCCAUGUACCAUUUGUUGUUGUGUAAAUGUUUUGGAUUUAUAAUUGGAGAAACUUUUCCGCUGCUUGUAAAUUAUAAUGACUCAAUUAUUUAUCCAAAGGCAUUUCCUGAUUUAAUUCUUUGUUUGUUUUUAAUUACUUUUGAAAAAAAAAUAUAUCCUCGCUUUGAAAAACGGGGUGUUACACAUAUUGUUCCUCAGCCUGUUCCAUAUGAGGCUUAGAGACAUCCUCCUCCAUCUGUGAAUGCUCAGUAGGUUCAACGACAUCAUCAUUGACAUCUUUUCCUCGAUGACGCUGCCUAAUUGGACGAUUUGCUUCGUUUCGUUGUUUGUUUGAUGUUGUUGGUGGAAUUCUCUCUGCACCAUCACCUAUCAAGUUGCGAAUAAUUUGGCCAAACACACCUCUAUUUCUAGGCACUACAAUAUAUCAAUAUUAAAGAAAAUAAAACUUAAAAAAAAAUUAUGUUUCGGAACUUUCAUAUGGCCAAACUCUCGAAACAUGUUUUGGAAGUGUCUUUGAAUGCCAACGAAUUCAACUUAUGUAUCCAUUUUUUUUUCAGGAAGCCUGCAAACGAAUUUGUAGGGGUCUGAUUCUUUGAAGAUAACAAAGCGAAAAAGAAUCGGCGAAUAAGGAAACUGUAUUAUUAGUAUGGCAGAAGAUGAAAUUUAUACACAAGAUGGAACUAUUAACAUCAAUAGAAAACCUGCCAACAAGAAAAAGACUGGAAAUUGGAAAGCUUGUUGGUUCAUUCUUGGUAUAAAAUUAUAUUUUGUUCUUUUGUUUCUUAGAAAUAGAAUCAAUGAUGUGUUAAAUUGCAUGAUGUAAGUUAAUUUUAGUAUGUAAUGUAUGCUUGUGUGUUAUAAUAUGAAGAAGCUAUAUGAUGCUGAAUUUGAAACAUUUUUUAUAGGAAAUGAAUGUUGUGAAAGAUUGGCAUACUAUGUUAUGAGUACAAAAUUGGUGAACUAUCUUGGACAGCGUUACAAUCAAGGAAAUCCACUAGCAUAUACUACCAAGUAAAAUAACAAGUGAAAUCUACACAUAACACAAAGGAAUAGAUUAUUAUCAAACAUAAGCAACAACAAUAAUUAUACACAGAGAAACAUCAUUAAGAACAACAAUAACAAUUAUUCAUAUUAGAGUAAAAUGAAUGAAAUCAAAUGAUUAAACAACCACAAAGUUAAUAUUCAAUCUCCUUGAUCCUGCGAUAAAAAAUCAGUAGACGAAGAAAUCUCAACAUAUAUCAAAUUUCAAAAACACAUACAAAUCAAUGAACAGAAACGAAUAUAAAAAAAAAACACUACAAACUCAACAAUCCCCAACUCUAAAAACAAAAACACAAAAUUCUUCAACUACCACAAUAAAAAGACACGACCUAAAGAACAUAAUCGCCAAAUAAGUUUGUAAAAAACAGAACUUAAAGAUAAAAAAAUAGAACCUGAAGAAGAAGCUGAAAAGAGCAAGUCCUUAUGUGUCGGUAUCAGCUGCAAAAAUUGAAACCUAAAAGAAGGUCAUACAUUCACUGUCAUUUGAAAUUAGAAAUCAAAUUUUUAAUUCAGCAGCAACAGUAUCCAGAAAAAUAUUUUCAGGAGCCAAUUGACAUAUUUUAAAGAUUGAUUUUACUUACACUUCUGAUCCCUCUAAAAAGUGAUGGAGGAUUCACCAGGCAAAAUAGAAUGUUGGAGAAACUCGCGACUAACUAAAUCAGAGAUGAUAGAUUUUUCGAUGUCGUUAUGAUGGUGUACAUUGACGUAAAGGUGAAAGGUAGGGUCGAAUGAGUCGAAACUGUGGCGUAAGAGUGAAACAGUGGUGUUACGGCAUGAAACAGUACGUAUGUCGAAACGGUACGGUGGUGAAACAAUGGUGAAUAAUAUUUUUAGGGAUUUAGAUGAAACGAUGUUACUGUUGAGUUCUGGAUUUUUAGGGAUUUAGAUGGAAAAUAGGGAAUUUAAAAAAAGAGCAACUGAAAAAAAAAAAUGAAAACGAGCCAAAUUGGAAAAGAGGGAAUCAACGCACACUUAUUAUAAUGUUAGUCGUUCAUAACCGUGACAAAUUUUUUUAAAUUACAUACAGUCAUCGUGAUCGUGGAUAAUUAACCGUGGCUAAUCGCCGGUUUUCUUGUAGUGCAACAUGGUAACUAGGCAUUCGAGAGAUUCUUGACACCAUUGGUUGAAAUCAUAAGAAAAUCAUUUAGCUUUAACUUUGAGCCACGACCAUGAUGCGACCAUAACAUGAUCGGGUAAAGUAAGUGAUGUUAUAAUGUCUUGGUUAAAGAGUACUUUAUUAGGAGCCUUCCAAAUGAUCCACACAUUCAAUAAUUUGAAGUCUUUGAUGCAAUAUCUUGUCUUAAAAUACAAACUUUCGAACUGUUUAAUGUGAAGAGAGAUUUCAUUCUGAAAACACUUGUAAUCUUAAGUUAGCUCAAUUUCUCUCGAUACCCUACCAAAAAUAGAACACUUAAAAAAUAAGUAUUCAAUUAUUUUUGUCCUAUCGCAUGCACCGACAAACAAAAAUGAAUGUUGUUCAAGCCACCCAUUAAGUAGCCAAAUAAUCUUUAAUCUAUUAACCACAAAUUUUCUUGCGAAAAGAGAAAUUUUUAGAGGAAAUAAUUUAUUUCAAAUAAUGUCACUCAAAGGUUCACCUGUCUCACUCAAUCCAUCCGCUAAAAUAUGAUAACCAGAUUUAAUCCAAAUAAUAUCACAAGUAUUUUUUUUUACUUAAAUGUACGUUUUGUUCUUCUAUUAUUAAUAUCAAUUCACAACAUUAAUCCUUAAAAUUAUAUUAAAAUUUUAACCUCCAAUUUAAAAAAUUACACAAUUUCGUCCUAUCAUUGAUUUUUAAUUUCCUAAUAUUUAAUGAAUAAUUUUGAUGUGGAAAUUAAAUAGUGGCGUGUAUAAAGGGAUGAAGUUAACGAUAUAAUAGAAAAUAAAUUAUGUUUGUUUGGUAAAAACAUAAAUUGAUAUUAAUUCAAUGUGAAUGUUCAUGCACAUCUUCUAAUAUUAAAUGAUCGGUCUCCGUUAAUUUUUAAUUAUUAUUUUCCAUUUUUAAAUUUUUUAAAUUAAGUUAUAUAUAUAUAUAUAUAUAUAAUUUUUUUAUCUUAAAAAUAAUAACAAAUUCUACCGUAAUUUACUCACACAACGAAAUCUCAUAUUUGAUUUUGUCAUUGACCUUGUACGUAAGUUAUAUAUAAUUUUAUAGUACCAAAUUUGAACUGGUACCCUUUUUUUUUGUUCUUAUGUUUUGUUAGCAAACAUUUUAUAUUUUUUAAAAGAAAAUUUGAAUGCAGUUGUAACAUUACUAUCGUGGUAAGUCAAAAUAAUAAUAAUAAUAAUAAUAAUAAUAAUAAUAAUAAUAAAUAAUAAUAAUAAUAAUAAUAAUAAAUAAUAAAUAAUAAUAAUAAUAAAAUUUUAAAAUUAAUUUUACAAAUUCAAUUUACCAAAAAAAUUAAUUUUACAAAUUCAAUCUACAAAAAAAUUAAUUUUCUUAAAACCAAAAACACGGUUAAUCUAGUCGAUCAUGAGAAUUACGUUACAAUUGGCGGACGCAAUUUCCUUUUUAAAAUUUUCUAUAACCCACGUCGCUUGUAUUUCUUACAUAAUAAAUAACCUUUGUUUUUUUGACUCAUACAUAAUAAAUAACCUUAAGUAUCUAUUUUUUGGACAAAAAUAUUAACCUUUUCAAUUACCAAAUAUUCACGUUAUAAAAAAUCCCUAUAAAUACAUCACAAUAGCUUCAACAAUUAUCAUCAAACAUCAAUUAAUACUAAGAGAAAAAAAUGGGUUCAUUUUCUCUAUUAUGUGUGUUGGGCUUAUCACUUAUUAUAAUGGGUGACAUUGCACAUGCCCAAAACUCACCAUCAGACUACGUUAAAGCACACAACAUAGCAAGAUUCAACGUUAGUACUUUGAUUCAAAUUCCCGAUGUGGUUUGGGACAAAAGUGUUGCUGCUUUUGCACGUACCUAUGCCAAUCAACGUAAGGAUUGUCAAUUGAAGCACUCCGGUAAUAACCGUUACGGCGAGAAUAUCGCAAUAAGCACCGGCGACAUGAGCGGCAAGGAGGCGGUGAAAUUGUGGGCGGAAGAGAAACCACAUUAUGAUUCAUAUCGUAACAUAUGUUUUGAUGGUGAAUGCAACCAUUAUACUCAAGUUGUUUGGAGAAAAUCACUACGUAUUGGAUGUGCCAAAGUGAAAUGUGAUAAUGGUGGCACUUUUGUUACUUGCAAUUAUUCUCCCCCUGGCAACCGUCCUGGCGAAAUGCCAUAUUAAGUCAUUCAUUCAUUUUAUUAUAUCAUCAAUUGAUUAAUAUAUUAUGUAAUAACGAUGUACUUUUUAAAUUUUAAAAUUAAUAAUCUUCAUUUUAGUUCAUCAUAUAUAACUUUCAAGCUAUUAAUACCAUCAUUUGGUAUUUGAUAAAUGAAAUCCUUUAUAAUUUGAUUUUGACCUUUUCAUCUCUUCAGCUACAUUUAGAUUUUAUUUUAAUUUCUUUAAGUUUUUUUUUUUCUGUUCUAUUUGUUUUUUUUAUUUUUUUGGAUCUAUUUGGAUCAUUUAGUUUACAUAUGUUGUUUUAAUUUGUUUUGAUAGAUCUAAGCAGCCAACUGAUAUAAAAAAAAUACUAAUAUAUUUAUAAUUUAAGAAACUAACAUAGAAAAAAAAAAUUAAGAGACUAAACUUUAAAUUUAUAAUUUAAGACAUCAAAAUGGAAAAAAACUAAAGAGUCAAAAGUGAAAUCUAAACAUAAUUUAAUAGAUUAAAAAUUAUCAAAAUUAAAAUAUUUAAGAGACUAAAGUUUAAAUUUAUAAUUUAAGACAUCAAAAUGGAAAAAAAAAAACUAAAGAGUCAAAAGUGAAAUCUAAACAUAAUUUAAUAGAUUAAAAAUUAUCAAAACUUUACAAUUUCAUCAAAAUUUUAUAAUUUGAUAGUUCUAAUAUUCCACUCAAGGAAUAAUAUAGCGAAAAGAGAGUUACCAUAAACCCUAAACCCUAAGCUUAAUAAAUUGUUUACCCUAAGCUUAAUAAAUUGUUUUCAAGCUCAGGAAUAUAAUAAACAACAUAAAUCACCUGAAUUAUGCCAUUCACUUCCACUCUUAUGCUUCCUUUUGCAACCACGUCCAUUGUUGUGUCAUUCUCAAGUUUUACUAUUUGACUAAACUCUUCUUCCAGAUCAAGGAACCAUUUUUUGUUCCCAGUCAUGUGAUUACUGCAUCUUGAGUCGAGGAACCACACCGUGUCCCUCUUUGUUUCAUGAUGCUCUACAUAUGACAUCAACAAAAACUCUUCUUCUUCUAACUCAACAUAAUUUGCUUUCUUUUCCCAGUCAGGACAUUCAUAUCGAAAGUGUCCCAACUUAUGGCAUUUGAAACACUCAAUAAUUGCUUCUCUUAGAGGUUGUCUUCCUCUUCCUCGAUCAUUUCCUCCUCUGAACGCGCCUCGACCUCUACCUAUGUUUGCUUUGUCUUCAUGAGCCAUUUUCAAUAUAAGCUCUUCUUCAUAAUAGCCAUGCAUCCUCUAUUCUUGAACCAACAAACUUCUGUGCACUUCAUUGGUGCUUAACGUACUUAAAUCAUUUGGCUCCUCUAUUGAGGAUACAACGUAAUUGAAUUUGUGAGUCAAAUAUCUAAGUACCUUAAUGACCCAACUGUACUUUGCUCAAUUGUCUCGCCAUUUGAAUUUAUUUUGUUUAUUGUAGACAAAGUUCAACCUAGGUAACUGUCUACCUUUUCUCCUUCUUUCAUGGUGAGAAUCUCAAACUCUCCUCUUAGUGCUUGAGAUUGAGCCCUUUUCACCUUAGUGGAUCCUCAAUACUUCUGCUUCAUUGAAUUCCAGAUUGCCUUCGAUGUCCCUUUGUCGAGAAUUGUCUCUAGAAUUUGUUUAUCUAUUGCCUGGAGUAGAUAGUCUUUGACCUUCGAAUCUUUGAGUUUGGCUUCCUCCACCAUCUUCCUUGGUGCCGGUGUCAGGAUUCCUUCAUCCACCAGACUCCACAUCUCCUUACUUCUCAUAAAUUUAUCCAUCGUCAUCGCCCAAUAAUUGUAAUGGCCAUCGAAUCUUGGGAUGGAGGGUUGCAAAAACUUCUCUGAUGUUGACAUUGUGCUCUCUCUCUGUUUCACUCACACAUUUUCAUACAAUCAGGCCUUUUACAGAGCUCUGAUACAAAUUGUUAAAACUCAUAGACUAAUAUAGCCAACUGGAAGGAAUAUAUAUUAUUAUUGAACGAUAGCAAACUAAGGCUAUAUAUAUCUAACCAUAUCUAACAGCCCUAUAAUGUAGUGAAAAGAAUCAAAGCAAUAAACAAACUCCUAAAGAAUUUGUCUCCCUAAAUACUAGGACUUAUUAAACAAACUGAAAAACAAAGACUAAGUCUAUCAAUGCCUUCGUUAUACUAAGUGGUUUGGAUAAAUUCACAACGUGUUGGAUGUGGCAAAGUUAGAUGUGAUAAUGGAGGCACUUUCGUUACUUGCAAAUUCUCCCCUGGUAACUAUGCCAGCCAAAGACCAUACUAACUACAUUCAUUUUAUUUCUAUCAUCACUUCAAUGAUGUUACAAACAAAUUAAAUGAAUCUUAUAUAUCAAAGAAUAAAUAAUUCUAGGAAAAACGUGCUUAUAAAAUUCCUGAUGACUCGUAAUUUUAUAGUAUUUAGUUGUCAAUGUUUUUAAAUUAUAAAAAAAUGUUUAUCAUGUUUGAUAUUGAUGAUAUAUGUUAAUUUCUCCAAACAAUAUUAAGUACGAAUGAUUGCAAAUUUUGAGAACUAUUAAGCUAAAUAAACUAUACAACUAAACAUAUAGAUAAAAUUGUGAGUAAAGAUAAUUUGUUUGAUUGAUUUCUAUUUUUUGUACAAGUAGUCUUCAUAUAA
rnacentral:lncRNA from 1 species